rnacentral:lncRNA from 1 species
CCUUCCCAUUUUCAACGUUUUCAAAUGAUGUGAACAAAGCCUCAUUGUUCCCUCCUAUAGAGAGAAUUUUGAUGGUGUGAAAUCUCUGGAGGAAAUCGUCAAGUGAUAAAAUAGUACUUGACUCAUCAAGCCGGACAUCAAGACAUUUAAGUUUGCAAAGCCAGUCUUCUGGAAACAGGCCUAUGUGCUUUUCAUCAACGAUCAAUUCUUCCAAAUUGGGGAACACCUGGGUGAUCAUCAAUCACAAAAGUGGCAAGAUGGAGUUAGCACUUCUUUCUAACGAUUUCACAAAUUCAAGUAAAUACAAAGCAUUCCAAUGAUGCGUAUUGAUGGCCGGACAAAUUUAUAGAUAUGCGGAGCGAGUUUGAUUUUCAGCUGUAAAUACAAAGUAAAAACAAAGCAUUCCAUUUAAGUAAUGUGUAUUUUCUUCCAUUCUCUCUUCUUAACUCUUGUCCAGUAGAUAGAUUUUUAAAUUUUAUUAGAUUUGUGCAUAAUCUCUAUGAAAAAUACUUCAAUUAUUCUCAAAUUGCAUUUAAACUUUGAGAUUCUUUUAAUUGAUCCGUUUAUUUGGUUUGAAUUGAAAAUCUUACAAAUUUAUUUUAAAAAAAAAAUUGGAGUUUUUAACUUUUUCUUAAAGCAAAAAUGAAUAAAUAAUAUGAAUUUUAAAAGUUUAAUAAUAUAGUAAGAAGUUGGUAUUUCAUUAAUAUUCAUCCAACUCAAUGGAAUUGGAUAUAUUUACUAUUGUGCAAGAAUGGAUUUUAUUGUACAUAAAGUUUAAUAGAAUAAGAUUUCUUAAUUUGAGUUUUGUCCAUCUCUCUAUAUAUAUUUUAGAAUAUUAUUUAUGUUACCACGAGAUGACCAAUUUCUACUUCAACAUCAAAAUUGAUAAUCAUUUUGUAUGUAACAAUACUGUACUAAAGAGUACUAAUUUAGAAAUAGCUCUUGAACGAUUUUCAGGGAAUUAACUAUGGCUUGAAAAACUCUAGAUCUUACGAGUAUUUUCUUUGUUUGGCUAAUCAAAUGCACUGUCUCUUCCGUGUAUUUAACUAAACAUAUAGACAUAAAAUAAAAAGUAGAGGAAGAAGAAAAACUCUGAUAAUUAAGAGAAAAAACAAUUGAACAAGAAGGAAAAAAAAUAAUUGUUUACUAAAUAUCUUUUUUUUUUUUUCAUUCGGUCUAACUGACAUCCAAAAAAAAAAAAUUAUGUUUGUAAGGAUAUUAUAAAGUAUAAAUAAACUGAUUUAUAUAACUAACAUUUUGUCACUAAAAGACGAAGUGAUGAGGGCGAUGACGAUAAUAAAAUUCUGAACUCUCAAAGUAGAAAUACUUUUCAGUACGUAAGAAUUGAAAAAUAAUUACAAAAAUCUUGCGUGCGUACCUUUUCAAUAUGCAGAUCACCUGUGCAGAAGCUUGUAAGCUGCGGAAGAGAACGAAGCUCAAGUUUCCUUAAUUGAGUGAGUUCAAUCACUUCAGUACCGUUAUUAUUGCUGGAUUCAUCUCCUCUCUUGGCAGCAAAAAUCACUUCCAUAUUUUGGCAACUACUCACUUCAAUGGACUGAAGUUGUUGAAGGCCUCUGCCAAUGACCAAUGGAAAUACAUUCUUCAAUUUAUCGCACCUUUCCACCCUUAUGUUCUUUAAUUUGGAAAAAGACUCAGUACCGUUAUUAUUGCUGGAUUCAUCUCCUCUCUUGGCAGCAAAAAUCACUUCCAUAUGUUGGCAACUACUCACUUCAAUGGACUGAAGUUGUUGAAGGCCUCCGCCAAUGACCCAUGGAAAUACAUUUUUCAACUUAUCACACCCUUCCACCCUUAUGGUCUUUAAUUUGCAAAAAGACUCUGCUGUGAGUGGACCACGACAUAUUUCCUCAAGGUUCCUUAAAUCCCUCAGAAAUAAUGACUCCAACAGGGGGAAUGCGGUCGUCGGAGCUGGCGUACAAUUCAUUGUGUCAACAAGACGAACAAUGUUGCCAUUACGUCGGAUUUCGAGACGAUUCAGCUGUGGAAAACCUUCUCUGCCUGGUUCACAAAGAACAUUCUUCAUGUCCGGCAAUCCAUCUAAAGCUAGGUCUUCAAUACCCUUCAAUUGCAUGAUAUGCCCCUCGUUCAAGCAAAUGUUGGCACCAUUUGUGAGCUUCAGGUUGAAUUUUCUAGAAAUCCCAUCCGAUGGGGGAACCAGCCACCAGACAUGUCCUAUAAAUAUCCUGUACCUUUGCAGCAUUUUGAAGAACGACAAGUCUCUUGGUAGAGCCUUUUCAUCUUGGAUUAGUAUUUCUAAAGAGGUCAAUUUAGAUAAAUUAUUCAACUCGUCAAGGCUGGCAUUUCUUCUUUCACCGUCGACUCCUCCAACCUUCCCCCACAUAAUGGGACUCUCACCGAUAUACAAUUCUUCUAAUCGUGAUAAGCUUGAUAUCACAUUUUCUGGAAUAACUUUUAGUUUGGAACAAUUGCUCAGAUCCAACAACCUCAACUGAGUCAGCCGGCCUAUUUCUUCAACCAGUUUCUGCAUAUUAGAACCUCGAAGUGUAAGGAUUUCUAAAUUCUUUAGAUCUCCAAUAAUAGCGAUGUCUCCUAGUUGGCAAUCAACGAGAGACAAUGUUUGAAGGCUUUGAAAGAGACCAAGCGAUGAAGGCAAUGCCAACAAAUGCAUCUUAGUGAAAUCUAAAACUCUAAGCUCUGUCAUCUCAGUAAAAAUGUUAUCUGGAAUUCUCAAAGAAGGAUCAUUGCUAAUACGAAAGUAUUUAAGUUGCGGACACUCGAACCCUUGAGGAAGCUCACUAAUAUUAGUAUUAAAUAAGGAGAUUGCGGUGCAAACCUUCAGUGUAUCCUUAUCUGGCCAGCUGGUCAGCGGAACAUCAUCAUUUUCCACCGCAAACACAUGUUGGACUCUAGAUGCAAUUGAUAUGGCUACAUCACGAACAACAUCAUGCAUAGAAAACCUUUCACUAGUAUCGCCAUCAAGCAGCAAGCAAGAGUUCUUGAGUUUAUCAACCAAUGUAUGUGCUCUAUCCCGUGCCUCAUCCACCGUGUUGAUGUUUUGAAACAGACCCAAACCCAUGCCACGAUAAAGCAAGUCUUUAACGUUACAUAUGUAGGAGUAUCCUAUUAGCAAAAACGUUUUCCUGAGUUCCUCACCUCCUAACUGAUUGUAACUCAACUGGAUAGUUGAAUAAGCGGCCACCGCCUGUGUCCCAGAGAAACUUCUCAAAAAAUUCCUUUUUAAUUGUCGUAAAGCAUUCCUCCAUUCAUACGGACUCUUAUUUUUCAAUGCCUUCGCUAUGGGUACAAUGGCAAUGGGCAAGCCAGCACAUUCCUUGACUACCUCUGUCACUACAGAUUUCAGUUCACCAUUUUCUAUGCAAUCACCUGUCAUCUUUUUGAAAAGACUCCAAGCUUCUUUAUCGUUCAGAACAUCAACAACAAAAUUUUGUUGACAAUCCAUCUCACAAGACAACACAUCUUGACUUCUUGCUGUCAGCAGAACUUUACAUCCGCCGUUAUCAUCUGCCAAUGGAAUUCCAAUCGCCUCCAAAUCGAGACUCCCCCAAAUAUCAUCCAAGAUUAUGAGGAUCUUCGUCUCUUUCUUCAAUUGUUCGAGCAGCCUCCAUGCUCUUACACUUUCACUCUCUUGAUCUAUUUUCAGGCCCAGCUUCUCUGCAAUUUCUCUUUGUAUUUCUUUUAUUUGCGGUGUUUGGGAAACACGUGAAGAAAUGACCUUCUCAAAGAGAUUAUUUUCCUUGGCCUGUCUGCCAACUUCUUUCACCAGCGUUGUCUUUCCAAUGCCGCCCAUCCCGUACACCCCAAUCAUGUUGAAGUUACGGUUGCUGAGUGCAUCUAGUAUCCCCUUCAAGGUGGACUUUCUCGAUUCAAAGUGCAUGAAAUCCUGGGUAGACUUAAGCCAUGUCUCCUCUGGAAUGGUACGGAAAGAAACACUGUCGAAUCUCCCUUUUUCAUGGAGUCCAACUAUAGCAUUCGCUUCUCUUUCUGCUUUCUUGCUAAGCUGGUACCGAGUCUUCAAAUUAGGACACAACCCUUUCAGACACCGGUUGUUUGACUUCUCUUUGUCUGCAAUAAGUGUUUCGACUUCGUUGAUUGCCUCGUCCACAGUAAUCAGCCACUCCUCAACGGGCUGCUGAAUUCCGUCCCCUUUAAUUCUGGAAUCAUCAACCUUGUACUGCACACUGGCUCUAGCAAUCUUUAGCUUCUCCAAUUCAUUCUUCAGCUUCUCCAAGUUGGUGUUGUAGCUGCAGCAGUAAGUAAAUUGACGAAUUAUGGGAGCAACCAAGUACUCUGCAACUUUUGCAGUAACGGAGAUAACAAUUUCCAUUAUCCCUUUCUUUUUUAUUUUUCGCUUUCAGAAAACAGGGGAAAGCAAAACUAAUCAAACUAAGCAGCAGUAAUCAAUCAGCUGGGAUGAGGGAAAUAAGAAGUUUGGAUAAAUUGCUAAAAUAAGAGGUUGAAUAGAUUUAAGGGAGGAGGAGGGGAAAGGAGUGAAACAAAGGGGGAUCCUUUUUUUGCUAAGAAAAAUUGAAAAGCGAGUACAAUAAAUGAAAGAUUUGCAAAGAAGGUGUAGGAUCGAGGACAAGAACGAUUCAGAAAAGGGAGACAGAAAAUGAAGAAGAGAUUUCAGAGAACUCUAGAGAUUAGGGAAAUGCAGAGGCAGACAGUUGUCAUCUCAAAUUCAUACAAGGAGAAGACUCGUGCUUCCAAGUCAACUAAAUUCUUAAUAAUUGAGAUAGAUAGUUAUAAGGGUUAAAGUUAUAAUGGUUAUUAUGGUUUUAUUUUAAAAAAUAAAAAAUUAUAAAAUAUAAAAUAACUAUAAAAAGUAUUGGUGUUAUCAUUUUAGUAGUGUAUCUUUAAAAAAAACCUUUUAUCUUAUAAUAUUUUUGUUAAAAUUAUGAGACAGGCAAGUGGACAGGUGCUUGUCUCACUAAAUUUCAUAUAUAUUGCGAAAGCCAUAACUUGAGCUACAUAUGUCCGUUUUAGGGGUAUAAUAUAUUGUUUCGAAGCUUACGACGAGACAAAUCAUAUGCAAAAUCAUGUACUUUAUAAAAUCCAUGGGUUUAUGUGCGACAAGCAGUGAGACAGGUGCCUGUCGCACAUAAAUGCAGUGCGUUUAUGUGAGACAUGCACCUGUCCCACUUGCCUAUCUCACUUGUUCUGAACUUCAUUUUUUACCCGAUUUUUCUGUAUUUUCAAUGAUUUUUCUUCAUUUCUCAACUCAAACUAAGUACUUUAACAAAUCACAUUAUUUUAUGAAUGAAAAAUAACAAUAUUUGCAACAAAACCCACUUUAAUUUCGAACUUAGUUGAUAAAAUCAAUAGAUUAAAGAUUUACAUUGUGUAAAAGCAUAAACUAAUUUUAAGAAGCUCUCCUAUUAAUGAUUAUAUUCAAUUAUGUAAUUGAUUUAUAGAGAGUGAUGAAGUUUGUUGAGAGUGAUAAAUAUUUGUUAAGUUAUUGAAGAAGAACCGUAUUUAGUUGUGCUGAAAUUGAAAAAGUGGCAUGUCUUUGUAAAUUUGAUGAAAGUGAUGAGGGUAAUUUAGUCCAAAAGUAGGGUGUUUGGCUAGUUAUGAUAGAAAAAAGUUUGAGGGGUUAAAGUUGAAAAACGUAAAUAUUUUAUGGCCAUUUUAUAAAUUUCCCAAAAAAAUUGGAAUCUCAAAUAUCUAGCGUCAUCGUUAUCUUUUUUUUUCUUCAUUUUUUUUCUUUUUCCAGACAGUGGUCUACCAUCUUUGAAAAAUUAUUGGCACUUUCAAAUGGGUAUUAAGCCAUGCAUUGACAUUGAGGGUCUCAUCUGAAAGAGGAAUUUUGGUAGCAGCAGUGGCUGUGUAAUUUUUUUUUUAAAUGAUUUAUCUCUAAGAAUGCGCGAUCAAUUUAAAAGUGGAUUUUAUAUUAAAUUUCUUUGAGAUUGCUUUUCGAUUGAUCUGUUUGAUUUGGCUAUGGAAUGAUGGUUUUAUUACUAUGAGUUUGAAGGAUUUAUGAAAUAGAAAUUAAGAUUGAUAGAAAACAUAUUGAUCUCCGAGCUUUAAUGGCAGUUUCAACUUGUUAUCUUCAAGCCUCACCGGUGGUUUCAAUUUGAUACUUUGAUGAGAGCAAAAUUAGCAAUUUAGCACUAGAGGAAGAUAUUUAAUCACAAGUAUAAGAAGUUUUGACAGCGAAGAGAGGUAUGCUUCAACUAGGUUUAAAUUUUUAUUUUUUUUUCUUAUUUUUUAUUGAAAAUUUAAUUAUUUUUUUAAAAUAAGGUCAUACAUGGUAUUUUACUAGUUAACUAACAAUGAUAAACGGAAAUAUAGUAAAAUGAAAGAUUUUACAAAAAUACAAUAAUAAAAUGCUAAACAUUAAUAUUUUUUUUUGUUAUUGGGUGCUUCAUACUUUAUAAUGUAGUCAAGCAAUAAUAACCCUAGUUACAAUUACAUGUAGAUGGUGUUAAUUGGGCAUUUUGGCGUUUCAUUGAAUUUUCUUGUUACCAGUAGCUAUUGAGUUGCCGACAUUUUUCAACUUGUAGUUCUAAGGCUUCUCAAGCAAAUUUUAUGGUAGCUUCCAUUAAUUUUAAGUGUUAAUCAAAUAUUUUACUACUAUAAUUUAAAAAUUACAGUUGAUAAGCAAUAAUAGCAGAGAGAGAGAAUUAAAUAGAUUGAGAAUGAUUUUUGAUUCAGGGCGAGUUUUCGAGUGCUUUACGAACAAUCAAAAUGCUAAUCCUUUUAGCCAAUAAACACAAGCGCUUUGUAAAAAACAUUACGGGAAAACCCUCUAUGUAAAUAACAAUCGUGUAAUUACGGAGGGCGUAUCUUAAUUACAUGUCAGUUACAUUCAAUAACAACAAUAUUACUUAAAAAUUUUCUAUUAGCAAUGAGUGUGUUGGAGGUAGGAUAAAAAAAAUCUGAAGACUUUGCAAACUUUUUUGUGAAAAUGCAUCACAGUUGUCUUGUUCUUUCACUGUUGAUAAUUACAAUGAAGCCGAAGUUUGCGGACUUUAUUAUCAUUUUAAAAAAAAAUUAGAUAUACAAAAAAGGGUCCAGCUACUUUGCGUCAGGGGUUUGGUACCCCAGUCAUUUGUCUUUUAAUGAAGGCGUCUUUGGAUAGCCAAUAGAGGAAUUUGUGGGCUGAGAUUUAACCAUUGGAAAAUGGGUAACUGGCUGAAAGAAUAGUUGUCCAUUUGGUAUAAUGAUAAUUUUGGAUAAGGAAACUACUCAUCUCGAUCUCCUCAUCUCGAUCUCAAUCGAAAUUCAUCUCGAUCUCGGUCACAGUUCGAGAUAAUGAUAAGCCUUAUCUCCUCAUCUCGAUCGAAAUUCACAACUCUCUCUCUCGGUCACAGUUCUUCAACCACGGUUCGUCACAGCUCUCUCUCUCCAUCACGGUCUUUAACCAGAAUCGACUAUUGUUGUGCCUCUGCUUCUCUCGACUAGUGCUAUUGCUGCGCCUGUGAUCUAUCUCGAUUGGUGGUGGUGCUGUUGCUACUGCAUCUCUGCUCGGUCUCAAUUGUUACUGCUGCUGCUCUUGCUCUCUCUCUCUUAGGUUGCUCCUAUAACGAGAUCUAAGCAUAUAUGUUGAGGAUCGACAUUGGCUCACUGGUAUUAUUCUUCUAUUUGGGUAAAUUUUGAGUAAUUAUUAUUUAUCUUGUGCUCUGAUUUCAUUAUUCUUAUAUUUCCAAGCUUCACUUGUCCCUGCGUUUUAAGGAAUAAGAAAAGAAAAGCAGUGUAAGAGAAAUAAUAAGAGUGGAAAUGGCAAUGUUGUCAAUGAAGAAGAAACCUUUCAUUUUUGCUUUGGUUCUGUGUCUUAUUAUGGAUAUGGGAUUUGUUGUUGUGUCUUUGUUGCAGAGUUUUGAGAAAGCAAGUUACAGUCGUGGGUUCAGCAAAUCUUUUGGUGAGAUUUUUUAUACUUCUAAUUAUGGAAUUCUUUAACUCACUAACUGGCUUGGCUUCUGCACCUCAAAUGGGGUAAGGGCUUUCAUUUUUUUUUUUCAUGCUCCAAUUUUCAAGGAUUUAACUUAAUAACUACAAAAGGAUAAACUUGCAUAUCAUGGACCUUGGUGGUAUGAGGAUUUUGGUAUUAGUGGGAUUUUGGAUUAUUCUGGAGUUUGGUGUACCUUUUGAAAGGUAAUUUGGUUGAUGCAUGAGUAUCUUGUGUCACAUGUCCAAGAGAAAAUGUUAAUAUGUUUGAUUUGGUUUUUGCUUUCUUGUUUGUGUCUUGCAGUUGGAAUAGUUGGAAUUUUUUUGCCUGCAAUAUCAGUGAAGCCAUCAUUAAAGAAAUUGGUAUUUGUUUGUUAGCUCAUAUAAUUUGUUUGUUUUAUUAUAUCAUACUGAGAAGCAAUUAACAUAUUGGCAAUGACAAUUUGGAAAGUCUUGUUAUCGAGAAUAAGAGAUAAGCACAUUAAUUCACUUGGGUUGCAAAGAAUUUGAAUGAAUGAGGGAUGAUGAUUCUAAAAAAUAAUGUAAUGGCAAAUAAAUAGCUGAAAAUUGAAAUGGAGUUGGCUGGGGAGAGCAAGAAUGACUUCUAUCAAAUAGGCUUGAUUAAUUUAAAUGGCAGAUACUCAUUUGAAUUAAUCUUUUUUUUACAACUAGGGGGCUUGCAUAUCCUGAGUUUUUUAAGAAAGUGAUCGCAAUGAUGAUGAUAAUAUUGAUUCUCAUUAUGUCUUUAUGAUCACAAGUUUAUCUUUUCAAGGUACUUGCAUAAGCUUUACAGGUUUACUGUAUAAAUAAUACACUAGGAACAUGUGGUUUGUUAUUAUCUGAUGAUUUGCAUUUUUCAGUUUAAUUUCUGUUGAAUGCAUUGAAAUUACAACAAAAUGGUUGUGAUUGGAUAUGAAAUACACUGGGAACCUAUGUAUACAUUUAUACCAUAUAUUAUUUUUAGCUGUGUGUUUUGGACAAUUUGAUUUUGAUGAUGGGUUCAUGUUAUGUUUGUAACUGCUGUGUUUUUGCAUCUUGUUUGCUGAACAAGCACUUUUUACUUGAUGGCUUAUGUCUAUCAACCAUCCUCACUUCAUGGGUAGUCAUUGCAUUCAACAAAGCACCUGAAUCCCAAAUGUAGUUUCAGUUGUUCUAUGAUUGAUCAUUGAUCAAUAUAUUCUCCCAUUUCCUUGUUGACGAUGAUAAUUCUAUUUUAAUUUCUAAACUAUCUUCCAUUUCAUGCCUUGAAUUAGAAGGAUGAAUUUUGUGAAGUUGCAUCGACAUGUGAGACUAAGACAGGACCUUCCAUCGCAGCAGGCUUUUGAAGGGCAUGGUCCCAAACUCUUAAGACCUUGAGAUUGCAAGAUGUAGGGCAUCAUAACCGAAAGCAUGUGCUCAUGGCAAUUUUUGUGGCAAUACAUUCAAUCUCAGCCAUUUAUUUAUUGCACAGGAAACACUUCAUGUUAGAUCAUUUUUUAUGAAUGAUUCUUGUCAUCACUUGUUCACUAAGAUAUGUGUUUGUCAGGUGUUCUUUUUUUUUUUUUUCUCUCUUGUACCACAUUGUUUUCAUGGUUGAUUCCAUCGUAUUAAUUAAUUUUUUAAAUAACUGAUUGAUGUUGUAUUCCUCAUUGAUUAAAUGUGAAUAUUGUAAAUUAAACUAUUAUUUUAUUUUAAUUCUCUUCUAUGGAUGAUUUGAUAUGAAAUCGAAAUUGUAGGGAUGGAUGGUAUAAGAGAUAAAAUUGUAAUUACCAUGCAACAUGAUUACACGCGUAAUGCAUGAUGCCCAUCAUUUAAUUUUUAUAAUUAUUUUGUUUAAAUUAUAGAUAUUGUAAUAUUUUAAUUAUAGUAUAAAAAUAAAGAUAAUAUGAAUUUUUUUUCAAUUAAUGUUAAUAAUUAAAUUUUAUCAUCAUUUAAUUUUUUAUAAUUAUUUUAUUUAAAUAGCGGUAUUGUUCGCGUGGAAAAUGAUAUUAUCACAUCAUACUUUCGUUUGCCCAAAUUGUAUUAUUCAUACUUUACUUGUUCAUAUCAAGCCCUAUGUUGGAAUCAAAUUUAACUUAAUUAAUCCAAUCCCACCAUCUUUUACUGCAUUCACCAGCCCGUAAUUUUUUGGAUAUUCUCAUAGAAAGUAGAGUACAACUCCUUUCUCUUAACAACACUUAAGAAGAGACCCCUAAAAUAAUAGAGUUCUUUUACGUCAAUGCAAGCAUUCGUUCUCUGUUUUUAUUUUUAAGAAAAUACUCUUAACUUAAAAAUAAACGAGACUACUUGGAAGUGGUACAUUUAGCAUGCCCUGGGUUAUAUUUUUCACACUGAACUCAAUUUCCAUUCCGAUCACACCCCGGUGUCUAAUAGGUGUUGUUUUUCGUUUUCCCGUACUCGAUGGGCCUGAUGUUACAGGAUAGCAAAAGUUGAGCUUCAUUCUUGUCAAUUGCUGCAGGUGUCGUUGGCAGCACUAUAGACGGAUGCAUUUGUUUUUUUUCUUUGCCUUAUUACAUCUUUUUUGUUGUCAAUUGAAUGUACUUUUCUUUUAACUUGCAUGUUUUUGCACAUGGCCGCCUGCCUAUCCCCCUACCUAUCUGGUGGUUAAAGAAACACAAAUUUAUCGCUACAAGACUCUCCGAUUUUUUAUACAUUAUGAAAUUUUUUUGGUUUAUCACAAAUAAAUUAAGGUUUAGAGAUACAGAUAGAGAAAACAUUUUUCUUUGUUAUACUAGAAUUUAUUGUAUUUUAAUUGCCCCAUAUUUUUUACAUUCUUAACCAAUAACAAUAGGGAUUGUUGAAUAAUAUAUGAAAUAAUUUUUUUUUAAUAAUUAUUACCAUUUAUUACGAGCUGCGUCUGUUAAAUUUUUAGACCUUUUACUUUUUUUUGCCUUACAACAAACAAUUGUGCCUUCUCAAGGAAGCUUAAAUCUCUAGCAAAUGGUGGUUAAUUUUGCAUGCGUGGCUGCGCUUACCAAAAGUCCACCAAUAUGUGGAGUGCACUUACAAGCGAGUUGCCAUUAGCACUCAACACGAUAGGGGUGUUCAGAAUCCAAUCCAAUCCACUCAAUCCGUUUGAUCCACUGAAUUUGAUCCGUAUCAAUCUGAUCCGUAGAUUAGUGGAUUGAAUAUGAAUUGAAAUUUUAAAAAUUCACAAUCGAUGGAUUGGAUAUCAAUUUACUUCUGUAAAUAAAGUAAAUCUGCAGAAAUCCGUGAAUCUGCAAAAAAAAUAUAUAUAUAUAUAAUUAAAAAAUGAUUAUAAAUUUAAUUAAAAAAUUAUAAAUGUGACAUUGCAUAGUUACUAAACACUAUAACAUAUUUUAGCCAUUACCCAAUAAUAAUAUAAAAUGAAAAAUAAUUAAAUAAUCAAAUAUACAAAUAUAACUUGUAAAAAUUGUAAAACAAAAUAAAAGCAAAGUCACACGCACUAGCAAAGCAAAGUAACAUAACGUCAACUCACCAACAAUUUACAAAUAAAAAAUCCUAAGGUUUCCCGCCGUCACAUACACUAGCAACACUCAAUACUGGUUAGAUACACUCUCAACACGGAUUUAAAGGACAUCGGCCGCGCGAUUCCAGCUAGAGCAAGCCAUCUUCUUUCCCAAGUCCAUCGAGCCACUUCACAUUUACUGGUUCUAGCUGAACAAUUUCACUAUCACAACCUUCAAGAUCUCCACCCGUACGGCUUCUCCUGAUUCCCAUCGUGGAUGGCUCCGUAAUCACCACUUUUCGACAGCCGCAACAGUCCUGGUGAAGGAUCAGACUGUGUUUGGUUUCCGAAACUUCGCCAUUUCAAUUAAUUGUGGUUUUAUUUAAACAAUUAAUUUCAGUGUUAUAUUAAUGUAUUAUUGUAACUUUAUUUGAACAAUUAAGCUUGGUGUGUUAUAUUUUGAAACUUUGAACACAUUAUUGUAGCUUUAGUUGAAUAAUUAGUCUCGAUGUGUUAUAUUUUGAGACUUUAAAUGUAUUAUUUUAGCUUUAUUUAAACAAUUAAUUUAUUUAAAUUUUAUUCAAUUUUAAAUUUAAUUGGUAGCAAAAUUAUUUGUAUAUUAGAUUUUUUUAUUUCAUUAGUUGGAGAGAAUUAAAAAUUUUUAAUUCGAAAACUAAUGCACAAAAUGGUGGAUUGAGUCAAAUCCGCAUCCGAUCCGCAGAUGUAUGGAUUGGAUUUGAAUUGAAUUUUAUCAAUCCGUGGAUUGGAUUGGAUUGAAAAAUUAUAAUCCGUAAAAUUAUGGAUCGGAUAUGGAUUGAUAUCCAAUCCGUAAAAUCCAAUCCGCGAACACCCCUACAACACGAUAUGCUCUUACAAGUGGGAUGCACUUAGUAAUGGCUCGCCUAACACAACUACUCAGUCAUGUUCUGCUUUGCAUCCAUCUGUGCCCACCCAAAUUCUAGACUUCUCUACAUUUUGCAAAUAACUACAAUUCGUUUGAAUUGUGCAUUUACGUCCUACGAGAUAUUUGCGCAUGUUCUUACGAAACUUUAUUACCUUGGCAUCCAAGCCUAUAACAACCCCGUGACACUUGCUAUUUUGCACACCAUACACACAAACCCACCAGCACACGUACAAGCUCCAUAGCUCUUAUAAAAAGUUAUCUUCUAAUUUCUCUUUACUGUGUAAUAAACUUACAUUCAGUCAUACUUCUCUUAUUUCUCUGUAUCAUUUCCACAAGCAUCCUUACUUCAUUAGUUUAUAGCCUCCUUUGCAAAACACUUAUCCCGCGACAUACUGCUCAUGAGAAUAGUUACGAUACGGUGUUUGGUUCAACAACCCCAAGAUAGUUUUCUCUUAGUUUUUUUCCUCUUUCAACUUAUCCUUCACCUCAAUUUAGACCGUCAUUCUUCAUUGAUCAUUUUUAAUUUAUAUUAUUAUUAUUAUUAUUAUUAUUAUUAUUAUUAUUAUUAUUAUUAUUAUUAUUAUUAUUAUUAUUAUUAUUAUUAUUAUUACUACACACUACAUAAUUGUUCCACAUAUUUUUAUUUUAUAUGAUUUUCAUUUACUCAACUCAUACGCAAAUUUUCCACAAAAACAAAUUAUAGGCUAACUCAACUGUAAAUUCAUGCCAGGCUAGUUUUAAAAUUACAGUUGAUAUUUCGCUUUUUUUUUUCCCACCAAGCACGCAAUUCAUUACCUUAAAUCCACUUCCAAAUGUUUUCGUCACUAUUUUCGAAAUUUUCAAAUCAUUCUAACCCCAACCCAUACUUGCACGCUUCCAACUUCUUGUUUUUAACCAAUUCUUGCAUGCACCCUUUUUUCUAUUGUUUUACAUGUGUUACUGUAACAACUCCCAACCCACUACAGGAGUUUUUUUGGUCAAAAAGAUGAGACUUAUAGUACCAGUGGCGGGCCCCCUGGGUCCUCAAAUUAUUCAUAUGGGCAUUUCGUCGAACUGUUGAUAUACUCGGCAUCUGCACUUGGAAGACGCGUUCAAAAACUCUAAACCAUGUUAAAGUCGACCAAAAAGACAAAACAUAGAAAGCGACAAUCCAACAACUAGGUAAAAAUAUUCGCUGUCACAAAUGGGGGCAAAACUACGGUGAAACAGUAGUUGCAACCAAUUAUUAAAUUUAUAAUUAUACAAUUGUAUUAGGUAAAUCUAAUAAUUAAAAGUAAUAAUAAUACCGUACUCACUGUUGCAACAUAACUCUCCCACAAAUAGUUGCGUGUAUAUUUGGAAACAUCAAAUAUAAACAAAGACCAUGUGAAAAAGAAAAGCAAAAAGCUACAAAUAAGAGAAAGGGAGCACAGUGAAAGAUCUGCAAAGAAGGUUUAGGACAACGAUUAUUAUGAAAACGAGACCAGAAGACGUAUAAGGGAUUUCAGAGAAUUUGAGAGAAGUGGGAUGAUUAAGAAAAUGCAGGAGCAGUACAUUCAUGACCUCUAUUAGUAAUUUGAUUUCGUGAAUCAUUUUCAAAAAGAAAAUAAUUAAUGCACACAAUUGGAGAGUAGGUGAUGACAAUGAAAGAUCAUCACAUAACCUACUUAUUAUUUUAUAUGCUUUACUGUGGAAUCGACAAUUGCUAUAUUGCGUAGCGUGUAUUUUGGGAUCAUCAAAUACAAACAACGACCACGAUAAAAGAAAAGAAAGACUAAUAAAGCUUUCCCAGCAGCAUUAAUCAUGAUUAUUUGAUAAAAUAGAGGUAACAAAUAAUUAUAUUUUUGGUGGAAAACAUAACAGAGCACGUUACAAGAGCUGAUUGCUUUCUUUAUUUUUUGUGAAUAUUAAACCAAAAAUACAAGUCAAUGAAAAAAAUUGAAAAUAACGCACCAUCAAGUCCACCUUGGUGCAGAAAAAUAUUAACAUUUAAUGAACUUAGAGGAAUGAGUUGGGCUAAGUCUUUAAAUCAGCUCUGUCGUGGAAUAUUACAGGAAGAUUAAAAGGAAAAUCAAUCAACUACAACUAAGUAUAUAAUAUAAUAUUUUCACGCAUCGUUUAUAAAUUUAUUGGGACACACUAUUUCCGCUUAUUGAAGAAAAUCAAGAAAUGCUGAUUCCGUCAUGCUUACUUUCAUAAUCAUUUAUAAGCUUUUAUACGAAUCCUUGUGUUUGAAUAUAAUAAUGGUUUAAGAAAUGCAUACCUGUUAGUUCUCCAUUUCUUGACUCCGAGGAAAAUUUGACUUGACAGAUGAAGCAAUGUUAUAAGAGGUUUGAUUAUGGGUCAAUUUACUGCGAGCAUUUCAACAGACGGGUGAUAUGCAUACACAGCUUCUACGCUACCACUAUCAUGCUUACCCCAUAGCUGCUUUCUGUUGUAAAACGUUGCUGACAUGUCAUCAUACUGGACAGACCUGCCGAGGUUAUUCUUCGAAGCGUUUCAUGAUGCCACGUGUACUUGAUUAUUUGACUAAUCACGGUUCACAAGUUGAGGGAGCUACUCACCACACCACCUUCCUGCUGCAAAGAAUUUUAACUGAACUUAGACUUCGUCAGAAACUCAGAAUUAGUGGUGCACGUGAUGCUUACACGUGAGGACCCCAAUGACGAAUUCCAAACGCUGAACGAUGUAUGUGUGAAUUAAAUGUAACUAUUACUCUCUAGUACAUAUAUGUCAUAUGUACACUAAGUGGGUGUAGUGCAACGAAGGUGCUCUAAUAUUUUUUCAGUGAACACAAUAUAAUCAUCAAAGUGAAAGAAAAACUUUUGAGGUUUUGGUAUAUUCAUUAGUGAAAUUUGAGCCGAAAAGAAAAAUUCAUAUUUGUAAACAUCAAAACCAAAAUCAUUUGGACAUAGUUGCUGAAAUUGAUUAGGUCAUUUUUAACCUUAAAUUUAAGAUCAUUAAUCGUUGCAUGAAUGUUUUGAUUUUAAUACCAGUGGCAAUCACGUACAUGUUUAAUGAUUUGAUUAAAUUUGUGUUUAGUUCUAUAAAUGAUUUAACUAAAAAAUUCAAAAAUGUUUAAAUAACAAUUGUUAUUAUUAACAAUUUAACUAAAAAAUUAUUAUUAAUUAUUGUUAAUAGAUUAAUUAAUUACAAUACUUUUUAUUAUUCUUAUUAAUAGUAAUUACAAUAAACUAGUAAUUAUAAUUAUAAUCCAUUUAAUAAUAAUUAUUUUUAUUUAAAUGGAGGGUAGUUUGGGAAUUUAAAAAAUAUAGGGGAUAAAUUUGAUACGCUAAGGGUUUUAAUGAAAUAAAAUAGAGUGCAAGGGGCUGAACGAAAUGUUACAAUACAGAAACUUUUAUAUACUUAUUGAUAAAUUGUAAAUACUAUUAAGUAAAAGGGGCUGAACAAUAUUUUACAGUAAGAAUUCAGAAAAAGACAAACGCAGCUGUAACUGUAACUUAGAGGAAGAGGAUCCUUAAAGUUUUUAAUGAAAAUCUUUAGUUGUUUAGUUAUAAAAAAAAAGCUUUUAAAAAAAGUUGUAAAUUAAAAUUACUUUAGUAACAAGUUUAUUAAACCUGGACUCAUCUACUUUGCAACGGCUGCAAUGUACAACUAAUUUUUUUUUAAUUUCAUUCCUUUACCUUUGGAUUUAAUGAAAAAGGUAAUUUCAAUGGUAGAGAUUUGUCCAUUUGAAUACUAACAUUAUAUUUUUGAUAAGUAUUAAAAACACAAAAAAAUGAAAGAGUUAAAAUUUUUAGCAUAUAAGUCUUUAUUGUUUCCAAUUUAUAUUAUUUAAUUAGUAGUAAAUCUUAAAAAAUAUUUUAAUUUUAAUAUUAUAUAUUUUAUUUAAAAGAAUAAAUUUUUAAUGUUAUUUAUUUUAUUUAAAAUAAAUAUUAUUUAAUAUUAUUUAUUUUCAUUUUAUUUAAUUUUAUUUAGCGUAUGCUUAUUAUUAUAUUUAUUCUUCAAAAAACUAAAUAAUAUUAAAUAAAAUAAAAUAAUCAAUAGUGAAUCAUAAAAAAUAGAUAUAAUUUUUAAUUAAUAUUAUUUAUUUUAUUUUAUUUAACGUUUUAUAGUCAUAAACUUAUCAUUAUAUUUAUUCUUUCAUAAAACUAAAUUUAACAUGCAUAACAUAACUCCAUAAGACAAAAAUGGUGGCACCUUGCAACUGUUGCAAAGUAGCUGGAUCCUAUUAAACCUAUAUGUUAUAAAACAAAUGAAAUAGGAUUAUGCAUGCAGUUAAAUAGGUGUAUUUUAGAAAAUCUAAUUCUUUUAAGGAGCUCUACAACCUAUUCUCCUAGAAGUCCAAAAUUUAAACUUCUCCUAAUAAAGACAAAAUAAUAUUUUUAAUAAACUCUAUUCAAUUUAUAGCCAAACGAUGCCAAAAAAUAUUCAAAAGCAAAAUUACUCUCUUGAUCUAUUAGUAGAGAAAUCAUACAAAAUGGACACUUAAUGGUCAAUUAUUUUCCCCCCUUUUUUUUGUAGUUUUACUUUUCCUAUAAACAUUAUUGUUUAGGAAAUAAUAAUAACACUAAAUACUCUCCACUAACACAUUAAUUAAUUAAGAGUAUUUCCUCACUAGCACGCAUUUAAUUAUCAAAUGAUUAUCAAAAGUACGGCUAAACUUUGGUAAUUAACAAAACAAGUACUCUAAGCUCUGUCAUCUCAGUAAAAAUGUUAUCUGGGAUUCUCAACGAAGGAUCACUGCCAAUAGAAAAGUAUUCAAGGUGUGGACAUUCCAACUCUUGAGGAAGCUCACUAAUAUUACUAUUAUUUAAGGAGAUUGCAGUGCAAACCUUUAGUUUAUCCUUAUCUGGCUGUUUGAUCUGUGGGACAACAUCAUUAUCCACUACAAAUACAUGUUGGUCUCUUGAUGCAAUUGAUAUGGCUACAUCACGAACAACAUCAUGCAUAGCAAACCAUUCACUUGUAACACCAUCAAGCAACAAGCAAGAGUUUUUGAGCUUGUCAACCAAUGUAAGCGCUCUAUCUCGUGGUUCUUCCAACGUGUUGAUGUUUUGAAACAGAGCCAAACCCAUGCCAUAACAGAGCAAGUCUUCAACACAACAGAUGAACGAGUACCCUAUUAGCAAAAAUGUUUCUUUAAGUUCCCUACCUUCUAAAUGAUUGUAACUCAACUCUACAGUUGAAUAGGCCACCGCUUGUGUCCCAGAGAAACUUCUUAAACAAGGCCUUUUUAAUUGAAGUAAAGCAUUCCUCCAUUCAUAGAGACUCUUAUUUUUCAAUGCCUUCGCUACGGGCACGAUGGCAAUGGGCAAACUAGCACAUUCCUUGACUACCUUUGUCGCUACAGAUUUCAGUUCACCAUUUUCUAUGCAAUCACCUGUCAUCUUCUUGAAAAGACUCCAAGCUUCUUUUUCAUUCAGAACAUCAACAAAAAAAUUUUGUUGACAAUCCAUUUUACAAGACAACACAUCUUGACUUCUUGCUGUCAGCAGAACUUUACAUCCGCCGUUAUCAUCUGCCAAUGGAAUUCCAAUCGCCUCCAAAUCGAGACUCCCCCAAAUAUCUGUUGGGGAAAAAUCAGGUUUUUAAAUUUUUUAUAAAACCAUUUGAAGAUCGCUCUCAUAUAAUAUAUAAGAAUUUGUAUUCUAGAAAUCGUACCUUGAAAAUCCGAGUUGGCUUUUUCCGCUGAAGUGAUUUAGGCUCCUAGAUCACGAUCCGCCACCACCACUCCUGUUAGAUCACGAUCCGUCUCCACCACGCUUGUUAGAUCACGAACUGUCACCAAUGAUCUUCCAGGUUAUGACUCAGGUUCGAUCUGCACUUGACGUGUGGGCGCCUUUAUCACUACAAAAGCAACUAGCACGAGAAAAUUUUUCUCUCAACAAUAGAGAGAAAAAUCUUAUUCUCCGAUUUGUAUAAAGUGGCCUCUCUCUUUUCCUUUAGAGAAAAUAAACCUUAUAUAUCUUCCUUUAGUGAAAACCCUAGGCUCCAAAUAAUUCAAAAAACAAAACCCACGUUAUUUGCUUUUUCAAUAAGGGACCCACCUUGUAAAAUAACAUAAGGCCCCUUAUACAAAAGCUAAUUAAAUGGAGCCUCCCACUAAAUGAUAUAUUUAGGCUUUUGACCCAAAUUGCUAGUUAUCUUACUUAUUAGUCCAGUAGUGGUGCAGUUAAUUAAAUGAGCUAACCCGGGGAUCAUUUGGGAACAUACAAUAGUGGCUACAAUAAUUAGGCCUGUAAUUAAACUAGCCCAAUUAUUUAAUUCCAAAUCUACUCCACUAAAAGAUUGGAACUGACUUCCAUAAUUGUAUGCUCGAAUAAUAAUUCGUCCCAAGCCACAUUGAUUUCUUUACUGCACAAUCCUUUGUACCACAUCGUUAAUUAAAUUGAUAUCUCAACUGUCCAAUCAAUUUAAUAACAUCUUAUUCCUUGAUCCUUACUGGUUUCCUCUAAUGAUCAUUUUCAACAUACUAAAUAUGUUGACACACUCUGGCCAGAGAAUUCUAUGAUCAAGUACCGAAAACCUAUCAAGAGAUGUGUUGUACAAAUUCUAUAUUGUUAAUCCAUAACUCCAAUACUCAUAAUUGCUCCCACCAAGAUACCGGGUAAUCUUGACCACAAGGAUGUGUCGUGCCCAUUGGUAACUCAAAUGAAAUAACAAUCACAAUCAUGAAAUCAUAAUUAACUCAAGAUUAAGAUUACAGUAAAAUCAACGCCUAUGAGAUUUAAUAAGUCUGACAGUUAUUACAAAGUUAAUUAAAUCUCAUAUGUGAUCCUGUUCAAUGUAGUCGUACUACAUCAAUAAAUUCAUACAUGAUUAAGACAAAUCAUUCAAUGAAUUUAUUACAGUCUAUACCUAAAUAAAGUGCCCAACUUUAUUUAUCAACUGCGAACUAAAUUUAUUUAAUCAUAAGAUAACUUGUAUUUAUGUCUUCUGUGAAUCCACAUGGUGAUCACAUAAAUACAUAUAAUAUGAUUAAAUGGACUUUAAUACAAAUAUUAAUGCAAUUAAGAUAUUUGAAUAAAAUACCUCAUUUAUUUUAUUAAUCAGAAAAAUUGUUUAUUACAAUUAAAUAAACACAUAUGCUUUUAAAGAGCAUAUUUUCCCAACAAUAUCAUAUAAGAUUAUAAGGAUCUUCUUCUCUACUUUCAAUCUUUCAUAUAGCCUCCCUGCUCUAACAGUUUCAAUCUCUUCAACUAAUCGCAAACCUAUCUUCUCUGCAAUUUAUUCUUGUAUCUUCUUUAUUUGUGGUGUUUGGGAUACCUAUUCCCUUAUAAGAUAAUACUUCCUUUCAAUAUGUUUUGUUUCUUGUGGUUCCUUGGUUCCUUAGAUUGAGCUACCGCACCACCCAUCCCGUAUACCCCAAUCAUGUUGAAGUUAUGAUUGCUUAAUGAGCCUAGUAUUUCCUUCAAAGUGGAUUUUCUUGAUUCAAAGUGAAUGAAACCUUCGGUGGACUUAAGCCAUAUCUCCUCUGGAAUUGUACGGAAAGAAACGCUGUCAAAUUUCCUUUUUUCAUGGAGUCCAACAAUAGCAUUCACCUCCAUUUCUGCUUUCUUGCUAAGCUGGUAGUGGGUCUUCAAAUUGGGACACAACCCAUUAAAACACCGGUUGUUUGAUUUUUCUUCAACUUCUAUAAGCUUCCUAACUUCACUGAUGACCUCGUCCACACUAAUCAGCCACUCCUCAAUGUGCUGUUGAAUUCCGUCCCCUUUGAUUUUGGAAUCAUCUAUGUUAAGUAAAUAAGAGCACCAGCUCAACCAUGUCAUCAUCCCCACCUCGGGGUGGAUCACCUCAGCCGAAUGGUACGAGCAGAACACUGAUAAUAAGCCUUAUACAAACAUGGGCCGACCAGAGACGAGUACAGCCAGAGGAAUACACCGACCAGAGACGAGUACCAGCCGGAGGAAUACACCGACUAGAGACAUAUACCGAGUAGAUACGCAUUCCCCAAAGAGUGGGAACACGAUCCCACAAAAUCUCGACAGUUGCGCUUUUUCCAGAACCGUUGAGGGAGACACGGUGUCCCACGUUUGCCCACAAUGUAGCAGUUGGAGUCCCAUGAAGGGCUGCCACUACUUGAGAAAGAGGGGAUGAAGGGUGAACAGAAAUGUGGGACAACGGCUAUAAAAGAGGAAGAAACCAAUGAAGAAAGGGGAUGAAAAAACUGAGAGAGAAGGGAAAACUCUGCCAAGUUAAAACCAGACGGUUUUUCUACCUAAAUUGAGAGUAAAUCGUAAGCCAUUCCAAAAUCUAAAUUAAACCGUUUUCCCGUAAACACCUUGUGCUAACUUAGGCAUCGGAAGGUUUACGCCGGUAAAACCAUCGGCGUCUUUGAUCCAUUUUUUGUGAACGCAGGCUUAGCAAGAUAAAAAGGGGUGAUUCCAACCCAGUGACGUAAGCGAUCGUUAAGGCAAGGAGAAAAUAACAUCGUUCCCAUUAAACAUCUAAGCGUUGGUGGAAGAAUCUGGUGGGGUAAAGGGCGAGCAAAUUUCAGCAUCAACAUUGGGCGAGCAGAUUUCAGCAUCAACAAUCUACUUUAUACUGUACACUGUCUCUAGCAUUCUUUAGUUUAUCAACAUCAUUCUUCAGCUUCUCAAAGUUGGUCUUGUACGUGCAGUAGUAGGUAAAUGGAUGAAUAAUGGGAGCAACCAAGUACUCUGCAACUUUUGUAACAACGAAGGUAACAAUUUCCAUUAUCCUUUUUAUUUUAUUUUAUUUUUAUUUUGCUUUGAGAAAACAGGGGAAAACAAAACCAAUCACAACAAGAAAUAAGAGACAAGGAGGGCAAGGAGUGAAAAAGCUAGAAAUAAAAAAAGGAGUACAGUGAAAGAUCUGUAAAGAAGGUUUAGAAAAAGGAUGAUUAAGAAAAGGGAACCAUAAAAUGUAUAAGGGAUUUUUAGAGAAUCUGAGAAAAGUUGGAUGAUUAAGAAAAUGCUGGAGCAGGACAUUUAUGACUUCUGUUAGUAAUUUGAUUUCGUUAAGCAUUUUCAAAAAGAAGAUAAUACAAACAAUUGGAGAUUUGGUGAUGAUAAUGAAAGAUUAAGUAAGCUACUCCAUAAUUUAUAUGCAUUAACUGGAAUCGACAGCUCUAGCUCGUGUUAAAAUCAACCAAAAAGACAGAUCAUGGAAAGCAGCAAUCCAAUAACUUAAAAAGAGUUAAAAACAUUUGCUAUAGGAAGUGGUUGCGUUGACGUGUAUUUCAAGGAUCAUGAAAUAUAAACAAAGACCACGUUAAAAGAUAAGCAAAAGUUGGCAAGAUUGGUAAUGAUAUAUUAAAAGAAAGACUAAUAAAGCUUUCCUAGCAGCAUUAAUCAUGAUCAUUUGAUAAACUAGAGGUAAUAAAUGAUUAUAUUUUUAGUGGAAAACAGAGUACGUUACAUGAGCUGAUUGCUUUUGUCAAUAUUCAGCCAAAAAUACAAGUUAAUCAAAAUAACCUACCAUCAAGUCAACCUUGGGGCAAAAAAACUAGUAACAUUAAAUGAACAUAGAGGGAUGAGUUGGGCCAAGUCUUUAAAUCAGCUAUGUCAUGGAAAAUUACAAGAAGAUUAAAAAAAAAAGAAUCAAUCAACUAGUAUAUAGUAUAAUGUUUUCACAUUUAAUUAACUAGGAGACUAAUACACUAUCACUCAGCAUUAAUGAAAAUUAUUUGAUAAACUAGUAUAUAUUGGAUAUCUCGGUGCAAAACAGAGUGCUAAGAGAUAAAAAUUAACCUAGUGUCUUUGCCAGGUGUUUAUAAUCGCUAAGCUUGCCUCAUACCAUUGCCAACUUUGGCCAUCUGGUAGUUGCUUAUUGAAGAAAACAAAGGAAUGCUGAUUCGAUCAUGCAAAGUUUAAUGUUAAUUAAAGUUAAAAGCGAUCAGAUUCAUAUUCAUUAAUAUGCUUUUAUACGAAUCGUUGCGUCUGGAUAUAAUAAUGGUUUCAGAAAUGCCUACCUGUUAAUUCCCCAUUUGUUGUCUCUGAAGAAAAUUUGACUUGAAGCAAUAUUAUAAGAGGUUUAAUUGUGGGUCAAUUUCUUGUGAGCAUUUCAACAAACGGGUGGUACGCAAGCACAGCUCCUAUGCUAUCGCUGCUACUAUAUGCGUCAAGUAGCUGCUUCCAGUUGUAAAACGACGCCGACAUGUCAUACUCAGAGAGAUCCUUCCGAGGUUAUUCUUGGAAGCAUUUGACAAUGCCACGUGUACUCCAUUAUUUGACUAGUCACACUCACAAGUGAAUUAGCCCACCACACCACCGAACUCUGACUUGGUCAGAAUAAGUGGUGCACGUGAUGCAAACACGUGAGGACCCAAAUGAUAAUUUCCAAAAGCUGAAUGAUACAUGUAUUAUAUGUGUGCAUUAACUAAAUAUAACUAUUAAUUGUAUGUUAAAUUUUUAAUAUAUAUAUAUAUAUAUAUAUAUAUAUGUGUGUGUGUGUGUGUGUGUGUGUGUGUGUGUGUGUGUCAUACAUAUACUACGUAGAUGUACUACAAUAGAGGUGCUUUAGAAUUUUUCGGCAAACACAGCAUAGCGAUUGAAGUGAAAGAGAAACUUUAAUCUUUGGUGUAGUCAUUGGUAAAAUUUGAGCCGAAAAGAAAAAUUCAUAUUUGUAAACCUAGAAACAAUAAUCAUUUGGAAGUAGUUGCUGAAAUUAAUUAGGUGAUUUUAACCUCAAAUUUGAGACCAUAAAUCAUUGAAUGUUUUGAUUUCAACACUAGUGGCAAUCACGUACACAUUUAACGACUUAGUUAAAUUUAUAGCAACUAAUAAGUAUCCAACUUUGCAACCGUAUUUAUUUCUCGUGAUUUGAUUAAACUGAGCACUCCGAAAACUUCAGUUCCUUCCAUUGUUGUAAGCUGAAUGAUACAUGUACGAUUUGAUUAAACCGUAUUUAUUUAUAUAUUGAAUGCUACUUCAAUGAAUUCUACUGCCGCAAUAAUACUAAAUGAUUUUUCAUGACAAAAAAAUCAAUAAUUAGAAUGAUUAUAAGUUAAUUUAAUGCUGAAUUUCAUCAUUAACUGCUGAAAUACUCCAGAAAUCCAAAUACAUUUAACUAAACAAAAAUUUAAUCAAAUCAUUAAACACACAAUCUGAAAGCGGAUUCAAAAUAACUUUCAUAAAAAAGCCAAAAGCAGAACAAUCAACAAAGAAACAGAAGAACCUCUCACCAAUGCCAUCUGACCCUUCAUAGAAAGAAAGAAGUCAAGCUCCAUGUAAUAUAACGCCUCACAAAUUACACAGAAAAAUGGCCGCAUUCCAUAUGAUGCAUAGAACGUGGCCCGAAUCCUCUUCGUAAGUUUGGAAUUUUUGGAGAAAAAUACACAAUGAAGGUGAAAUCAAGAAAAAAAGGAUAGUGAUAUUUCGUGCAAUUUUCAUGUAAUUUGCAGGAAUUAGCUUCUAUUUGGUAAGCAGUUCUGGAUGCCUAACUAUUAUUACUAUUACUAUUAUUUAUAUGGAUGGGGUUGGGUGAGACAGGUUUAUCAUAAUUAACCCAACCCAGCCCAAUUAUUAAUUGGAUUCUAAAAAAUUACCUAAUUAACCCCAUAAUAAUUCACUUAAUCCAUCAAAAUUUGAUUGGAUUAGAUUGGGUUAGACUGGAUUCGUCAGGUUGGAUUGAAUUCACCGGGAUUGGAUUGAGUUUGCCUACCCCUAGCUCUUGACCCACAUUAUUUAUUUUUAUUAUUUGGUAACUUCAUUCAAUAAAUAAAUUUAAAUUUUAUCAAUUUGUAUAAAAUAAGUUUAUACAAGAGCUUUUAACUGUAUCAUCACUCAUCAAACAAUAUUAGAUGAAACAAUAAAUGAAAUAUACAAAGGUAUCAUUAAAUCCAAAAGCAUCCAAUGUGUCAAAAAAUAUCCUAUCAUUUGAAAUAAAAAUAUUAAAAUAUUAUUUUCGAAAUCAAUAAUGAUAUAACCACAAACAUUAAGAACUUGUGUAAACAAACUAACAUGGCAUAAAGACAUUAGCUAAAAAUCGAUAACUAUUAUUUUUGUAAAUCAUGUGGGUCUAUAACAGUUUUAUACAACCAAUCUUCUCAUGCAAAAUCUGUAUGAAUUUUUUUUUUACAAGGUGGUUGUGGCUCUAUAUAUCCAAGUCGUUGUUCAACUUCAAGGGAUCUGUUAACUCACGUGUAUAUAUAUAUAUGUGUAUAUAUUAUUGGUUGUUAUAUGUUUCCUAGUUUGAUAGGAUUUCCUUUCCUUGUGAACUAGGGUAAUUCUUAUGUACAUAUAAAUAUUGAUCAAUAAGAGGGCAGACCAUGGAAGCCACAACAGUUUUUGCAUCGUAAAAUUCUUCAUGGUAUCAGAGCAUGAUGGAAGACCAAACUCAAACAAAAACAAAAGAUAAAGAGGCUAGCGGAAGUGGAUUGGGCAAGACAAUGAUGUCUCCUUACUUCCUCUCAACCAGUGAUAAUCCUGGAACUAUCAUUACUCAAGUGCAACUUCGAGGAACCAACUAUGACGAGUGGGCAAGGGCUAUGCGAACUGCAUUGCGUGCCAAGAAGAAAUUCGGGUUUGUUGAUGGAACCGUGAAACAGCCUGCUGAUGACUCGGCUGAUUUGGAGGAUUGGUGGAUGAUGAAUUCAAUGUUGGUCUCCUGGAUACAAAAUACAAUCGAAUCGAACCUGCGAUCUACUGUGACUUAUACAGAAGUUGCUAAGUUGCUGUGGGAUGAUAUCAAGGAAAGGUUCUUUGUUGGGAAUAGACCACGUGUGCAGCAACUCAAAUCUGAGUUGGCGAAUUGCAAGCAGCGAGGUAUGACUAUUUUGAAUUAUUAUGGGAAACUCAAGAUGUUGUGGGAAGAAUUGAGUAACUACGAUCAAUCGCCUGCUUAUCUAUGCGGUAAUUGUACGUGUAAUCUAGGUGUGGAAUGGGAUAAGAAACGAGAUGAAGAAAAGUUGCAUCAAUUCUUGAUGGGUCUUGAUGAAGCCGUGUACGGUGACGUGGGGUCUCAUAUUCUAAGCACCGAGCCACUGCUAAAGUUGAACCGUGCCUAUGCCAUAGUCAUUCAGGAGGAGCAGGUUCAGUCAAUGACACGUGCUAAAGAAGAACGGAGUGAACCUAUAGCAUUUGUUAUUCAAGCCGUGCAAGGAUCACAUGACAACCGUGAUAAGUCUUCUAUACUUUGUACCCAUUGCAACAAGACUGGACAUGAAGCAUCUUCCUGUUUCCAGCUUAUUAGGUAUCCCGAAUGGUGGGGUGAACGAUCGAAAGCCACGAGGAAUGCAGGUCGUGGUCGCGACAAUUCAUGACAGAAUGGUGGAAACAAUGGGCGUGGUCGUGGAGGUCCUGCUCGGGCCAACGCUGCUCAAGUCGCGACAGGGUCUAACAAUCCGUCUGGAGAACUCCCGAAAUCAGCCGCAAGCGGUCUCAGCGGUUUGAGCAGUGAUGAAAUAUAUGUGUGCAACCCAAGAGGGGGGGUGAAUUGGAAUUUUAAAAAUUAUCCUAGCAAAUCCACACAACAAGCAAUCUAAUGUCUUAAUAAAAAUUGAAAGCAAUAAGUUCAAUAAAAGCACAAUAAUUAAAAGAGUAAGGGAAGAGAAAAACGAACACAAGGAUUUUUACGUGGUUCGGCUAUCCCCGCCUACGUCCACGCCUCCAAGCUCACCCGGCUUGAGGAUUUCACUAUCCAAGCCUCCCAAGGCUUCAAAUGUUUACAAUUGACUUCCAAGGUGUCAAUGAACCUUUACAACAAGAGAUUAUAUCCCCAAUCUCUUCACCCCAAGUGUUUCCCACACUUGUACACUCACAAUUUGAUGAGAAAUGAUAAAUACAACAAUGAAUCUCUCUUUAAGAGUGGAUAUACAAAUUGAAGAACAAAGAUGAUUUAAUGAAUGAUGAUUCACGAAGUUGAAGCUCAAUAUAUGUUGUGUGCACUUGUUCUUGCUUCUUGGAUUUAUUCCCAAAAAUGAAUUGGUUUUGAGUUUAUAUAGUUUGAACUCAAAAACUAGCCGUUACUCACAUUCUAGGCGUAUCCGAUUUGCCGGUUAUGGAAUCCGGUAAGCCGAAUUUAUGUUACCGUUAAGGCAAAAUUCAAAAUUCUGCCUAUCCGGCUUGCCGGUUUCGGAAUCCGGUAAGCCGUUUGCGUUCUGGAUGCAUUCUGCCCCGAAUUCGGUUUUUCGGUUUUUGAUAUCCGGUAAGCCGCUUGCUACAGUAACCUGCUACAGUGAAAAUUUUCCCAUAUUUUCAGUUUGACCCCAAAACUUUAUAAAACUGUAGUAUGACCCAAAAAGUUAUGAAACUUUACAAAUAUGUCCAAUUUCAGAAUUUCUAAGUAAUGCUUCGUUAAUCCCAAAACUUUCUGAAAUUAUGAUAUAGCCAAAAAUGCUAUGACACUUUACACAUAAGUCCUUUACCAAAAUUUCAAGCAAUACUUGUUUAUUUCAAAGUUUUCAAAAUUCUUUCAAUUAAACCAUAAACUUUGAAAAACAACCAAUUUCAUAAAAUCAUUUUUCCAUUAAAUAUGAAACAUUUAUAAUGUGAAAAUAAUGAUUUAUUUAAAAAGAAUAAAAACAAUCAAUUUCAUAAAAUCAUUUUUCCAUUAAAUAUAAAACCUUUAUAAUGUAAAAAUAAUGAUUUAUUUAAAAAGAAUAUUAAAUAAUUUGGGCUUAAAAGAUUAAUCAUUCUUAAUCUUGUUUGUUAUCAUCAAAAUCAAUAUUACGAAAACAUAUAUGUUAACAAGUGAGCAGUGAGCAGUGAGCAGUGGAACACAUUGCUUAAUCUUUUGAACAGUAAAAAAGACAGCAACUUACGGAUCAGUGGUAAGCGUAAUUCAAUGGAGUUGAUUCUUGAUACUGGGGCCUCACAUCACAUGACUGGAAACAGAAAAAUCUUACACGACAUUGUAUCUGUUAUUCCCUGUUCUAUUCGGCUGCCUGAUGGAAAUGCGACAAUAGCAAAUACAGAAGGAACAGUUGUGCUUGCUAGCCACCUGCGACUAAAUAAUGUUUUAUUUAUGCCAAGUUUAACUUGCAAUUAAAUUUCUAUAUUGCAACUGAUUCAAGACGUCAAUUGUUUUAUUUAAUUUUCUGAUCAAUUAUGUGUGAUACAUGACCGCAUUACGAGGAUGCUGAUUGGAGCGGGUGAGCAGCGAGAGGGACUCUAUUAUUUUCGGGACAUUGGUUCGGCCGCCGCUCUAUCUAGUGUUGCCAACCGAGCUUGUGAUUUAUGGCAUCGAAGGCUGGGGCAUCCUUCCUCUAAAGUUUUUAAGUGCUCCCUUUUAUUGAUUCGGCCUCUUGUCUGUCUAGUUUUCAGAAUUGUGAUGUAUGCUUUCGAGCAAAAUAGUGUCGUGACAAAUUUGUUUUAAGCAAUAAUAAAGCUUCAGAUAUUUUUGAAUUGAUUCAUUAUGACUUGUGGGGACCUUAUCGCACAGCUAGUUCUUGUGGUGCUCAUUAUUUCUUGACUAUUGUUGAUGAUUUUUCUCGCGGUAAUUGGACAUAUCUGCUAGUCGCAAAGAAUGAGGUUGGGCGUGUAUUACGCAAUUUUUCAAGUAUGGUCUCUAGACAAUUCCAUAAACUCGUUAAAAUUGUAGGAGAAAAAUACAGGUUUUUAAAUUUUUUAUAAAACCUUUUAAGAUCGCUCUCAUAUAAUAUAUAAGAAUUUGUAAUCUAGAAAUCGUACCUUGAAAAUCCGAUUAAGCUCUUUUCGCUGAAGUGAUUUAGGUUCCCAUAUCACUAUCCGUCACCACCACGCCUGUUAGAUCACGAUCCGUCACCAUCACGCUUGUCAGAUCACGAACUGUCACCAAUGAUCUUCUAGGUUAUGACUCAGGUUUGAUCUGCACUUGACGUGUGGGCGCCUUUAUCACUACCAAAGCAACUAGCACGAGGAAACUUUUCUCUCAACAAUAGAGAGAAAAAUCUUUUUCUCUGAUCUGUAUAAAGUGGCUGCUCUAUCUUUUCUUUAGAGAAAAUAAGCCUUUUAUAUCUCCCUUUAGUGAAAACGCUAGGCUCCAAAUCAUCAAAAUCAAAACUCACGUUACUUGCUUUUUCUAUAGGGGGCCCACCUUGUAAAAUAACAUAAGGCCCCUUACACACAAGUUAAUUAAAUGGAGCCUCCCACUAAAUGAUAUAUUUAGGCUUUUGACCCAAAUAGCUAGUUAUCUUGCUUAUUAAUCCAGUAGUGGUGCAGUCAAUUAAAUGAGCUAACCCGGGAAUCAUUUGGGAACAUACAAUAGUGGCUAUAACAAUUAGGCAUGUAAUUAAAAUAGCCUAAUUAUUUAAUUCCAAAUCUACUCCACUAAAGAUUGGAAUUGACCUCCAUAAUUGUAUGCUCGAAUAAUAAUUCGUCCCAAGCCACAUUGAUUUCUUUACUGCACAAUCCUUUGUACCACAUCAUUAAUUAAAUCGAUAUCUCAACUGUCCAAUCAAUUUAAUUACAUCUUGUUCCUUGAUACUUACUGGUUUUCUCUAAUGAUCAUUUUCAACAUACUAAAUAUGUUGACACACUCUGGCCAGAGAAUUCUAUGAUCAAGUGUCGAAAACCCAUCAAGAGAUGUGUUGUACAAAUUCUAUAUUGUUAAUCUAUAACUCCAAUACUCAUAAUUGCUCCCACCAAGAUACCAGGUAAUCUUGACCACAAGGAUGUGUUGUGCCCAUUGGUAACUCAAAUGGAAUAACAAUUACAAUCUUGAAAUCAUAAUUAACUUAAGAUUAAGAUUACAGUAAAAUCAAUGCCUAUGAAAUUUAAUAAGUUUGACAGUUAUUACAAAGUUAAUUAAAUCUCAUAUGUGAUCCUGUUCAAUGUAGUCGUACUACAUCAAUAAAUUCAUACAUGAUUAAGACAAAUCAUUCAAUGAAUUUAUUAUAGUCUAUACCUAAAUAAAGUGCCCAACUUUAUUUAUCAACUGCAAUCUAAAUUUAUUUAAUCAUAAGAUAACUUGUAUUUAUGUCUUCUGUGAAUCCACAUGGUGAUCACAUAAAUACAUAUAAUAUGAUUAAAUGGACUUUAAUAAAAAUAUUAUUGCAAUUAAGAUAUUUGAAUAAAAUACCUCAUUUAUUUUAUUAAUCAGAAAAAUUGUUUAUUACAUUUAAAUAAACACAUAUGCUUUUAAAGAGCAUAUUUUCCCAACAAUCUCCCACUAGCUCUCAAAGCAUAUCUGGCAUAUUGCACAUGCUCUAGGGCUCUAAGUGCAGGUUAUAAAGAUUUCCCACUAAUGGCCAUUGUAAUAAGAUAUGUCAUUUAGCAUCUAAUACCAUUUGGGGUACUGUCAUAUAACCUUUCUACACUAUUGCAUUAUAAGAUGAUACUUCCUCUCAAUAUGUUUUGUUUCUUGUGGUUCUUUGGUUCCUUAGAUUGAGCUACUGCACCACCAUAAUCACAAAAUAGUUUAAGGCGUGUAGUUACAACAGGUAUCACCUUAAGAUUUUGUAGGAACUUGCGGAGCAAUAUAGCUUCUUUUGCAGCUUCAGAUGUAGCCACAUAUUCAGCUUCAGUUGUGGAGUCUGUGAUACAAGAUUGUUUCACACUCAUCCAACUAAUAGCUCAACUUCCUAAUGUAAACACAUAGCCGGAAGUUGAUUUUCUAAAAUCCUUAUCUGACAAAAAAUCAGAAUUAGUAUAACCCACUGGAAUAAGUUCAUCACCAGAAUACACAAGCAUAUAACUUUUAGUUCUUUUCAGAUACUUCAUUAUAUGCUUGACCGCAGUCUAGUGUUCAGGUCUAGGAUUAGAUUGAUAUCUACUAACCAUCCCUACUGCAAAACAGAUGUCUGGCCUAGUGCAAAGCAUGGCAUACUUGAGACUUCCCACAUCUUCUACAUAGGGAACUCGUCUUAUUUUCUCUAUCUCUUCAGAUGUUUUAGGUGAUUGGUCCUUAGAGAAUGUAAUUCCAUGUCUGAAUGGUAAUAAACCAGUCUUGAAAUUUUCCAUGCUAAAUCUAGCCAAUAUCUUAUCGAUAUAGACCGCUUGAGACAAGGAUAAAGUUUUAUUCUUCCGGUCUCGUAGUAACUUGAUACCAAGAAUAUAACUUGCCUCUCUCAAGUCUUUCUUAUCAAAUUAUUUUGCUAGCCAACUCUUUAUUGUAGUCAAUACUCCUAUAUCGUUUCCAAUUAGGAGAAUAUCGUCUACAUAAAGAAUUAGGAAGACUAUAAAUUUUCCCUGAAUCUUCUUGUACACACAUGGUUCAUCAAUGUUUUGAAUGAAUCCAAGCGAUUUAAUCUCUUGAUCAAAUCUGAUGUUCCAUGACCGGGAUGCUUGCUUUAAUCCAUAAAUGGAUUUCUGCAACUUACAUACCAUGUGUUCUUGGCCUUUUGUACGAAUCCAUCUAGUUGCUGCAUGUAGAUGUCUUCUUCAAGAAUCCCGUUUAAGAAAGGCUAUCUUGACAUCUAUUUGCCAAAUUUCAUAAUCUAGCACUGCAGUAAUAGAGAGCAGAAUCCUAAUGGAUUUAAGCAUAGUAACCGCAGAAAAUGUUCCUCAUAAUCGAUUCCCUCUUUCUGAGUAAACCCUUUGGCUACUAAUCUUACUUUAAAUGUUUCCAUCCUUUCGUCUACUCCUCUUUCUCUCUUGUAGAUUCACUUGCACCUUAUAGGUUUUACCCCAUUUGGUGCCUCUACAAGUUCCCAGACUUUAUUGGAAUACAUAGAUUCCAUUUCUUGAUUCAUGACCUUUUUACAAAAUUCAACAUCUCCGUCUAUUAGAGCUUCGUUGUAACUAGUGGGAUCUUAUACAUGUUCAACUAAGAUCGUCGUAUAGGUUUCUCUCAAUAACAUGUAUCUUGCAGGUAACCUAGUUACCCUCCCACUACGACGAGGUUCUAAAAGUGAUGGUUGUUCAAGGAUAAUCCUGUGCUGCUCAGCUGGUUGUUGUUGUUCUUCCUGUUCUAUAACAGGUGUUGAAAGCUGGGCAUCAACCUGAUCUCUUUUAUUUCUCUAGUUUUACCUUACUCUUAGGUUAUAAGUCAUUAUAUAGUCUUCCUCAAAGAAAGUAAAGAAUAUGUCUAUAAAUACAUUCCUAUCUUGAGAACUAUAAUUCAGACUUUCCCUUAUUCCUUUAAGAUACCUAAAACAUGCAAGCUUCUGAACACGAAUCCAUCUUCUCUACCUCUGAUUCUAGUAGAAAUACUAGUAAACUCCAAAUAUGAAUGUGUCUCAAACCAUGUUUGUGACUUUUUCAUAAUUUCUUGGAGUAGUAGACACCGAGAUAGAUGAAACUAAGUUCAAUAAACUUUGCAGUUUUAAAUACUAGUAUCUGGAAUCAAAAAGGUAAAUGAUAAACCACUUAGUAUAUAUCUUGUCUUAUCCAAAAGAAUCUUGUUUCUCCAUUUAAUUACACUAUUGUAUCAUAGUGUUCAUUAUAUGAGGUAGUUUAUCCCAUUUGACAACCAAAUUGAGCUUGAAUUCUCCAUAGAGAUAUUCUUUGUUUCGAUCAUAUCGAAGUUCUUUUAUGUUCCUGUCUAAUUGCUUCUGUCUUAUCCACGUACUCUUUUGAAUUUCAAAAGCAAUGGAAUCAUAAUGCAUUUAGACAAACAUAGAUCAAAUGAAUAUUCAUCAACAAGAUUGAUAGAAUACUCAUAACCUCUUAUGAACUGUAAACUGAUUAGUCCGUAUACAUUUGUAUGCGCUAAAUCAUCCAAUACAAUGUUAUGCUUUUAGCUCUAAACGAACAUCCUCGUCAUAUUACUUUUCGAAAUAAGAUUUAUAGAGUUACAAUGAUCAAUCUUAAUAGGCCAACAAGUCUAUCAUUAAUCAUUUUCUUAAAAUCUUAUUACAGUUUAUAUGACUUAAGCAUAAAUAUCAUAGGUGAUUUUGGUUUGAAGAAACAUUUCUUUUCUUAGAUAAAUACAUAUACUCUUUAUCAUUAUAUUUUGCUUUGAAUAGAUCAAUGGACUUAUAUGAUAUAAAUUGUCUUUAUAAAUAACCAAAAUAAGUAAUAAACAGAGGAUAAAAAAAUAACAGUGUAAUCCUGUUUAUUAAAAGAAGUCACUGAAAUUAAAUUCCUCUAAUAUUUGGAAAAAUAAAGACAAAUAUCAAAACUUUAAGUCUUGUAAAAUUGAUCUAGCCUUUUAAUUGAUAUAAACUAGCAUGUCCUCAACUGCUGUUUGAAGCUUUUUUCACUUAAUCUCUUGGUUUCCUGAAAACCAAAUAAAUGAAUUACAAAUAAGAUUAGUUAGCUCAUAAUUCAUUAUUGUAUGAAUCAAUAGAAAUCUGAACUAAUUAGGAAGCUUAAAGAUUUCCUAUACCUGAUUUUAAUAAUCUUAGGACAAUCUUUCUUCCAGUGACCCUUCUGUCCACAUUUGUAACACUUGCCUUUUGGCUUGCCACUUCUUUUAGUGGACAAUUUACCGAUCCCAACUCUUGCUUGCUCAUUCUUGUCUUUCGACUUAAGCCUUGAAGAGAAUCCUUUUUCAGGAAGUUUUCUGCUAUGAUAAAAUUCUUCUAUAGCAUGUAGUUCGUGCAUUAAUUCAAUUAAGGUCAUAUCUUUAAUGUUUAAGAUAUAGUUGACCUUAAACUCUUUGAAUGUAUCAGGUAAAGAUUCAAUCACCAUGUUAUCUUUGAUUUAUCAUUGAUUUGAACACCAUGAAUCUCUACCUCAUUUAAAUAGUCCAUCAUUUUGAGGACAUGAUCACGAACUUUUGUGCCCUCAUCCAUUUUAGUAUCCGUAAUACGUUUUAAUGCUGCUUCUCUAGAAAAAUGAGUAUUUUGCCCAAACAUCUGAUGAAGACUAGCCAUUAUUUCAGUGGCUGUGUUCAUGCUCCGAUGUUUCUUAUGCAGUUCCACAGAAAUCGAAGCCAAUAUAUAGCGCUUAGCCAUUUUGUUAGCUUCGCACCAUUUCUCAUAAGGCUCCCUCUGAUUUCUAUAAUCGUAUAACGAUAGUUUAGGAGGGCAAGGCUGGGUCAACACAUAUUUGCAGCCCUUAGCAGUGAGAAUAUUAAAUAGAUUGCGUUUCCAAUUUAAAUAAUUUUUGCCAGUGAGUUCAUUUUUAACAAGGAUAAUUAAUAAUGGGUUGAUGGAAGACAUUUUCUGAAACAACAAAAUAAACAUGCAUAAAUACUUUGAAACAAUAUUCAGAAUAAAUGACAAAAAUGCAAAAAAUCAUAAAUGCAUUUUAAUUUAUUGUACCGCUUUGACAAGCUAUCCAUUGGGGAAGUCAUGUCUACACUUACUAGACCCAAUUAUCCAUUAGAUUAUUUACUUUCAUGUAGAGACAUGAUAAAUAAUUAUUGUUAUCCCUUUGGGUCUAAAUUUGUUAACAGAGCUUCGUUGGGAAGGUUAAUAACAAAUUUUAGUUGAGUGUAUAACCAUUGUUUCAAUUUACGUAUUUUUCAUAUCGAUAGUCACCGUUGGGGCGAACAAUUGAUUGAAAAAUAUUUCAAUUUUAUCUUUGAAGAAGUUCAUCAAAUAAAAUAUCUAAUAGAUAUACCCUCUGUAGGGAGCAUCACCGUAUCAUGAAGUUGAGGUAUAUAUAUAAUUUUAUUAUUGAACUAACAAUAGAGCCUGUGGGAAAACUUAUCUUGAAUUUUCCCUCUCCCACUCAAUAUUUUAAAAUUGAUUUUUCCUUUUAAAACAUACAUAUUGUUAAUUGCAUGCUUCCUAUAAUAUUAUCUAGAUGAUAUCCAAUAUUAUUAAGCAUAGGCAAAUUACAAACAAUAUAAUGAGAUUCCUUAUUAAUGAAUUACAUGUAUCAUUAUGCAUAGAGUGGCACUAACUAUUCUAUAUGACAUGUUAUCAUGGCAUGUUAUCAUCCAAAACAUAACAUAUAAAAAAAACAAUUAAAUAAUCUUAAUUCAUAGUUUUCCUAAUAAUGAAAAAUACAUUAACCCUAAGCCUAAUCUUCAUUGGGCUUCUUGUCAAUGUUCAUCUUCCAUAAGCUUGUCUAUGCAUUUUAAAUAAUCUUAAUUUUUCUUGUCAAUGUUUUAAAUUUAUAAUUGGUCCAAUUUUAAUUUUGAAAGGAAAUAAAAAAAAAUUAAAAUAAAACUUUUGGACCAAAAAUAAAUUUAAUGUAUUCAAUUUUAUCUAUGCAUUUUAAUCCAUUAAGCCCAAAUUUCAAUUGGGCCUAAAACUAGGAUUCAUUAAGCCCAAAAUUAUUUUUGGACUGAAAUGCAAAACAUUGAACCUUAUCUGCCCAGAGGAAAAAUUAUAGAACCAUAGGGACCUCCAUGAUAAAAACCAUGAAACCUUAAAAUCAUAUUUUUCUCUUCUUCCCCAGCCGUCAUCUCCACAAAGCCCAUCCGCUGGUCACAAUUUCCAGCCAUCUCCGAUGCCGAGUUUGCUGCCGCCGUCACACCGGAAACGUACCAAACACCUCCCUCGUGCUGCACUGGAAAGCUCCUGCUCUCGCUGCCUGCUGCGCGCGCUGGCUGUUGCACGCGAGCGUGCGCUAGCUGCUGCACGCACAGUGUGCGUUGCUGGCUGCGCAAGCAUCGUGCGCACGCUGGCUGCUACCUGCGCUGGUGCAACGCUGCUCGCAGCAUGCUGCUGCAGCGCGCGCUACUGGCCACGCUGGCCGCGCGCGCUGCUGCAGCGGGUGCUGCUGCAUUCGCUUGCAGCGGGUGCGUUCAUCGGUGUUACCGUUGAAAUUUCCAGCGCUUGUUCCUUUGUCGUAGCGUGAUUAAUCUCCAGUGAUUUAUAAAUUUUCUACGCCAAUUUUGGCUUACAAAAAAUUUUAUUACAGUAAAGUAAAUUAAGAGGGAAACAUGGUGAUAAAAAACAGCCCCUCUUGUUAUAGAUGCAAACAAAAAAUACAACAGAAAAUCUAACCAUGAAUUAAGACAAACCAUAACAUGCUUUAUUCAUAUAUUAAACAAAUAAUAUAUAUCUGAAUAAAUUGUGCCACUCUAAUACAUAAAUAUCAAGAAUGAUUUCAUACAAUAUUCUUAUAUAUUAAUAUGAGAUAGCUCUGAUACCAAUUGUUGGAGAAAAAUACAGGUUUUUAAAUUUUUUAUAACACCUUUUAAGAUCGCUCUCAUAUAAUAUAUAAGAAUUUGUAAUCUAGAAAUCGUACCUUGAAAAUCCGAUUAAGCUUUUUUCGCUAAAGUGAUUUAGGUUCCUAUAUCACGAUCCGUCACCACCACGCUUGUCAGAUCACGAACUGUCACCAAUGAUCUUCUAGGUUAUGACUCAGGUUUGAUAUGCACUUGACGUGUGGGCGCCUUUAUCACUACCAAAGCAACUAGCACGAGAAAAUUUUUCUCUCAACAAUAGAGAGAAAAAUCUUUUUCUCUGAUCUGUAUAAAGUGGCUGCUCUAUCUUUUCUUUAGAGAAAAUAAGCCUUUUAUAUCUCCCUUUAGUGAAAACCCUAGGCUCCAAAUCAUCAAAAUCAAAACUCACGUUACUUGCUUUUUCUAUAGGGGACCCACCUUGUAAAAUAACAUAAGGCCCCUUACACACAAGCUAAUUAAAUGAAGCCUCCCACUAAAUUAUAUAUUUAGGCUUUUGACCCAAAUAACUAGUUAUCUUUCUUAUUAAUCCAGUAGUGGUGCAGUCAAUUAAAUGAGCUAACCCGGGGAUCAUUUGGGAGCAUACAAUAGUGGCUAUAACAAUUAGGCAUGUAAUUAAAAUAUCCUAAUUAUUUAAUUCCAAAUCUACUUCACUAAAAGAUUGGAAUUGACCUCCAUAAUUGUAUGCUCGAAUAAUAAUUCGUCCCAAGCCACAUUGAUUUCUUUACUGCACAAUCCUUUGUACCACAUCAUUAAUUAAAUCGAUAUCUCAACUGUCAAAUCAAUUUAAUUACAUCUUGUUCCUUGAUAUUUACUGGUUUUCUCUAAUGAUCAUUUUCAACAUACUAAAUAUGUUGACACACUCUGGCCAGAGAAUUCUAUGAUCAAGUGUCGAAAACUCAUCAAGAGAUGUGUUGUCCAAAUUAUAUAUUGUUAAUCCAUAACUCUAAUACUCAUAAUUGCUCCCACCAAGAUACCAGGUAAUCUUGACCACAAGGAUGUGUCGUGCCCAUUGGUAACUCAAAUGGAAUAACAAUUACAAUCAUGAAAUCAUAAUUAACUCAAGAUUAAGAUUACAGUAAAAUCAAUGCCUAUGAGAUUUAAUAAGUCUGACAGUUAUUACAAAGUUAAUUAAAUCUCAUAUGUGAUCCUGUUCAAUGUAGUCGUACUACAUCAAUAAAUUCAUACAUGAUUAAGACAAAUCAUUCAAUGAAUUUAUUACAGUCUAUACCUAAAUAAAGUGCCCAACUUUAUUUAUCAACUGCGAACUAAAUUUAUUUAAUCAUAAGAUAACUUGUAUUUAUGUCUUCUGUGAAUCCACAUGGUGAUCAUAUAAAUACAUAUAAUAUGAUUAAAUGGACUUUAAUAAAAAUAUUAGUGCAAUUAAGAUAUUUGAAUAAAAUACCUCAUUUAUUUUAUUAAUCAAAAAAUUGUUUAUUACAUUUAAAUAAACACAUAUGCUUUUAAAGAGUAUAUUUUCGCAACAAAAAUCAUACGGACAGACAAUGGGACAUAAUUUAUGCAUUUAUCUGAUUUCUUUGCUGAGCAUGGCAUUCAUCAUCAGACAUCUUGUGUGGGUACUUCUCAACAGAAUGGUCGAGUCGAAUGCAAGCAUCGACACAUUCUCAAUGUUGGUCGCGCUCUGCGCUUUCAGGCUUUCUUACCAAUUGAAUUUUGGGGUGAAUGUGUCUUAACUACUUGCUAUUUGAUCAAUCGAACACCUUCUGUUCUUCUUGACGGACAGACUCCUUAUGAACGACUAUUUGGCAAGGCACCAUCUUAUGCAAAUAUUCGGUCAUUUGGUUGCCUCGCCUAUGCCUACAACCGUGAUCAUCGCGGUGAUAAAUUCGCUAGUCGAAGUCGUCGCUAUAUAUUCAUGGGUUAUCCCUUUGGUAAAAAGGGAUGGUAUUUAUAUGAUUUGGAGAGUGCGUCAUUCUUUACUUCCCGGGAUGUAACGUUCGUUGAGCAUGACUUUCCCUACAAGGCUUUAACCGAACUAGCUGCUACCGCCACGCCUGCUCCUAAGCCUGAUGAACCGGUUUUAGCUGAGGAUUUAUUUAUCACAUGAUUUAAGUGCUCCUGUUGUCUCACCAGAUUCGGUUCCUGUUGCUUCACAUGAUACAUGCGAUAUUCUUGAGACCAUUAAUACUCCAUCACCAGUACCCGCUUUUCCUACUCUUGAUGAGCAUGCUUCUGAUGACAGGGGGGCAUUGAGGCUGUUGAGACAUCAUUGCAACAACAACCGGCAUUGGGGCGCCAUCUUAGACAGCGGCAACAAUUGAUUAAGUUAAAAGAUUAUGUCUUGCAUACUGUUAAGCAUUUGAGUCCCUCUUCGCGGCCCUCUUCAUGCUCACACAUUCAAUCAUUUUCUGCAGGUAGUCCUUAUCCUAUACUUGAUUAUGUGAAUUGUAAUAAUUUUUCUGCUCGACAUUGUGCUUUUCUAGCAGCGAUUACUGUAGGAGUUGAGCCUGCCUCUUUUGCUGAAGAUGUGAGAGAUCCUAGAUGGCGUGAGGCCAUGAAAUAUGAAUUGCAGGCACAGGAAAAUAAUAACACAUGGACUGCUGUGUCUCUACCACUUGGAAAGUGUGCUAUAGGCUGUAAGUGGGUGUACCGGAUUAAGUACAAUGCUGACGGUACAGUUGAAAGAUACAAAGCUCGCUUGGUGAUCCUUGGGAACAAGCAAGUUGAAGGAAUUGAUUACACAGAGACAUUUGCUCCUGUCGCAAAACUUGUUACAAUUUGAACUUUUCUGGCUGUUGCUGCGGCUAGGAAUUGGGAGCUUCAUCAGAUGGAUGUUCACAAUGCUUUCUUACACUGUGAGCUUAAUGAAGAAGUUUACAUGUGCUUGCUGCCUGGUUUCACCUCAAACGAAUCUGGAAUGGUUUGUCGUCUAAGAAAGUCAUUAUAUGGAUUAAAGCAAGCUCUCCGUUGCUGAUUUGCAAAGUUGGCAGUGGCUUUGAAGUCUUACGGCUUUGCUCAAUCAAGCUCGGAUUAUUCUCUUUUACCUUGCAUCGGGAUAACAUACAUCUACUUGUGCUUGUGUAUGUUGACGAUAUAAUUAUUUCGGGAAACAACAGCAAAGCUAUUCAGGUAUUCAAAAUGUAUUUGAGUGAUUAUUUUUAUAUGAAAGAUUUGGGUCCAUUGAAAUAUUUUUUGGGUAUUGAAGUUGCAAGAAAUCCGACAGGAAUCUUCCUGUCUUAGCGGAAGUAUGUGUUAGAUAUUAUCUCUGAGGCUGGAUUACUUGGUGCAAAACCAGCCCCAUUUCCCUUGGAACCGAAUCAUCAGCUAGCUUUGGCCGAAGGCCUUUAUUUUUCUGAUCCUGCGAAAUAUCGACGACUCGUAGGCAGAUUAAUUUAUCUUUCCGCUACAAGGCCAGAGUUGUCUUAUUCGGUUCAUCUGCUUUCUCAAUUUAUGUAGCAGCCGCGAGAGCGACAUUGGGAAGCAGCUUUGCGGGUAGUUCGCUAUCUAAAAGGUAACCCUGGUCAAGGUGUGUUUUUAAGAUCAUAUUGUGAUUUGCAACUUUAUGGGUGGUGUGAUUCUGAUUGGGCAAGCUACCCCCUAUCUCGGCGUUCUUUAUCUGGGUGGUUUGUCAUGCUUGGAUCCUCUCAUAUAUCCUGGAAAUCUAAGAAACAACACACCGUUGCGCGAUCCUCUGCUGAGGCCGAGUAUCGUGCCAUGACAACAGUUACAUGUGAGCUCAAGUGGCUCAAAGGGUUGUUGAUGUCUCUCGGAGUUGAUCACUCACGGCCCAUGCACCUGUAUUGUGACAGCCAGGCUGUUCUUCAUCUAGCUACCAACCCUGUGUUUCAUGAACGGACCAAGCACAUCAAAGUUGACUGUCAUUUUGUCUGAGACGAAAUUCAACGAAGAAACAUACGGCCUGCUUAUGUAUCUACUAAUAUUCAGCUAGCUGAUAUCUUCACAAAGGCACUUGGCAGCAAAGAGUUCGAGUUCCUUCUUCCCAAGUUGGGCAUUCGUGAUCUCCAUGUCCAACUUGAGGGGGGGUGUUAACUCACGUGUAUAUAUAUAUAUAGCAAGUUACAUGUAUAUAUUAUUGGUUGUUAUAUGCUUCCUAGUUUGAUAGGAUUUCCUUUCCUUGUGAACUAGGGUAAUUCUUAUGUGCAUAUAAAUAUUAAUCAAUAAGAGAGUAGACCAUGGAAGCCACGACAGUUUUUGCAUCGUAAAAUUCUUCAAGAUCCAAAAUUUGUGAAAGAAGCCACGAAGAGAUUUUACACCAUUCAACAUGCCUAUUCUGCUGUUAACCUUACUAAAUUCCAAAAUUUUUAAUUCUUAUUUAUUUAUUUAUUUAUUAUGCAUGUAAUUUGUAGUAUACAAUAAGAAAUAAAAUUGUAAUCUUUUUAUAAUGACGGAUAAUUAUCGGAUUCACGAGAUGUUGUUUUCCUUCUUCUCUCUUCAAGUUCUAUCUGAUGCCACCAAAAGGUUCUUGUACUAUGUGGGAGUCUAUGAUAGUGAUGAUGAAUAAAAUAAUAUGAGCUCCAAUUUUGUGUGUGUGUGUCUCUCUCUCUCUCUCUCUCUCUCUCUAUUUCUCUCUCUCUAUAUAUAUAUAUAUAUAUUGUUUUCAUUUCAUCUUUAACUUUUUAAUGCGCUUUUGUUGCUUUGAAGAUACAGGAAAAUUAACUCCUACAGGAAGGGGGGUGGGGAACGAGGGAGGAUUUUAUUACAUGAGACUUUUUAGUUUUGUUUUGAGGGAAUGGGAGAUUUCUUGAAUGAAAUGGCUGUGAUGAUGAGCCAAACACAAACUAAUGUAAGCAUUCUUCAAUGCAUAUUUUUGUUUUCUAUAGAAUAAUUUGAGAAUUGUGUUUGGAAAUUCCUAGGCAUUAUUUAGCUUUUUCCAAGCUUUAGUUAUGGCUUUUACUUUGCUGGUUGGCAAAAGAAUGACGGUACUUUGAUUUCUCCUAAUCAGAUUGCAAAUGGGUCACUUAGUCACAAGGGCAACAUAUUUUAAUCUGUUUUUAUUUUUAUCCCCAGUGUGUUCAUGCUCUGAAAAAUAGUGUUUCAUGGUGCCUAGUUUUGGUCUUGUUCAAUGGCGAAUUACAUAUAAGUUCUAUUGUUGGAAAAUUGAUUGGUGAAGCAGACAUGCAACUAAAGUGAAAUUGAGAAAUAAUGAGACAACAGAAUCACACAGGGACACCAGGAUUUAAGUGGUUCGGCUUUUAACCUAGAUUCACGGGUGAAAAUAGAAAAAAAAAUAUUUUACUAGUGAUAUGAGAAUUACAAGUAUUGUAAUAUUUUGGUUCACUAUCCAGAAUCCCAAUAUACCCAAUCGUUCACUCACUAAUCUCUCAAAUCAAGAGUUUAUUAAACUCUUAAUACUCUCAACUCUCUAAAUGUAGGAAAUGCUUCUCUCAAACUGGAUGUUGAAAUGAGGAGGAGCAUCCUCAUUUUAUAGCCAAAAAUUGGCUACUGUUCAUGCCUAUUAUUUUAUUUAUUUAUUAGUAUUUUUUUCCCCUGAGCGGCCCGCCACUUUCUUUUCUUCUUCUUCUUCUUAUUUCUUCUUGUUUUUUUUUCUUUUUCCUUUGCGGUUGAGCACUAUUAGUGCCCACUGCUUACUUUUUGACAUCUAUGUGGGCCCUACAAAAGUUGUUCUUGGAGGAAUUGAAUAAUUGAAUUAUUCAAUCUGACUUAAUCUUCCAGCAGUGUUAUUGCUUGGUAUUUAUCUUUGUGUGCUUGGAUUGUAAAUUUGACAGGAAAAUGGUGAGGAGACCUUGGAGGAAUUGCAGAAUUUGUUUGAAUAGAUGUUUAAAGGAGACACCAAUGCUUUCAGGCCUAAACUUAUUCUGAUUAUUUCAUCAGUACUUAGAUUUGAACUAAGAAGUUUUUUGUGAUGGUAUGUUAGCUUGUAUAAAUUUCCUUUCUUUAAUAAAAUCUCCCUUUGUUUUUAGCGAAAGUUAAUAAGAUCGGAUGGUGGAUUGUACUUCUGUGUGUUAAAUGACAUUUUAAACAACGUGCUUCUGGCUAUGAAAUAACUAACUAAAAAUGAAGACAACUGGACAAGAAAUGAUGUUUUGAAAGUCACCUAGUAGUGUUUGUUCUAAUGGUUUAAUCUUCAAGGUUUUUUUUUUUAUUGCAAAUAUUGAUGCUAGAGACCUCGAACCAUUUUUUAUGAUUUAGAAUGUUGUAACCACUAGAAGCUUCCUUGUCAUAAACUGGUGGCUCAGAUUAUUAAAAUGUUCAUGAGAAAGCUAAUCUGAUUUCCCAUUGUAUAUUAUUAGAUUCCCUUUUGUUGCAAUUGAGCAGGUCUCAAGAUUCUGACCUUUUUCACCCCGCUUUCUGACAGAAGAAUUUGCCUAUCAUUGUCAAGUGUUUGGCAAUCAGCCACCAUCUGCUGUAUUCAUUAUGAAGGCAUUGUAAAUUUGAUCCCUUAAGAAGGGGAGAAACUGAUCAAGCUGAUUGGUUAUACUCAUUGUAUGCCACAAGUGCUUUAUCAAACCACAACAGGCAACACCCGUGCGAAGGGCGCAAGCCAAAAUUGAUAGUUGGACCAGUAUCAUCAAGAUACUCCUUUUCCGGUCCAUCUAUGUCUUACUGAUGGCAUUUUUACUAUUCAUCCUCUGUAUUGUUUGUUUCUUUAGCAAAUUUCUUUCUGUAUUAUGAGUCUUAAUAAAAGUUUAAUUGUAGACAGCUUUUUUGCCUUGAAAGUAUAUUUUAAACCUUUCAAACCAACUAGCUCUAUUGGGAAACUUAUGACUUUAUAGAAAUAUUUGUUGCAUUUUGUCAUUGAUGGUCAGUCCAUAAAAUUAGUUGACUGAUAGUGUCAAGCAGUUAGCAAUACAACUUUCUACCAAUGAUAUAACUCUUUUCAUUCUGUAUUUUGUUCGAGACUUAAUUCGGUUCCAUUAUGUCAUUAUCUGUGCUUGAUUGAGUUGCAUGUUCAUGCACAAGAAUUUCCCAUCGCGGCGUUCCUAAGCUACUUUAUAAGACCUAGAUUUGUCUUUAACUAGGAUAUGGCUUUUUUUGAGUUGAAAAGCCUACUGUGAAAGUUAUCUGCUCAAAGCAAAAAAAAUUUGUUUCCGUGGGAGGGAAAUUAAAUUUUGACGAAGUUUGCUUUGGGAAUUUUGAAGAUAACUUGUAAAUUUGUUAACAUAUUGAGUGAUUCAAGGUUUUCAAUGCAUUUCUUCCAAGGAAUCAGUUUUGUUUGGCUUCUCAAACUGUGCUUCUAAUCCAAUAUCUUAUCUACGGCUGCCAAAAAGCUAUUCACUGUUAUAAUGGAUUGUUAUUGGAAAUAAUCAAAUAAAGCCUAUGAAGAAUUAGAAUAAAAGCUAUAUUUUGUCUUUGUGAAGGGAAUAUUUGACAGCCAAUCCACCGAUAUUUUUUUCAAUCAUUUCGAGACAUACCGGAGAAAUCUAAUUUAAAAAGUUGGUAAAUUUUAAUUCAUUCUCCCGAUAGAACAACAAUCUUGAUUUUAUCACCUAAAAGAGUGAAAAUAUCAAUUUAGCCUUCAUUUUCAUUUAAUGAGGUGAGAGCAGAUUGAGGAUACGGUAAUGAUUUGUUUUUUUUUUUUUGGGGAAAAAUAUAAAAAAGAGAUGCUAGUUCUUUGUAGGGUCGUUUGUAGAGGCAAAGGCUUAGCUCGAAUGAUAAGAACAUUGCCUUCUUAGGGCCAAAGACGUGAAUUUGAGCCUUAUCCUCCUGGAAGUAAAUAGAAGACUUAUCAUUUUAAGUGAGGGGCAAAUUAAAGUUAAUUCUAAAAUGUUAUAUGAAACAACUUUAGCCUUUUACAACUAUUAAUUGUCUGCUACUAUUUUCUUUUUUUAAUUCUAAAGUCUUUAUUACUCUUUCUCAUAUUUGGGCAAAGCUACUUUGCAAGUACCCCUUUUUUGUCUUUUUCUUAAGGUCAAUUAUAAUAGAGUCCUGUAAUUUAUUCUAAAAAUAAAAAAGCUAAAAACUUUUAAAUUUUCACAUAUUAGUCCCACACCUACAAAUUUUCAGUUGCAUUAAUGCUUCUGGAAGCCAGAUUUUCAGGACAAAAACUCAAUUAAAUUUAUUUAAGUGUACAAUUAAAUUUACUCCUUUUAUUUUAGGACAAAAAUUCAACCAAAAAUACAAAACUCAUUGCUCAAACAAACAAAAAUGAUUUUACAAAUUCAUAAACUAACUCUUUAUUGUUAUUAGUAAAUUAAAAUAUUUUUACUACAUAAUUAAAUAAUUAAGUAUGUUAAUUAAAUAUUAUGUUAUAAAAAAAUAACAAAACAUUACCUACAUAGAAUAUCAAAUUAAAUUUAUUUUCAUAUUUUGUGUAUUCCAUCUACUUGACAUAUAAAAUCUCUUGUUUGAGGAAAAAAAAUAUAUAUGGGGUUUGAACCCUACUCACAUGGGUGAAAGAAAAUUGGUUGCCGUGUUAAAUUAAAAAAAAUCAUAUUUAUAUUUAUCAUCAAUUAUGAUUAGUAAAUAAUUUACAUUGAUUAACUAUGUAAUAAUUUAGUUAAUAUAUUAAUUAAUAAGUAAAUUUAUUAAUUUAAAUAGAUAUUAACAAAUGUAAGAAUAAGUCAUUUAAUUGAAAACCUAGUUCAAUAGAGUAAAAAAAAAUAAAAUAUUGUGGACUUAUAUGUCAGAAUUAUAAAACGUUUGAUUUUUCUUAUUUUGCAUGAACAACAAGGGCUUUUAAUGCUAAUGACCCAAUAAUCACAUCUAACCAUUAUUCAACUCUCACGUUAAAUCCAACGGUGGAUUUGAAAAAGACAAAAGAAUGGGGUACCAAACCUCAUGGGUAUAGUAGCUGGACCCAUUAGUAGUUAGCAGAUAUUCUAAAUUUUCUUUUAACAUUUUAUUCUAACAUUUUUUCCCCGAAAACGACAAUUGCAAGAUAAUUUGACCUAUCUUGACUGACUGAAUUUGGAUAACUUGUGUUACGCUCUCUCUCGUAAUUCAUAAAGACGACCACUUUGAUUUGCACUAUCCUUUCUGUGUCAUUGUGCUCACGUUGCAAGGGAUGCGUCACGCCCGCAGUUGUCGAAUUAAAGUUACAUUACAUUUACAUACGUUAAAGACUUGAUAUGAAUAUUCUCUAUCGUCUUUAUUGACCCUUUUUUAUCUUUUAUUUUUCCUUGUGUCGAAAGAAUCCUUCACUGAUUGGAAUACCCAUGAUGACUGGUUGCAAUUGGAAGAGUCCCUGAAAUUCAUCUUUCAUUCGAUCUUAAAUACUUUCUCCGAGCAAUUAGAAUACAUUAAGAUUUUAUGAACUUGCUUGGUAGAUCAUUCAACUGCUUAAUUGGUGCUGUUAAUUAAUUGAUUAUCUUCCCGGAAACACAUUAAAGACUCUCACGGGGAUUCAUUAAACCUUUUCGCUGGGUCAAUUCUAGAAGCAUCAGACAUAAAAGCUUCAUGAUAAGAGCACAAGCCUAUCGUCUUCUAAAGCUCCUUGAAAAAGCUAGCUAUUUUCUUUAUUGUCAUUUCCAUCCAUUUUAACCCUCUCUUUUUCAUUUUGUACAAUUUUGACUUGACUCUGAAAUAGAGAACAAUGAUAUUUAGACAGAAAAAUUUAAUAGAAUGUUUAAAAAUAAAAUAAAAUUAGUCUCGGUUUAUCUUGUACUAGUUUUACCUUAUUGAUGUCAAUGAUUUUCUAAGAGAAAAAGAAACUUCGUUAAUUUUACCUUUGUUUCAUGAUGAGGUAAAAUAUGAUUUUUUUUUUAAUUUUUAAAAGAUUUCUUCAAAUCAUUUUCAAGUUGAUUUAUUUGGUUGGACUGUAAAAUAGGUUUGGGCUUAAUCCAUCUCUAAUUUCUUUCUUUUUUUUAAUUUUUUUCCAGUUUACCAUAAAAUAUUAUGUGUGUUGCAAGUACUUGCAUGUGUGCGUGUGCGUGUGCGUGUGCGUGUGCGUGUGCGUGUGCGCGUGUGCCAAGAGACGAACAAAUAUACAAUGAAUAGAGAUUUCUAGACCUAAAGACUUCAAAUUAAUGGUGAAACGCCUUUGCAAAUUAAACUAAGAAAAAUUGAAAAAGUAUUUUUAUCAUUUUAUGCAUGGAAUUCCACGUCCAUGCAUGCAUGUACCCAACAAAUGCACUUGUAAUUAAGUAUGCAUAUGGUACAUCACAAAAUAUUGUCUUGGAAAAGUCUCAAUGGAUAACUCAUGACAUGUCAUUGUACGUACACGCACAACGAAUAAUCCUUGCGACGACUUGCAUAAAAAAAAGUCUGUUUGACCCUGUAGUUUAAGUACCCAUGGAGGAGUCAAUAUAUUUUUAGAAAUUUACUCAAAAAAAAAAAAUUCUAUAUUCUUUUGUUAAAAUCUACUUAAUUAUUUUCUAUUUUUCAUCUGUUAUAUAUUAGAUUAGUUUGAAUUUUAAAUUUUAUCAUAUAGAAAUUCUAUUUUAAUUUUAAAAAUUUAUGUCCAACAACUAAGAAAGUAAGUAAAGAGAUGUUUUGAAAAAUUUUUUAAGGCCAAUGCUAUGUUACGUUGAACGUAACAUAGGGUGAUCCAUCUUUUAAAGGUUCAUCUUUUAAAAUAUAAUAUUGACCAAACUGGGUAAUUGACUCGAGCUAUGGGGCUUAAAAUAAUUUUUACCUAUUUAACAAAUUUAAAAUUGUUUUCCAAAAAAAAAAAGUAAAUUAAUUUCUAUCUUUAUUAAUAAAAUUAUGACAUAACUAAGUAAUAUUCAUAUUGUUCUGAGAACAACUUCUUGGUUUAGCGAUGGACCUUACAUGUGGAGGGUUGAAAUCUUUUAUGUAUAUACAUAACAUGGUGUUAAUAAUAGUAAUUAAAAGGGAGUGUGUAUACCACACACCGGAGACCAAAAAGUGAUUGUCAAAUCCGGCAUUUUUUGGUCGAACGAACCAUUUCACUUGGCAUUUUUUGAUUAUUACUUGUUUAAUACUUUUGUUUGCGGUAUUUUAAUUUGAGAGAGAUAUAAGUCUCAAAGGAAUGUCGGUUUUACUUAAGGUUGUUGUAAUUAGUAGUUUAAAAAAAAUACUAGCACAACUCUAAUAAAUAACGGAUAAAAAUUCCUAAUUAAUUUGAAUUCAUCUCUCAUUUGUCAUUUAAAAAAAAAAAGAUAAAAAAAGACUCAAUAAUAUUCUUAUUGAUAAACAUAGUAUUUGACACUUUUGUCUAUUCGGAAACAAAGACUAACGACAAUAUGCUUUAAACGCUUUUUAUGGUUCAGCUCUAUCAACUUCAACGUAAAAUCACAGAUCGAGCACAUAAGUCAUGACCAUCAUUUUCAAAAUUCUCAAAUAUAAUCUAAUUUCUCUAUAAUCAUAACAUUGAGGUAAGUUAAUUUUAUUAAUAUGAGAAUAUUAUAAUUAACUUAUAGUUACAGAAAUUAUCGUUUUCACUUAGUUAUCCUUCGUGCAAUUAAAUUAGAGGUAAAAUAUUUACUAUAUUAAUAAUUAAUUACUGGAUUAUGUCAGAAAUUGAUAUUAAAGGUAGGCUUAAUUAAAAAAAAUAGUCUAUACUUUUUUGCAAUAGACAAAUAAUAUUACAAUGCAAGGACAAAUUCUUUUUAGACAAGACUUAAAAAUAUUAUAACUUAUUAUAAUAUAGAGUAUAUCCUUAGUUAUAACUAACUUAAAUUGAGAUUAAAUCUUUUUUAUAAUUAAAUAAAAAUUAUUUUUAUAUAAAGUAUGACUACAUAGGAGAAAUAUUUUAUUUCUAUAUAAAGUAUAUAUGACUAUAUAGAAGAAAUAUUUUAUUGUAUAUAGCUAUUUCUUUCUCUGUUAUUUCUAUCCACUUCAUGGGCAUUGUCUUAGUCUUUUCCCUUUUCUAUAACAAUAUUGGUUUAACUAUGAACUAAAUGUUUUUUUUUUCAAUCAUUAAUUAAGAUUAGGUAGGUGUAUCUACCAACACGGUUGCAACUAAUUACCCACUAUAAAAUUUUAUUCUCAAUUCCCAUGGAAAAGUGUGUAUGCCUAUAUAUAAUCGGACUUUAUUAUCAGUGUUAUGGAUAGAGGAAUUAUUAAUUUUAAAUUAAUAUUUAUUUUAAUCAAUUUGACAAUAUAUAUCUUAUCCUUGAUUAAUUUAUAUGAAUGAAUAUCAAGUGUAACGUAAAAUAUUAUUUGUGUUGCACAUGACAUGCGGACAAAAGAAUGCAAAGAUUCCUUAAAUUAACAAGAUUCAAAGUAUGAUAUAGAAAAGAAUUUAAAAUUAAAAAAAAAAAAGUAAAAUAGAAAGUUGAAUUUAACAAGAUUCAUGUACAGGAAGAAAAAGAAUUAAUAAAGUGAUGAAAAAUUGGUAAUCGUGGCAAGUAAUCUUAUUCAUGUACGAGGCGGCACGACCCAAGACUUGGAGAUUAAAUAAUGAAACUUCUUUGCAAACGAUAGAAACUCCAAUUUAUGGAGAGACUUGACGAGUAUUUUAUCAUUUUAUGCAUGGAAAUCCACGUGCAUGCAUGCAUGUUCUCCACGCUUGGAAAUUUUGCAAAUGGCUUCUCCCUUUAAUGGGAUGCACAGUUUUCGUACAUCAAUAUUGAAAAUGUCCUCUAACAAGUGUCUCAAUUAUUGGAUAACAUGUGCAGUCCUUGUAAUUCAUUGAUAACACGUCCCUCAACAAUCUAUAAUACAUCAAACUACCAAAUUGGCCAACAAAUCGAUGAUACUUAUGUUUUGAAAAACUAUCAUGUAAUUGAUGAUUAUAUCAAAUUUAACUAUAUAUAUUAUAUAUACAUUAGUUGAUUGUAUUGGUUUUGAUGUAUUGUAAAAUUUUUGAUUUUAUGGGCAUAUAAUAUAGAUUAUCAAAAUUUAAGUUUCUUCACAUAUGCGCGCGCACACACAUACACACACAUAUAUAUAGGAGUGACUAAUGAGUCUUUUUCUUUUCUCAUUUUGAGAAAAUCUCAAGUACAUAAAACUUAUUAUAACCAUUUAGUGAAAUUAGUUAUGACAUACGCAUUCUGAUUUUAUUAUACUAUAAUUAUCUUCUUCUUCUUUUUUUCCAACUUAAAUGUACACGUACGUGAUCAAUGACUAUGGAUUAUGUAAAGGAGUUUAUCAUUUUAUUGAAAUUCUAACGAUUGUCAAAGCAUAUUAAAGGGAGAUUGGCAGUUUUCUUCAUGUAGAAAUUAAUACAUACCAUUUCCAUUUCUCUUCUUAUUGCUUCUAUAAUAAUCAAUAACUUUCAUUCAUCAUAAUUUUAUAGUAUUAUUCUUAUUUUAAGAUAUUUUAAAAUUUAUUUAAUUAUUCAUCUUUAUUAUUAAUUAAAUGAAUUAUAUAAACAGAAAUAUAUAUUUUGUCUUUAAACAUAUUUUCUUAUAGUAAAUAUAUAUUUUAUAUUUUUAAAAUAAAAUAUCAAGUAAAUGACCUAUUUACCUUUACUUUCUUUUAAGUUUUUUUUAUACGAAGAGAUUAUUAACUAUUAUGAAAAUAAUAGACGAAUAAAUAUUUUACAUAAAUUUCGACAGGGAGAAACUAUCAAUACUCUUAAACGAUUGAACCUUCAGUAUCUUAGUAGUUGACUGUGAAUGACAUUUUAUUCCACCCCAUUGCAAUUGUUGCUUGUUUUCCACGGAUAUCUUGAUUACGUUUGCAAGCUUAUGUUAUAAGGGCUUCGUCAUUGCCAUUAUUACGAAAUUAAAUAGACUACGAUUGUUGACCUAAUUUGAAAAUUCCUCCAUUGUUUAUUAUUUUUCCCUUUUUAAUUUAUCAAUAUCAGUCAUAUCAAGUCAUUCUUUUAAUCAAAAACCUUGGGGAAGACGAAAUAUAUAUUAACUUACUGUCUUUUCUCAAUAACUUUUUAGGUGAGAUUAGUUUAAUAAAUUACAUGAUAAAUAAUACUCUUGCUUGAGUCUAUAUAUAUAUAAUUAUAUAUGAUAUAACAUUAAGAUUCUUUUUUUUUUGUCGUAAUACAUAGAAUUGUUCGUACUAUUAUUAUAACAAAAUAAUUAAAAUUUAUGAGUUGAAGUUGUCAGAAAAAUAAACUUAUUUCCAAUGAAUGGCAUUUGGAGGAACAAAAUCAAUCCGGAAGUUUUUUACGCGGAAAAAAUCAAUUAACAUUAAUGACGUCCAAAUGUCCAAAUAUGGUGAGAAAUUGAAUUCUUCAAAACCUUGCUGUUUCUUCAUAUUUCUUUACAAAUUUACCGAUUCUUUACUCUAAAUUCUAGUAUUAGUCUUCAUACAUACAAUGGAAACUUAUUCUCUAAGAUACUGUAAAAAAAAAAAAAAAAAUUAACAAAACCUAAUAAUUUCAUAGUGCGCAAGCUAAUAUCAUAGCUAAAAUGAAGUUGGUAAAUUUUGAUAUAACUAUCUAUUAUGAAUGAUAAUUACGUGGGCCUAAACGUUCCAACUUCCGAAUACAUUAUUCUAUAUUUUGGAGAGAAAAAGGAAAAGGCAAAAUCUUUUAGAUAAGAAAAAAAAACUUUUUUUUUUCCUCAUGAAAAAGCAAUUGAAUUAAAAAGUAAAAAUUUCUUUACAUUUUCGCCGGAGAAACAGAGUCAAAUUCAAAUACGACGACUCAAGCGCAAAAGCCUAUAAAUAAAGCCCGGCUCCAGUUCCCUGUCAGAGGCUACGGAUUUGAGAGAUUAAAGAACAUCAACCGAACAGUGAGACUCCGUACUCUUGACACAAACUUGCAAAAACUUUUAGGUAAUUUUUUUCGAUUAAUUUUUUAAUUUUCGAGAAUAAAGAGAGAGAGAAAAAAAAAAAAACAGAUGGGAUUAUGUUUGUCUGGGAGUGAUGUGAGGGGAGGGAAACAAGCCGUAGGUGGGGCCCACCUCCGGCCCACCAGCGCGGCUGAUCACCACAAUGUCUCUGGUCAAAAUGACGCCGUUGAUUUCUUCUUCAAAUCUCGCGGCCUUCAUGCCCUUUUCACCCAAAUCGAGGUAUAUGUGUGUACCUGAAUUAUAUGAGUCUUUCACUGCCAUUAUUAAUAAACUAUUUUCAGUUAAUUAAUUAAUUAAUUAAAAAUCUAUGAUUAGUUUAUGUUUUUUAAUUUAUUUAUAAUUUUUUAAAUCUGAUUUCGUUCAUGUUGGUAAUUGUGAUGGAUUCUCAAAUGGUCACUCUUUUGAAAAUCUAUUAUCAAAUUAUGUUUGUUAUUAUUACUUAUUUGAUGACUUUUCAGUGUAACAUCGAACAACUUAAAUCAUUUAUAUUUGAUAAAAGUUAUUUGAUAAUUCGAACAUAACUAGAGAGUAGAUUCCUAUUCAAGAAUCAACCGCAAUCCCAAACAUGCCUUUUUUUUUUUAAUUUGUUCUGGUGGCUGAUCUUUUGCUAGUGUUGGUUCGACGGUUUCACACCAAGCAACUGCUUUUGUUUUGCAUAUGGAGAACAGUAAGUUUAACUGCUUAUACCCAAUGAUAACAUUCUGUGAAGUGAAUUUUAGAUUAAGAUUGGUUAAGGUAAAUAAAAAAAGAAUGGUGUUGAAUGCACAGUGGCCUUGUGAACAUUGAAAAAGUCGAUGUUUGAUCCUGUUGAAUGCACAGUGGUUUUCCUGUGUAUCCUCAAAGUUGACUAUUCUGUUAUGCCUCAUUUAUCAAAUUUGACUCAUACCCCUCGUGAUCAAAUUUGACUUAUACCCCUCGUGAAGAUUCCCCAUGAUAAUGCUCCCCUGAUUGGAACAUGAUUUUGUGAAUGCUGGUUUGCAUAAGACAAACCAUUAACUUUAUAAAAGAUUGUGGAUUAAGGAUUUUGUUGUUACGAGGAUAAGAAUGUCUUUCCAUAACGUAGACCACCAAGUGAUUGUAAUAUUCCUGUAUUGAUGUGGACCUUACCUGAGGAUCUCCUUGCAAACUUUCCUGGAGAAAAGGCAACAAGUCAUAUGAUAACAAAUUAAAUGUGGUUCAAUGCUUGUAAUUGACGUGUCACAUCCUGUUGUUAUAUAAAACUUAAUUACAUAUAUUAUUGCUUGCUGCUUAUAAGAUUUAAUAUUAGAAGUGAUUCUGUCAGAAUCCGAAAUGAUGGUUUUCUGCAUGUUCUGUUUAUGACAGAUAUAUAUUGCCUGUCAGUUGACCCACAUCGUACUGACAAUUUUCAUUUCGUGCAGCAUAUGCAUGGAUUACUCCUUUUCCGCUUUUUCAUGUAUCUGUAUUCGUUCUUAUGUUUUUGAAUAUGUAUUGCAGUUAUCUUUAUCUGCUUCAAAGUUACGUGAUCUUGACAUCGCAUCAAAGGUACGCCUUCAUAUCAUUGUUGUCUUAUGUCUGAUAAUGCCAUGUUCAUGCUGUUGAUAGUCUUGGUGAUUGAUUCUCAUGUUAUCUUGUAUCCUCCUUAUAUGAUCUGCUUAUUUGUUCAUAAUGGCCCUGUCAAUUUCCUUUCUCUGUUCAUAAAGGGUCUAGGGAUAUAUGAUCUGAAUAACGCUUAGUGCUGGCACCAAAAUUCUAAACUUAGACAAAGAAGAAUAGUUUGUUAUAUACACUGUCUAUCUCCAAUGUAAUCCAGUAAGGAGCAGUAACUUGAGAGUUCCAGAUAAUGUAUAACAAGUCAUGGUCGGUGGUUUUAUUGUUUUUGCAAUUUUGAGCACUAGUCAAAUAUGUUAUAUGUGCAAGAUAAAAUUCUUUGAUAAUGAACAUUUAUCAGCCGUAUAUCUUUUUACUGGCUGAUACUAGCAUACAUAAAAUGCUGCUGUAUUUUAACAAUGGAUUACUAACUAAAGUUAUUUAACUAAUAAAUGUCUAUAUUUAUAUGACAACUAAAGUUAUUUAACUAAUAUAUGUCUAUAUUUAUAUGACAUAAGUGGAUACAUACCCAUAUGCCUUCUGUUUUUUUUUUUUAAUUUUUAUAUUCACAAGCAAAUGUAUUUACAUGUCUUUUUGUGUCAUAGAGUGAUCCCAUGGCAGUUGUGUAUGCAAAGAAAAGAGAUGGGAGGCUGGACGAGAUUGGACGUACAGAGGUGAUUAUGAACAAUCUGAAUCCUGCUUGGAUUGGAAAGAUUUCAAUUGCUUUUCAGUUUGAGAUUGUCCAGCCCUUGGUGUAAGUUUUUAGUGUGUUCUUUUUAAAGUUUUUUUUUUCUUGAUAGGUCAUGCGCUUAAGCCUUGCUUGAUUUGAUAAUAUUUAAUGUUUUCGAAUUUCUUAAUGCUUUUCUUCUUUUUCCAGCUUUCGUGUGUAUGAUGUGGAUACCAAGUACCACAAUAUUCCAGUGAAGGUAUAAAAUUUCUUAAUUAUUUUUUUUCUCUCAAUUCAGAUGUAAAUGAUACGCACAUACUUCAGUUCCAAAGUUUAGAGUUAGCCAAGGCAUUUGACUGAUCCAUUUGUUGUCUAAGCAUACGUCUAAACUAAAUUGCAUCAGCAAUAGUUUCUAUCAAUUUCGGGAAAUUUGGGAAUACUUGAUUGAUUAUAAACUAACAUUUAGCAUGGAAAGAAACUUAAAAAGUUGGCUGUCAUAUACCAUAAACAAAUCUUAAGGCCAGGGUAGUUAUUAUGGAACUUUCUGCUAUUGCAUCUUGCAAGGUUUGACAUAUUUGUCCUGCUACCAUAACUGGGAAAGAACAAUUUUUCUGAUGGUCCUUACGGAUAAAUUUUCUUUUUUCCAAAAUGGAAUUUUGAUCUAUGUUGUUAAAAACAAUACAGUUAAAUAGUUGCUGCCAUGACCUAAAGAAGUUUCUGUAAAAAAUGACCAUAUUGUCAUUAUUGAAAUGGAUAAGUAAAUCUUUAGAGCCUAUGAUGUAUUCGUCUGUGGAAUUUGAGUCAAAAUGAAAAAAUUUUGAUGGUUAUAAUCCUAGAAACUGUAAUCAUUUGGAAGCAUUUGCUGAAAACAGUUAGAUAAUCUAAAAAUGUGAUGAUUAUUUAUGUCAAUUGUAAAUGGUAUUAACAUUACUGGGAAAAAUGAUAAAUAUGUAAAUUUAUGCCAGUGGAAAGAGAAAAUGAACAAAUCCAGAUGGAUUCUAAGACAUUAAGUAGGAAAUCUAUUGUUCUUUUGAUUCUUUGCUGCAGUGAUCCCUAAUUACUUUCAAGUCAUUAUUAUCUCAUGACAAAAUAUUUGUUGAAGUGUGAAGUUUAAAGCUCAAACUUCUUAUUUACAUUGCCCUGCAGAUGCUAAAGUUGGAGGAUCAAGACUUCCUGGGAGAAGCUAGCUGUGUUCUCUCUGAGGUAAGUUUCUGGGUUAUAUUUUGUUUGAUGAAUUUAUGUAUUUUCUCUUUAUCCAAUGGGCAAAAUAUGCCCAUCUAAUUUUCUGUAAAAAUCUGUUUCCUAUCAAAAAAAGGGAAAAAUAUUCUCAGAUGAUUUUUACUAGCAUUCGUCUUCUUCUUUAGCAUUCUUCUUUUGCACUAACAAGUGUCAUAUUUUCCUUUUAAAUGGCAGAUAGUGACCAAACAAAAUCGAACUUUAACCUUAAAACUCCAUAACAAUUAUGGACUUCGAGUUUCAAGAAACUUUGGGACACUCUCUGUCCAUGCUGAGGAAACAGUUGCUUCCAAGAGUGCUGUUGAAAUAGCAUUCUGUUGCUCGCAUUUGCAAAAUGUAGACCUGUUUUCCAAAAGUGUAAGUUCUGACAAAGUAGCUAAGUUUGGAGGUUCACUAAUUAAUCUAUUAAUUUAGAUGCUAUUUCUUCUUCUUCUUAUAUUCUAUAGGAUCCAUUCUUAAGAAUAUCUAGAAUUGUUGAGAGUGGAAAUUCUGUUCCUAUCUACAAGACGGAGGUGAUAAACAAUAACUUGAAUCCCAUUUGGAGACCAAUAACUUUGAGCAUGCAACAAUUUGUGAGCAAGGUAACCUUGUCAUCUUCUUGUGUUUGUUACUUGAAUGUAUAAUAGGUAGUGAAGUUUGGUCAUGGGGAAAUGUUUUUUAGUUUAUGAUUCUCUUUGGUACAGGAAAACCCAUUAAUCAUUGAAUGUUUUGAUUUCAAUACCAGUGGAAAUCACGUACUGAUGGGGUAACUGUUAAAUUUCUUAAUGUCAUCAGCUUCCCUCUUUUAUCCUUUUGCCUUUCUGAUGUCAAGGUUUUCUAUUUCUGUUAUUAGUAAAAUUCAGAAAUCAGUUGGAGACCUGGAGAAACUUCAUCAAGAAAGAACUGGUGCAACUUUUAUAUUACCAUCAACUCAACGUGGCCAUGACAAGGUGUUUAUUCUUUUUUGUUUUAACUCCACCAAAGGUGUUUGUUCAUGCUUACGGUUUUUGAUAAUUUAAUAUCACUUUAUUUUUUAUCUGACUUUUUCCUAGGUUCUGAAAAGUCAGUUGUUUGUUGAAAAGUUUGUUGAGAAAGAGCAAUAUAGUUUUCUGGAUUACAUAUCUAGUGGCUUUGAGUUGAAUUUUAUGGUUGCAGUCGACUUUACAGGUAAUUAGAAAGAGAUUACUUGUUGAAGAUAAAUUUGCAAUAUAAUCUUUUUGUUUUGUUUAUUUCCUCUUAUUUGGUCCAAUUUCAUCUGGUCUCUCAUUAAAUGCAAAAUCAUCCAGCUUCAAAUGGAAAUCCUCGAAAUCCAAAUUCUUUGCACUAUAUUGAUCCUUCAGGCAGAUUGAAUUCUUACCAGCAGGUAAGGCUUUGUUAUGACUCACACUUUGACAAGUGAUCUCUGAACUCUGAAGGUCAUAAAAUGGUCUUUUUGUCCAGUGUUUUCGACUUAGAAAAUGCCUGUGAUUUUCAAGUCUUUCUAUGGCCAUCAUAGUGAAAUACAUAUUUCAAUAGUUUGUAGAAGUUGAGAGAGACUAUCACUGAUUAGUUCUUGGCCUCUUCAACCAUUUACAGGCAAUAACGGAAAUUGGGGAGGUCAUACAAUUUUAUGAUUCUGAUAGACGCUUUCCUGCAUGGGGAUUUGGAGGGAAGACAUUUGAUGGCACUGUAUCACAUUGUUUUAACUUGAAUGGAAGAGCAGGUGGCUUUGAGGUAGGGGUAGCUGGAAUUCGCAACGUUGCUAUAAUCCUCAUUUGGUUGGCUUGUCUCCCAUAACUUUUCAUUUUUAAUAACAAACAAUAUAAUAUGUUUCUACAUUUUUUUUAAAAUUUCCUUGGAAUUAUAUCCUAAAAGAUGUGUAUUUUGUCCUCUUCCAUUUUUUCAUUAACUGCGUUUCUUUAUUUAAUAGGUAGAUGGAGUUGAAGGCAUUAUGGCUGCUUAUGCAAGCGCUCUAAACAAUGUUGCUUUGGCAGGACCGACUCUGUUUGGUCAAGUGAUCAACACAGCUGCACGAAUUGCUGGACAGUCCCUCUCAUACGACAGAAGCAAGUAUUUUGUCUUACUCAUUAUAACGGUGAUUACAAUGAUUCUAUAUAUUCACAGUUUUCUCUUUGUAUCAUUCUUUUUGGGUGAUUUGUAAAUUUGCAUUAUCUAUUUAGGAUGGAGUUCUGACAGAUCUCCAAGAAACAAAAGAUGCUUUGGUAAGGGCUUCUGAUCUUCCCCUGUCAAUUCUAAUUGUGGGUGUUGGAGGUGCAGAUUUUACACAAAUGGAGGUACGCAAUGUUUUCCAACUGGAAUAUCUUCUUACUAGCAUUGAACUUCUUUUUUCUAUAGUUUGACAGAUUCAAUUUAGAGUACAUAUGCAGUGUGGUAUUAUCCCACUUUUGUUGCAGAUUCUUGAUGCUGAUAACUUUGUUGGCAGAUUCUUGAUGCUGAUAAUGGCCGUAGAUUAGAGAGCUCUACUGAUCGGGUAGCUACCAGAGAUAUAGUACAAUUUGUUCCAAUGCGAGAAGUUCAUAGUGAGUGCAUAUGAUUCUUUGACAAAAUUAGUUCAAAAUAUUGAAUUUGGGAGUUAAUUCACAAAAGUUUCUGAAUUUUUUCAUGCGUUAACAAACGAACACAUUGUUUUCUGAACAGGUGGGCAAAUUUCUGUUGUACAAGCACUUUUGGAGGAGCUGCCUGGUCAGUUUCUGACCUACAUGCGCUGCAGAGAUAUCAAACCACUCAAUGUUCAGAUGGCCCAAACAUGCGCUUGAGUAAAUAUUCAUAUGUUUGGAAAGGAUACAAAACCAAGCUAAACAUAUUAGACAAAACCAAGCCAAACAUAUUAGGCUAUACAGACAUAACAUAGCAAAAAUUGAUAAUGGUACAUUACAUAUGUUAGGAUAUAGUGGUUUUAGAUGAUGGUAAAUUACAUAUGUUAAGAUAUAGUGGUUUAUAACUAACUUUUGAUGGCUUAAUGAAUUGAUUGAAUUUGUAUUUAGGUUCUAUCAAUUAUCUCAUAUUCUUCCCAUCCAUGUCUUUCGAUUUUUAUUAUUCCCUCUACCCACUUGUUUCACAAUUGUUUGUGUCUGAUGGCCUAAAACUCCAAUUUCUAUUGCUGUAUUAUCAUCUUUGUUGAAUAUUUACUACAAUGAACAUGUGCUGAAUGUCUACUUUUACUACUACACCAGCAAUCUAACACAUGGCUCACGUGCACACAAGACAAGUCUGAUUCACACAUCUUUAAUUUAGAUUCUUAUAUAGUCUUUCAAGAUGUCUGAAACAGCAUAGAUGAAGGACCCUUCCACCAUUCAACCUGGAAUGAUGUGAGUGAAAGAAAUUUCCGAAAGUGUUGUAUUAUAACUCUUUGAAACUGGGUUUGAGUAAUCAAGAGAAGCCAAAAUGUAGAACAAUAACAACAAAAAAUGAAGGCCCUCUUACCGUCUUAACUUUGAUAGAAAAUUCACGAGCUGCAUACCAUGUCUCACAAAUUUCAAUGAAAAUUGGCCUCAUUCCUGAUGCUGCACAGAACGUUGGCCUGAAUCAUCUUUAUGAUUUUGGACUUCCUGUAAACAACGAACAAAACAAAUUGAAGGUGAAAGCAGGAGCAACAGUUUUCAAAUAAAAUGGGAGUGCUUAAUCUAAUUGAACACUAACUUUUGGGUCUCUCAGUAAUGGAUACGUACCUUUGUUUCAAGAUAUAUCUGUUGUAUGGUAGAAUUAAGGUCGCCCUUCCAAGUCCAAUACUCACCAGACAGCCAGCGUUUCUCUAAUUCGUGUAAACUGGGAGUGCUUAAUUCUUUUCCAGAGAAAAUCUUCAUAUUGGGGCAUUUAUCCACACUUAAAUAUGUCAAAGCUGGGAACUUGAAGGCGCAGUUGCCAGAGCAGAAGCUUGUAAGUCUUCUUAAAUCACAAAGCUCCAAGUACAUCAACUCGCUGAAAACAAUUUCAUCUUUAGCAGCAUCUCCCUCAUCAGUUGCCACUACUUCUGUUAUCAUGCUGCAGUCAACGAUACUCAUCUCUGUCAGUCGUACCAAACUCUUUGCUGUCGAGGAUGUUAGCACAUUUAUCAAUCCUUUGCAUCUCCACACCUUCAAAGUUGUCAGAUUCUGAAACGAUGUUGAAGGUGGCACUAGAUUAAUCAAAUGGUCACAGUACUCAACUGUUAGAUGAACCAAAUUGUCCAUUUUGGACUCCUGGAUCAAAAUAUGCUUCAGAUCACAACAAUUGUGUAGAUUCCUUAUGAUUGCCUUCGUCCAAUUUUCUACUCCAUAUGAUGGCUUAACGCCCCCAACAUAUCCUCCUCCCCUUAUUGUGAGUUCUCUUAUGCUGUGAAAUCUCCGAAGGAAAUCAAGUGAUGAAAUAGUAGAUGACUCUUCAAAUAUAACAUCAAGAAAGUUGAGUUUGCAAAACAUGUCCGCUGGAAACUCAGCUGCCAUUGGUAUCUUCUUUCCUUCAAUGGUCAAAUAUUUCAAAUUGGGGAAUACCUGGUUGGAUGCAUGAUAAAUCAGGACCAAAAAGAAAACGUAACGCCAAUUAUUAAGAGUAAAUUUUAAAUCUUGUACGUACCUCUUUUGUCAAGUCAUGAGCAGUUAAAAGGAAUUCAGGACACUUUAUUACUUCUAAAUUUUCCAAUGUUGGAAAUUCAAUGUGCACAUCUCCUGUGCAGAAGCUUGUGAGCCUUUCGAGAUCUACCAUCUUUAGAAAUUGUAACUGAGGGAACACAACAUUCUUCCUUUCUUGCUGGUCUAUGACUAUUAUCUCUUCCAAAAUAGGGCACUCAUCUAUCUCAAGGUGUUGGAGUCGAAUAAAGCUGUUAACUAUAGAAGAUGAAAACAGACAUCUUAAUUCCCCACAGCCAUACAAAAUCAACCGGGUUAAAGUUUGAAUGCCACAAGACAUGGCUGGAAGUUGGCUUUUCCAAAUCCUCUCCACAUUUACAUUAUACAGCUCCAAGGUCUGCAAGUUUGGUAACCCACCCUGUUCACAAAACUUUCCAGCCGUUAUAUGAGGGGAGCAAAGUUAGUAUAUAAGUGCAUUCAGAGUACUUUUUCUUUCAUCCGAGAAUGUAUUUGUUACACCUACGUUACUCGGGAUGAAAAUUUUAAUAUAAUUAUGAAAUAUGUUCGUUAAUCCCUGAUUCACUCUAGCCUAUAUUUCCUAGGAAAGGAGAAUAUAUAAUAAAGCAGCUAAAAAAAAAAAGGAAAAAAUCAUAAGAAUAUGACCAUUGGAUCAUUAAUAUCCGACCUUGAGGAAAAAUGUAUUAGGAACGUUGACAUGGUCCUCCAAAAUGAUUUCAUUCGAUCGCAUUUCACUUGUCGAUUCCUUGCAUCUCUGUUUAGAACAUAGUCAUACUCAUUAGAAAUGAAGAAUCUGUUUUUGCACUGGCUGCUUUGAUAUGUUCGAAAUUUAGGAAGAUCAUAUCAUACCUUUGACUCUUUCGGACUGGGGGCUUGACAACCUUCGACCCAGAGAUGCUUCAGUUGGGAAGAAUAAGAGCCCAAUUUGUUAUUAACUAAUUCAAUGAUAUCUUGGUCUGGCAAUCUAGAUAAACAAAGGUCUUCAAUUCGCUGAAGUUGCACGAUAUGUCCACUCUUGAAGCUGAUACAAUUGUCGGUGCCAAGGAGGAGUCUGAAUGUUCUAGAACACGUAGGUGAGGUAUCCUCCCAACACCAACGUCCAAUACAUAUUCUGUACCUUUCCAGCUUCUCGAAGAACAGCCCCUUCCGCAGAGUGUUGACAUCUGGGAUGCAUAAUUCUAAGGUGGUCAAGUUAGGCAAACGCUUCAACUCUUCAAGGCUUGCAUUCUUGACCCCUGCAGCUUCCACCUCCACCUCCCACUUAUUAAAGCUACGAAUGUAUAAUUCCUCCAAAUGGGAUAAAUUUGAUAAAACAUUUGGGGGAAUAACCUGUAGUCUGUCACAGUCUCUCAAAUCAAGCGACCUUAACCGAGUCAAUUGGCCUAUUUCCACAGGCAACUGCUCAAUAUAAGAACCCCUUAAGCAAAGGAUUUCUAGGUUCUUUAAUUCUCCUAUAACAGCUAUAUCUUGCAAUUCGCUGCAAUACAAACACAAUGUUCGAAGGUUUGUUAGGAGACCAAGUGAUGAAGGCAGUAAUGAUAGAUGCAUAUAAGUCAAGUCUAAAACUCUGACUUGCGUCAACUUCCUGAAAAAAUUGUCUGGAAGUGUGAUUAAUGAAGAUUUCUCAGUCCACAAAGAGAGAAGUUGCAGUUGAGGACAUUCCAAAACUUCAGGAAGAAGAGCAUUCAUCUUGCUGUCGUGUAAGACAAUCGAAGUGUAAAACUUAAGCGCACCUUCAUCUAGCCAUUCCCGUGAAUUAACCAGUUCAUAUCUCAUCGUAAGCACAUUUUGUUCUCUGGUUGCAAUUGCUAUGGCAACAUCACGAACAACAUCAUGCAUAGAAAACCAAUGUUCAUUUUUGCUUCCAUGCUCAAGCAACAUACAAGAAGCCUUGAGUUUGUACACCAAUGUAUACACUCGAGCUCGUGCUUCUUCCAUCCUAUUGAUGCCUUGAAACAAACCCAAACCCAUGCCAUACAUUAACACGUCAUUAAUGGAUGAUAUGUAGGUGUAGCCUAUUAGCAAAAAGAUCUUCUUGAGCUCCUCUCCUUCUAAUUUGUUGUAACUCAACUCUAUAGCUGAAUAAGCGGCCGGCUGUAUAUCUUUAAAGUUCGUUGAGGAAGGCCUUCUUAACUGUCCCAAAGCGUCCUUCCAUUCAAAUAAUCUCUUAUUUCUCAACGCCCUCGCUACUGUUACAAUGGAAACAGGCAAACCUGCACAUUCAUUUGCCACCUCCGUUGCCACCCCUUUGAAUUCACUACUUUCGAUGUACUCCCCUGCCAUCUUCUCAAAGAGACUCCAAGCUUCGUCUUCUCUUAGAACGCCAACUGAGAAAUUAUGUCAGCAAUCCAUCUUCCGUGACAGUAUAUCUUCACUUCUUGCUGUCAACAAUAUUUUACACCCCGUGUGGUUAUCUCCGUGAGGAAUUCCUACAUCCUGCAAAUCAACACUUUCCCAAACAUUAUCUAAAAUUACAAGGUGUUGAUGCUGAAAUCUGCUCGCCUUUUGACCGACCAGAUUCUUUCACCAACGUUUAUGUUAUCAACUGUUGCUUGAACCACUGGGGUUGGAAUCGCCCUCCUUUCUCUUUCUAGACCUGUGUUCACCAAAAACGGAUCAGAGACGCCGGUGGUUUUGUCGGCGUAAACCCUCCGAUGCCUAAGUUAGCACAAGGUAUUUACGGGAAAACAGUACAAUUUGGACUCAAGAAUGGUCGCUAAUUUAUCCGAAGUUUUGUAAGAAAAUGGCCUGAUUGCAAUUUGGCAGCGUUUUCCCUCUCUCAAUUUUUUCUCCCCUUUCUUCAUCGAUUUCUUUCUCUUUUAUAGCCGCCGUUUGUCCCACGUUUUCCGUUUACCCUUUAUCCCUCUUUUUUCGGGUGGUGGCAGCCCCUCAUGGGGCUCUAACUGUUAUAUUGUGGGCAAACGUGGGAUCUCGCGUGUCCUUCAACGGUUCUGGGAAAAGCGCAACUACCGCGAUUCUGUGGGAUCGUGUUCCCGCUUUCCUGGGGGAUGAGUAUCGGCUCGAUAUACGCUUCUGGUCGGUAUUCGUCUCUGGUUGGUUCAUGCUUGCCCCCGUGUUCUGCUCGUACUACUUGGCUGAGGUGAUCCAUGCCGGUGUGAAAAUAGUAGCAUGGCCGACCUGAUGCUUUUAUUUACUUAACACCAGUCCCCCAGUUUCUGGUCUUGUGAGUGAAAUGAGUCAAGAGUAGAAACUAAUAGUCAGAUCUUGCCAACCCGGGGAGCUUCACAUCUGAUCUUCUGUUUACUGGGAUGGACCUGAGGCACCAUUCUUCUUCUGGGGAGAUCCCGACCUGAGCAUGGGCUUGAAUGAGCGUGUCCAUUGCCUAUCUAGGCUUGCAUCUAGGUUGGCCUCUUGUAACGAUUAGCGACGUGGCCUUUCCAGACUCUUCACAUUUGAAAUUUGAAACGACGGGCUAUCUGUCCUCGAUAUUCGGUGAGUGAGCUGGCAUCCCCAUCACUUAAAUGCUUUCAUUUCCCUUGUCGUUUCAAAUCCCUAGACUUAAAUCAUCGUCGUUUUGUUCUAUUCGCUUCUCUGUUGUGAGACAAUGCCUACGAACUUCGUUCACACUCUCCGCGUCUGGGACUUCUGUUUGCGGGCUUUUUUCUCCAUCACAGCAACAUUAUCAGUGCCAGUCUAUUCCAUGUACAGCCUUUAACUUCUUCUUUGGUUGUUGUUGAUUGGGUUCUGUGUUGCCCCUUUUUGUAUUCGUAUACUUGGAUUUGUUUUGGUUUCCUUUUGGGGCUCCGAUAUGUCAAAUCGGAAAAGGAAAUUAAUUGCCGAUGAGAGUGACGAAGAAACGGGGGAUUCAGACCUUAACUUGUCGAUACCCACUGAUUUUUUACGUCCCUCUAGUAGUGUAGGGCCUUCCCAUGGUAGGGAUACCUUUGAGUACCCACGCCCCUUGGCUGUUUCUCCUUCCCCCGAACUAGAGCUUGUAGGGAAUAGAGGUGGACCUGCGUCGGGCUCUGGUGAGAACCACAGCUUUGGUGGGGUUGGGGUCCCUGAAGGAGUUGGUGAUGGUGAGGGGAGCAGUUCUAGACCGAGCGGACCUUCUAAGAAAAGGAAUCUUGGCUAUAGGGUGGAGGUGGAUUCGUACCCUAUUGAUUUCAUAGCUUGUGCCACCACCCCCACUAAUCUAUUUAAGCUUAAGAACCUCUACAACAUUCCCAAUGAGGUUCUCCUGGUAGUUCCUGGAAAAGGUGAUGUCCCUAGUCGGCCUCCGAAAGGGUAUGUGACGAUGCACCUGGAAAGUUUCAAAUUAGGAGCUCGGCUGCCCCUUCAAUGUUAUUUUGCCAAGAUACUGGGCGGUAUGCACCUGGCCCCAGGUCAGUUACACCCAAAUGGGUGGAGGGUUCUCUCGGCGAUGUUUGUGUUGUGGGAGAGGUGCGGGUUGGAGGAGCCUUCCCUUGUUGAAGUGAAGCACCUGUACCAGCUGCGGAGUAGCCCAAGGGAAGCGGGCUGGUACUACUUUAUGUCUAGUUCCGCAAAGAGGAAACUGAUCACUGGGUUUCCUUCUUCAUGUAAAAAUUGGAAGAAUAAAUUCUUCUUUGCUGGAGGAGAUUGGUGUCCAGCAGUUCGGUCGCUUGGUGGGGAUAUUUACCUUCCAACACAUUUUAUCACCCUAGGUCGUUCAUUUUUGCCUAUGUUCUUAGUCAAAUUGUCACUUAUUGGGUUCUUUAACCUUUUUUGCUAUUUCAGAGUCGUGGGGUUUGAUUGAGGGGCUUGAAGACCGACCUUUGCUUCAGGUGGAAACUGCUCUGGUGAACGCGUCUACCUGCCAAGACCUCCUGUCACUAACAAACCUAGUCGGUUCGGGUCUGGUGGACAUAGCUGCUGGAAUGGAUAACAAGAUCCUCAGCGUGAUGAGCAGAAAGCGUGGUCGGGCUCCAAGCAGCUCCAGCAACCCUCCCCCUCCUCCAAAGAAAACCAUCGUCGGUCCUUCUAAGGCUCCUGUUCAUGCUCUGCCCCCUCCUCCACCUCGUAAGAGUGGUGGGGAGAAAGCUUCCGAUAAGAGUCCUGAGGUCAGCAUUCAGUCUGGGGACCGAUCUUCUCCUCUUCCAUCCCGGGAUCAAGAUGACUACCUGAGCCUGUAUCAAAAGGAUUACAGAAAAUCGGUGGGGCCCAAGAUGGUGAAGGACAUCGAGAGUAUGAACCUCUCCGAGUUAGCGGCUUCUGUUCAAAGAGUCUCCUUCAGGCUGGCCACCAUGGUUUCAUGCUACAAGAACGGGUCCACACGCCAUGAGAGGAAGCUUCAAGCUUACAAUCAUGAGUUGAAGAAGAGAGCUGAAUCUGCUGAUCGCUCCAAGGAAAAGCUGGCUGAGCUGAACAAGCAGAUUACGAAGUUGGAGGAGAAAGUUGCUGUUGCUGAGUCCACCACCUCCAAACUUGAGGGUGAGUUGAGUGACCUGAAGGACUCCCACUUCUACCCACUUGGUGAAGUAGUCUAUUGCCACAAUUGCAUGUGUCGCCGCUCCUCGGCCCUUAGGUAACGGACCAACCAAGUCGAUUCCCCAUUGGGCGAAAGGCCACGGGGAUGCCAUAGUGGUCAGCUUUUCUGGGGGUUGUGCAGGAAUCUCAGAGAAGCUUUGACAGGUUUUACAGUUCCUUGCCAUCCUUUUCGCAUCCUGGUGCAUGGUCGGCUAGAAGUAUCCUUGCCGGAGUGCCUUGAAGGCUAAAGUUCUUGUUGCCGAGUGAUUACCGCAUAUUCCUUCAUGAAUUUCCCUUAGUACAUAAUCUGCAUCCUCCUCAUCCAAACAUCUCAAAAAGGGCAAGGUGAACCCUCAGCGGUACAGCACUCCAUCUAGUAGUGUGUAUCUCGCUGCUCGGCAUUUUAACUUUCUUUUUUGCAUUUUGUCCUCUGGUAACACUCCAUCGCGGACAUAUGCGCGAAUCGGAUCCAUUCAGGAUUCUUCAGUGCUUACUCUCAUCACUUCUACUUCCUCCUCUAUACUUGGCAAGGUCCUUAUCUCUAGUGGGACCGACUUAGGUAAUUUCGGAUCUGCGGUUGCAGCCAUUCUAGCCAACAUAUCAGCUCGGUAAUUUUCAUUCUGGGAUAUCUGCUUCACCUCUACUUCAUUGAAGAGUUCAACCAUUUGCUUCGCCUUCUUCAAAUAAAGCCCCAAUUUCUCUUCCCUUACUUGGAAUUGAUUGCUGAGCUGGUUACAUACUAGCUGGGAAUCUGCUCGGAUUUCUACUCUUUCUGCCCGUAGUGCAUGUGCAAGACCGAGCCCAGUAAUGAAGGCCUCAUAUUCAGCUUGGUUGUUCGUAAGCUUGAACUCGAACUUUACAGCAUAGGAUACCUUGACACCUUCUGGGCUUCGUAUUAUAACUCUUGCCCCGGAUCCAUGUUCACCACGUGAUCCAUCAACCGUUACCAGUCAUACCCCUUUUUUAUCCUCCUACUCUGCUGGUUGUUCCUCUUGGACCUCUUCCCCUGGUUCAACACAGUUAACCAUAAAAUCAGCCAGGGCUUGGGCCUUGAUUACUCCUCGGGGCCUGUAGGAUAGGUCGAAUUCGCUCAGUUUCACGGACCACUUCACUAACCGCCCUGAUGCAUCUGGUUUUUGGAGCAUGUGCCGAAGAGGCUGGUCAGUCAUCACCAUUAUCGGGUGGGCCUGAAAAUAUGGUCGCAGUUUCCGUGCUACUGUUAUUAAAGCCAGUGCCCAUUUUCUCCAUCAAUGGGUACCUAGUUUCUGCGUUUACUAAGGCUUUACUAGUGUAAUACACGGGGUGUUGCUUCCCUUCUUCUUCUCGGACUAACACUGAGCUGGUUGCCCAUUUUGAGAUUGCCAAGUACAAAAACAACUGGUCGCCUUCCCUCGGAGUUGAUAGUAACGGGGCAUGGGCCAGAUACUCCUUCAGCUGCCCAAACGCCUCCUCACAUUCUGAUGUCCACUCCAUCUUCCUCCCUUUCUUUAUGGUUUGGAAGAAAGGGUGGCAUUUAUCCGUGGCCCGCGAGAUGAAUCGGUUCAAUGCUGCCACUUUUCUUGUAAGGCUCUGCACCUCCUUAACUGUUCGGGGGGAUCUCAUUUCUGUUAUUGCCCGUAUUUUCUCCGGGUUGGCCUCGAUCCCUCGGUGGCUCACUAGGAAUCCCAAAUAUUUGCCCGAGCUGACCCCAAAUGCACAUUUCUCUGGGUUUAGCUUCAUUUCAUACUUCCUCAGUAAUUCAAAGGUUUCUUCCAAGUGUCUCACGUGAUCCCUCGGUUCUUUGGACUUUGUGAUCAUAUCGUCCACAUAUACCUCCAUAGUAUGACCGAUCAAGGGCUUGAAGAUAUUGUUCAUCAACCUUUGAUAGGUGGCUCUUGCAUUUUUCAGGCCAAAAGGCAUCACCUUGUAGCAAAACAAACCCAUGUUAGUUAUAAAGGUGGUGUUUUCCUCAUCCUGCUCGUCCAUGGGUAUUUGGUUGUAUCCUGAAAAUGCAUCCAUGAAGCUGAGCAGACUGUGACCCGCUGUUGAGUCCACCAAUUGAUCUAUCUUUGGUAGAGGAAAACUGUCCUUCGGGCAUGCCUUAUUAAGAUCUGUGAAAUCCACACACAUUCUCUAUUUCCCGUUGGCCUUCUUUACCAGUACUACAUUGGAAAUCCACUCCGGGUAUCUGGCCUCCCUUAUAAACCCUGCUUUCAACAGUUUCUCCACCUCGGCGUUUAUGGCCUCGUAUCUUUCCUGGUUAAAGCAUCUCCUCUUCUGUCUCACCGGCCUCGCCCCCUUCUUGAUUGCCAACUUGUGGCAAGCUACGAUCAAUUCUUGGUAUAUCCUCGUGAGACCAGGCGAAUAUAUCUGCAUGAGAUUGUAGGCAAUUUACCAGCUCGCCUUUUACUGCCCCAUCCCUGAUCCAAUCUUCACCACUCUGCUCGGGUUGCUUUUGCUUACCGCAACUUCUUCCAGUUUCUCAACAGGCUCUUGACGGCCCUUUUUAGGCUCUCAUCGAUUAUCUAGAGAAGUAACCUGCAGUGUCUCCUUGGCCGCUGUAGCAUAACAAUUCCUUGCCAUCCUCUGGUCGCCUUUUAUUACGCCAACCACUCCAUUUACUUUGUAUUUCAGUGCCAGAUAAUGCGUAGAUACAACGCAUUGGCUUAUCCUCAUGAAGGGUCUCUCCAGUAUCAUUUGGUAAGGGCUUCUUUCCUCUACCACGAUAAAAUCCAGCAUCAUCGUUCUUUCAAACGGCUUUGUCCCUACAGUAAUUGGGAGUUCAAUGAUCCCCAUGGGAGUUAGCCGUCCCCCUCCAAAUCCCUUUAAGGAUGUAUUUGUUCGUUCCAAUUUUAAGUCUACAAUUCCCAUAUCAUCUAGAGCCGACUUAAACAAGAUGUCAACCGAGCUGCCCGUGUCUACCAGUAUUCGUCGCAAUUCUGUACCAGCCACCAUUGCCUUAAUUACCAGUGCAUCCUCAUGAGGAUAUAAGAUACCAUCUUCAUCAUCAUCUGUCCACAUAAUGGGAACUUGCCGCAAUUUUGCCUUCUUGGCUGUUGGCAAAUUGAAAAACACUUCUUUGCUAGUCAUGACGUAUCUCCCAUAGUUCUUUCGUGCCCUGUUCGAAUCCCCAGCCAAGGUUGGCCCUCCUGCUAUCACACGGAUAGUCGGCUGUUCACAUUCCAGGCCUCUCUCACCUCCUUCAUUCUGCGUGUACUGUGAUUCAAUGACGGGAGAAAUCCCAUCUACAUAUUCAUCCAAAUAACGGUUUCUCACCAAAUCCUCCACCUGAAUCUUUAAGUCACGACAUUGGCUGAUGGUGUGACCGUGAGUGUCGUGGAAUUUGCAGAAUCUACUCUUAUCCCGUUGGUGAGCAGGUUUUGUUAUAGGGGCUGGAGGGUAUAACAGGCCUCGUCCCUCGAUUCUCUCAUACAACUCCUCCAUAGGGACUUUUAGCGGGGUGUAUUGUCUGUAUGCUGGGUUUUGGUCAAUCAGCUGGACUGCUCGGCUAUCAUGAGUAUCGUCCUGAGCGGAUAUCGAAGGUAGCUGACCUGAUCGUCCCGUUCUAGGGUUGGUUGUAUGUAGUGCUUUGGGAGCGUUGUGAUAAGGAUGGUUAGCCAACUGCCGGAAUUCUCGCUGCCGCUCCAGGAAUGGGGGGCACGGGGGCUGAGCCCGAUUGUGUUGGACCUGCUACGGUCUCUGAGCCAUAGGGUAAGGGCGAGAAUGAGCUGAUACUGCACCCAUCAUUGAGGACUCCCCGGCUCGCUUUCCCGACCCGCUUCCAUUUAGGGUUCUCAUUUCCUUUCGUCUCAGUUCCUCCAACUGUUCACUCUUUAUCCUUGCCGAUUUUUCUUCUUCAAUUUCAAUGUCUCUCUUUGCCUGCUCAUACCCCGCUGAAUAAUUCUGCACCAGGGGGCUUCUCAGGUUAUACCAUAGCCGGCUUAUCCUCACACCCUCCUUCAAUCCCCUCAACACUUGCGGGUGAUUGAAAGCUCCCAAAUCAAGCACGGCUCGGUGGUAUCGCUUUACAAAAUCUCGAAGGGGUUCUUGUUCCUCCUGCUUCAUCCUCAUUAAUUCCAUCAUAUCAUCCUCUGGGGCCACCGCUCCUAGGAACUGUUCGGCCAACUCUUGGCACGUCUGCUCGUACCCUCUGAUACUUCCUCGUAAUAGCUUGCGGUACCAUUCUCGGGCUCGUCCCUCUAGUGUCAAUGGGAACACCCUACACCUCUGAGCUGGUGUUAACCCCUGGACACCCGUCAUGUCGUUGAAGCGUUCAAUAUGCACCAGUGGAUCACUUCGCCCGGAGUAUUUGAGGUCGGGGAAGCCGAAAUUUCUUGGGAUUACAGUACCCAUAAUCUCAGUGGAUAGUGGAGAUUCUUCAUCUAGCAUUAUCCUCCAACUCGGGGGCUUCCUCUUACCCUGUAUCUCCUCUAUCAAUUGCGCUAAUCUGCGCACCUCUCCCUCCAAUUCUACAGCACGGUCAGGAUCACGCACAACUAUCUGAUCUCGCUUCUGCUCGGCAUUCUGCAGCCGCUGUCUGAGCUCUCCUUCAUCAACACUGGCCCCUCGGACAUCAGCUUCCAGUACCCGCCCGGGGGGAGGUUGGUUCCUCCCUUCAUCUACUUGUUCUCCAGGAACCCGACCAAUGCUUCUGUGGGGAUGCACCCCAUUAGGUUGGUCCGCCGGCGGAGGGAUUUCCUCGACUCUACGCCUCCGGAGGCUGGGUUCCGCUCCAACAUCAUCUCUCCCCACGGGGGUUUCACAAUUCCUUCGCCGCUGAUCUCUCAGCUCAUACAGUAUGGUCGCGAGAGUUUCCAUUUGUUUCUCCAUCCGUUCCAAUCGAUCUUGCAUCACCCUCUCCCGGGCUUCAUUUGCAAUUUCUCAAAGAGUGAUUGUCUCCCCAGAUUCGUUAUCCUCCCUCAAAGAGUCCUUCCUUGGCAUAUCCAUAUCUAAUCGUUCGUUGUUUCUUCGGUAACUACUAAUUCGGUGGUAGCUUUUUAUCCAGCUUCCCCACAGACGGCGCCAAAAUGUUGAUGCUGAAAUCUGCUCGCCUUUUGACCGACCAGAUUCUUUCACCAACGUUUAUGUUAUCAACUGUUGCUUGAACCACUGGGGUUGGAAUCGCCCUCCUUUCUCUUUCUAGACCUGCGUUCACCAAAAACGGAUCAGAGAUGCCGGUGGUUUUGUCGGCGUAAACCCUCCGAUGCCUCAGUUAGUACAAGGUAUUUACGGGAAAACAGUGCAAUUUGGACUCAAGAAUGGUCGCUAAUUUAUCCGAAGUUUUGUAAGAAAAUGGUCUGAUUGCAAUUUGGCAGCGUUUUCCCUCUCUCAAUUUUUUCUCCCCUUUCUUCAUCGAUUUCUUUCUCUUUUAUAGCCGCCGUUUGUCCCACGUUUUUCGUUUACCCUUUAUCCCUCUUUUUUCGGGUGGUGGCAGCCCCUCAUGGGGCUCUAACUGUUAUAUUGUGGGCAAACGUGAGAUCUCGCGUGUCCUUCAACGGUUCUGGGAAAAGCGCAACUACCGCGAUUCUGUGGGAUCGUGUUCCCGCUUUCCUGGGGGAUGAGUAUCGGCUCGGUAUACGCUUCUGGUCGGUAUUCGUCUCUGGUUGGUUCAUGCUUGCCCCCGUGUUCUGCUCGUACUACUUGGCUGAGGUGAUCCAUGCCGAUGUGGAAAUAGUAGCAUGGCCGACCUGGUGCUUUUAUUUACUUAACACAAUGAUCUUUUUCUCAUCCUUUCAAUCGAUUAUAAAGACUCCUUGCCCUUCCAGAUUCGGUCUCUUCGAAAAAUAUGAGACCUAAUUUAUCAGCGAUUUCUCCUUGAAUCUUUCUUAUGUCUGGAAUAUGGGGCACCUCCACGAAAAUCACUUGAUCAAAGAACUGGUCUCUCCCGAACUGAAUAGCAACCUCUUUUGCUAAUGUCGUCUUUCCGAUGCCGCCCAUUCCAUAAAUCCCAACCAUGUUCACAUCAGGAUCUUGUAAUGCACGAAGUACGUUAUUCAAAGUGGAGCUUCUUGAUUCAAAUGCCUCGUAGUCUUUGUUAGAUAUAAGCCUUAUGUCCUCCAGAGCUUUACGGUAGGAAAGUCUAUCAAAUCUCCCAGCUUCCCCAAGUUCGACAAUGGCUUUCUGUUGCCUUACCGCUUCCUUGCUAAACCGAUGGCGGGUCUUCAAAUUUGGACACAGCCCCAUGAAACAACGCUUGUUUGCUUUAUCUGCAUCGCCUGUAAAUUUCUCAGCCUCAGUAAUGAUGUUGUUGACACUUGCAAGCCAUUUCUCAACGUUCUUUUCGAUCUCUUCUCCUUUUCUUCUACCCUCAUCAACCCCGUGCUGCAUACUGGCACCGUCAUCCUUGAGCUUCUCAAGUUCAGUCUUGAGAUUCUCAAAGUUGCUCCUGUAGUUGCGCACAAAACUCAAUUGUCUUUCAGUGGGACGACCCAAGCACUUUGCAACUUCUAACACAACAGUUACUAUGCUUUCCACCAUCUUCAAUUCUUUCCCUUUUCUCUCUCUUUUUUUUUUUUUUGGGUCAAAUUUUAGAAUUUUGUAAAGUAUGUAGAUGUGAAGUGAAGCAAACCAAAAGGAAACUGAACAGAGAAAACAACUAAAAAGAUGUAGAGAUGAAGAAGAAGAGAAGGGAUUUAUUGACAGAGUAAAAAUACAUCAGAAGAGUAGAUACAGAACAAAACAGAGACAAGUGGACAGGGAACAGAGUAAAACUAAAUAAAGAAAACAGGUACACGUACGAUUCGUAGUAAUGUUGAGAUCCGAAGAUUGUAAUAACUAAAGGUGUUGCUUGAUCCAGUGAAAGGUCCAAAGAGUUGAUGGCAGAAAGGAGGAAAGCUGAAUAAUAAAAACACUCAAGAUGAUUGAGAUGAAGAACGACUUGCAUAGUUGGGAGAUGUGCGUCGGACAAAUGGUAGCCAAUUAUUUGAUUUCUACAGCGGGAUUCACUGACUGUAUAUUUUUAAAAAAUUAAGUCAGCAGAAUUAAUUCUUUUCAUUGAAAUGAACUCAAAGGCCAAAGAGUGGACAAAGAAUGUGAAAAAGUUAUGCGAAACGUGAGGUGAUGAGAUAGUUAAGUUCACUGAUGCUCAAUAAUCAAUUUUAUUAAAAAAAAAAAAUAGUGAGAAUCCCAAAGUCGAAAGCCAAUAGAUUUCAUAAUGGUUAUCCCACCAGCCACCACCUCAGCUUCCACGCAAGUUUCUCUCACAUUUGAACAGUUGGCCCACUCCUCAGGUCUUUGUCGUUUCAGUCAACAUAAUAUCACAGAAAGGGUGUUGUUAAAUUCUAUUAUAAUGUAAUUUAUAUUAAUUUAAAAGUUGUAAUUAAUAAUUUAAAAAGUAGUUUAGUUAUUCUAAUUUUAGGUCACUAAUGAUAAUUUAAUGAUUGAUAUAAGUUACAUCAUAAUAUAACUUAAAAGGUCCGAACAUGUAAUUAAUUAAGGCCAAAAGUUAGAAUAAAGAGACCCCAUCCGCCCAUGUGCUUCUAAUUAUAAAAUCUUCGCAUAAUUUGCAAGACCGAUGUUUUGAAAUAAAAUUUGAUUAAAAAUUGACAAAAAACAUAAGCAAUGGUGUCAUUUUAGGUGAUUUUUUUUUAAAUAAAACAAAAACGAUGUCAUUUUUUAGCUGAUUUUAGUCCUCCAAUCAUUUUAAAAAUUUUCAAGCAAGUUACAGGUAAUUCUUAUUCAAUGAUUCAAUGAACUUAUAAUAAAUCUCAGCCACAACGACGAUGAUCAAAUAAUUGAUUCAGCUUCGCACCUAAGCACAUAGUCGCAUAAAUCUCAGUAUAAACAUUAUAUACUUAAAAUUAUAUCAUUUUAGGUUUUUUUUUUAAUUUUAAAUAAAACCAAAACCACAUCAUUUUAAAUAUAUAUUUUAUCAAUUCUUAUGUCUCCAAUCAUUUUCUAAUUUUCAAACAAGCGAUUCUUAUUCAAUUUUUACAUUUUCUGUUCACAAAAGUGAAACAGAAAAUGAAAUUAAAAAAAAAAAGAAAAAAGAAAAAGUAAAUAUUUCGAUAUUAGUUUGAAGGAAAAGUCUAGUAUCGUUCUUCAAAUAUGUACAAGCUUAGAGCUUGUAAUUUGUAUGACCUUUUUUCGAAGAUGAGAAUAUUUCUACAUUACACGCUUUAGAAAAACUAGAUGAUAGGAAAAGAGUGUAGGAUAGAAAUUAAAGCUUAAUAAUAUUAUGAUCAAUUACUGAAAUAUUACCGUGGGCACUAGAUGAUAGGAAAAGAGCUCAUUUAUUACGUUAAUACAUUGUAUUAGUGAUAUAAGAACUUUUAAUCAAACUCAUGCCCCAAGGUGGGAACAGCCAAACGGGCAUUUCAUGGAACAGUUGAUAUACUCGGCAGCUACACUUACACGGAUGUUUCUGUCCUGGAGGUUGCAAGUGUUGCCUCCAUAAUCAAACUUGGAAGACCCUUCAAGGUUUCAAUAAUUAGCUUUGAUUAUUAAGUAAUAAUAUAUGAUAAUGUAGUGAUGAUGAUGAUGAUUUAUAUAUGUGAUUAAAAGCUAAGCUAGCAGAUUUGCAAGUAAGAACACACGGCAAAGUAUUUGAGCAAGUACUUUUAUCUUCUUAUUAUCGUCGCUUACUUCUAAUCAAUUAGCUUUCACCAUCAAAUCUAAUCAGUAAUGUAAAUGAAGGAACUUGGGCUCAAAUCUAUAAAUUAAUAUCGGUAAACUACAACCCUAUUUUCAUCAAAGUUUUCAACUCAAGAAAUAUAUAGAUUAGAGAUUAGUUGUUUAUAAAAUAUAAAGGAACCCUAAAAAAAAGAAAAGAAUUUUCCAGUACAAGAAUAAUAAUUUAUACUUAUUUAUUGAAUAUAUCUCAUUUUAAUCGCUUAAGGAUUUACAAAGUUUAUGCAAUAAUUUAUUCUUUUUAAAAAAAAAAAAUUCACUUCUUAAAAAAUCUUUAGAAAGGAACAAAGCUGAAGAAUAAAAGCAAUUAAGGUGAUUGGGAUGGAGAAAGACUUGCAUAGUUGGGAGACGUGCGUCGGACCAGCGGAAUUCACUGACUUUAUAUUUUAAAAAGUAAAGUCAGCAGAAUUAAAUUAACUGGGAACGUAGGUCAAUGAAUGCGAAGAGUGGACAAAGAAUGAGAAAAACUUUAUGCGAAAUGUUUUGAUUAUUUGACUAUCUACAGUUGCUUUUAAUUAAUGACGAUUGGUUUUGAUUAUUUCACUUUCUUCGUACAAUGAGAGUAUUUUGAGGUCAUUGAUCGAAUAAAGGAUUACCAUUCAUUAUCUAGGGUCCGGCUACGAUGUAACGGUGGCAUGGUAUCACUGUUGCAUUAUCUAAUUUUCUCCCAUGAUCUAAUUGCCUAAAUAAUAGAAACACUUGUAUUAAAUAAUUAUUUUACUUGCUAGUAUUGUUCUUAAAAUAUAUACAAACUUAGAGCUUGUAUGACUUUUUUCUAAGGUGAAAAUAUUUCUAACUCACAGGCUUUAGAAAAACUGAAGCCUUUCUUCUUCUUUUUCUUUUUUCUUCCCCCCCAGCCCCCCCUUUCUUCUUAAAUGACAAUUAUUAAAUAAUUGUGAACGAUUGGGUAUUUAAGUCUAAUUUCUUAAUGAUCUAGGUUAUGGGUGUAGUAUAUAAACUAGAAUUGAAUAAUUAUGAUCAAUUAAUGAAACUCAUGUCCCAAGUUAGGAAGAGCUACAUGGGCAUUUCAUCCAACAGUUGAUAUGCUCGGCAUCUGCACUUAAUCGAAGUUUCCUGGAAGUUGCAAGUGCUGCCGGCUUUUUCAAAAUUGGAAGAUCAUUCAAAGGUUUUCAAUAAUUAGCUUUGAUAUUACACAUGUGAUAAUCUUGUGAUGAUGAUGAUUUUAUGUGUCUGAUUAUAAGCUAAGCUAGUGGAUUCGUAAAUAAGCACACGGCAAAGUAUUUAAUCUUCUUAUUGUCGCAUUCUUCUAAUCAAUUAGCUUUCAACAACAAAAAUAAUUAAUAAUAACGUAAAUGGAGGAACUUGGGCUCAAAUCUCUGAACUAAAAUGAUGAUCAUUAAUACCAAUAAACUACAAUUUCACCUAGGCUCCAGGGAGGAUCCACAUGUUGUCCACAGUGAGCAAGUGACCCGUAAACUUUGAUUUUUCCAUAAUUUUCUAUAUAAAAUAUUGAUAUUUUCAUGAAAUUACAUAAUUUCUUAUAUAAUUGUCUCCAAAAAAUACCAAUAGGUGCACAAACACAAAUAUGAUGCACACAUCUCUUUAAUUAAUUUAGGGAUUAAAGAGAUUUUCAGAUGCCUACAAAUUGAAUAUGGCAGCUCUUGGACACCAUCCACAAGAAGUAAAACUAGCUUCAAAUUGGAUUUCUGAGUACUCAAACAAAGCUAAAAGCAUAAUAAUGAAUGAAAACUGAAACAAAAAAUCCUCUCACCAACAUCAUCUGACUUUUAAUAUAUAGUAAGAACUCGAUGCCUUAUUCAAGAUGCUGCACAGAAGGUUGACCUGAAUCGUCUUCAUAAGUUUGGAGACUCUGUAAACAAAGAGUAAAAACACAUUGAAGGUGCGGUUUUCACUUAAUCAAAUUGCACAAAUUAGCCUCUAUUAAGGACACGGAAAUCCUUCAAUUCUCUCUGUAAGCAAUUAAUUUUAUUUUUUAUUCUUUUAUUUUUUGCUAUGUCUGUCUAACAACUAAUCCUCAACAUACAACAAAGCAGAGUAGUUAUAUCUUAAAAAGAUGUACCGAUAUGAUUUAACAAAAAUUUCAACAUAAACAAAACAUUUUUAGUCAGCAAAAUAGAAUCAAAUCAAAACCUCCCAAAUUGUAUAGAUUUUAUCUUACCACUGUCUUUCACAUUUUUCUCCUUUUCAUUCGCCUCGGCGGACUUCUCAUUCUCUUUUUCCUUCUCUUCCUAAUCAGAUUUAAAAUGAAUUUAUAAAAAAUUUAAUAUAUACUUUUUUCUUUUUAGUUUUUUAUAUAUAUCUGUUAUUAAAUCAGUAAGUUUUAGAAAAAAAAAAAAUCAACAUCUCAUAGUGAAUGAAUACUUACCUUUUUCCUUUUAAGAUAUACGUAUUGAAUGGUUGUAUUAAGGUCCCGAUCCCAAGCCCAAAGUUUAUUAUCAAGCCAGCUCAGCUGCACUUUCUGUAACUUGGGUGUGCUUAAUUCCCCUUCUGAGAAAAUCUUCAUAUUGGGGCAACGAUCCACCACUAAUCUUUCUAGAGAUGGGAAUUUGAAGGCGCAAUUAUUCCCAGAGCAGCUGAAACUAGUCAGACUUUGUAAGUCCCAAAGCCGCAAUUCCUUUAAUUCGCUGAAAACAAUUUCAUAUUGUGCUGCAUAAUUAUCUCCCUCAUCAUCCUCAUCUGCCACUAUUUCUGUUAUCAUCUUGCAGCAACCUAUCUCCAUUUGUCUCAGUCGCACCAGAUUCCUUGCGGUUGAGGAUGUUAGAAGGUGUAUCAUUCCAUGGCAAAGACUUACCUUCAAAGUUGUUAGGUUCUGAAAGGAUGUCGAGGAUGGCACUAGAUUAGUCAAAUUGUCACACUCGAAUAUCUCCAGCUGUUCCAAAUUGUUGGUAUUGGUUGACUCUUGUUUGAAAAUCUGCUUCAGUUCACGACGCUGGUUUAUUCCCCUCAUCAUUGCAUUCAACCCAUUUUCAAGGUUUUCAAGUGAUUCUCCCCAAACAAAAUCGUCUCCUUCUAUAGAGAGAAUUUUGAUGGUGUGAAAUCUCUGGAGGAAAUCGUCAAGUGAUAAAAUAGUACUUGACUCAUCAAGCCGGACAUCAAGACAUUUAAGUUUGCAAAGCCAGUCUUCUGGAAACAGGCCUAUGUGCUUUUCAUCAACGAUCAAUUCUUCCAAAUUGGGGAACACCUGGGUGAUCAUCAAUCACAAAAGUGGCAAGAUGGAGUUAGCACUUCUUUCUAACGAUUUCACAAAUUCAAGUAAAUACAAAGCAUUCCAAUGAUGCGUAUUGAUGGCCGGACAAAUUUAUAGAUAUGCGGAGAGAGUUUGAUUUUCAGCUGUAAAUACAAAGUAAAAACAAAGCAUUCCAUUUAAGUAAUGUGUAUUUUCUUCCAUUCUCUCUUCUUAACUCUUGUCCAGUAGAUAGAUUUUCAAAUUUUAUUAGAUUUGUGCAUAAUCUCUAUGAAAAAGACUUCAAUUAUUCUCAAAUUGCAUUUAAACUUUGAGAUUCUUUUAAUUGAUCCGUUUAUUUGGUUUGAAUUGAAAAUCUUACAAAUUUAUUUUUAAAAAAAUUUGGAGUUUUUAACUUUUUCUUAAAGCAAAAAUGAAUAAAUAAUAUGAAUUUUAAAAGUUUAAUAAUAUAGUAAGAAGCUGGUAUUUCAUUAAUAUUCAUCCAACUCAAUGGAAUUGGAUAUAUUUACUAUUGUGCAAGAAUGGAUUUUAUUGUACAUAAAGUUUAAUAGAAUAAGAUUUCUUAAUUUGAGUUUUGUCCAUCUCUCUAUAUAUAUUUUAAAAAUAUUAUUUAUGUUAACACGAGAUGACCAAUUUCUUCUUCAACAUCAAAAUUGAUAAUCAUUUUGUAUGUAACAAAAUUGUACUAAGGAGUACUAAUUUGGAAAUAGCUCUUGAAAGAUUUUCAGGAAAUUAACUGUGGCUUGAAAGCCUCUAGAUCUUAUGAGUAUUUUCUUUGUUUGGCUAAUCAAAUGCACUGUCUCUUUCCGUGUAUUUAACUAAAGAUGUAGACAUAAAAUAAAAAGUAGAGGGAGAAGAAAAACUCUGAUAAUUAAGAGAAAAAAAAUUGAACAAGAAGGAAAAAAAUAAUUGUUUACCAUAUAUCUUUUUUUUUUUUCAUUCGGUCUAACUGACAUCCAAAAAAAAAAUAAUAAUUAUGUUUGUAAGGAUAUUAUAAAGUAUAAUUAAACAAACUGAUUUAUAGAACUAACAUUUUGUUACUAAAAGAUGAAGUGAUGAGGGCGAUGACGACAAUAAAACUCUGAACUCUCAAAGUAGAAAUACAUUUCAGUACGUAAGAAUUGAAAAAUAAUUAAACAAAUCUUGCACGUGUACCUUUUCAAAAUGCAGAUCACCUGUGCAGAAGCUUGUAAGCUGCGGAAGAGAAUGAAGCUCAAGUGUCCUCAAUUGAGUGAGUUCAAUCACUUCAGUACUGUUAUUAUUGCUGGAUUCAUCUCCUCUCUCAGCAGCAAAAAUCACUUCCAUUUUUUGGCAACUACUCACUUUAAUGGACUGAAGUUGUUGAAGGCCUCUGCCUAUGACCAUCGGCAAUACAUUUUUCAAUUUAUCACACCCUUCCACCCUUAUGGUCUUUAAUUUGCAAAAAGACUCUGCUGUGAGUGGACCACGACAUAUUUCCUCAAGGUUCCUUAAAUCUCUUAGAAAUAAUGACUCCAAAAGGGGGAAUGCAGUCGUCCGAGCUGGCAUACAAUCCAUUGUGUCAACAACACAAGAAAGGUUGCCAUUAUGUUCGAUUUGGAGACCCUUCAGUUUUGGAAAGCCUUCUCUGUCUGAUCCAAAAAGAACAUUCUUCAUGUCGAUCAAUCCAUCUAGAGACAGGCCUUCAAUACCCUUCAAUUGCAUGAUAUGCCCCUCGUUCAAGCAAAUGUUGGCACCAUUUGUGAGCCCCAGUUUGAAUAUUCUAGAAAUCCCAUCCGAUGGGGGAACCACAAUAAACUGCGACAACUGUCCUAUAGAUAUCCUGUACCUUUGCAGCAUUUUGAAGAACGACAAGUCUCUUGAUAGAGUCUUUUCAUCGCCGAUGAGUAUUUCUAAAGAGGUCAAUUUAGAUAAAUUAUUCAACUCAUCAAGGCUGGCAUUUCUUCUUUCACCGUCUACUCCUUCAACUUUCCCCCACUCAAUGGGACUCUCACCAAUAUAUAGUUCUUCUAAUCGUGAUAAGCUUGAUAUCACAUUUUGGGGAAUAACUCUCAGUCGGUAACAUAGGCGCAAAUUCAACAACCUCAAUUGAGUCAGCUGGCCUAUCUCUCCAGCCAGUUCCUCCAUAUCAGAACCUCGAAGCGCAAGGAUGACUAAUUUCUUUAGGUCUCCGAUAAUGGCCAUGUCUCCUAGUUCACAAUCAUCUAGAGACAAUGUUUGAAGGUUUUGCAAGCGACCAAGCGAUGAAGGCAAUGCCAACAAAUGCAUCUUAGUGAAAUCUAAAACUCUAAGCUCUGUCAUCCCAGUAAAAAAUUUAUCUGGGAUCCUCAAAGAAGCAUGACAGCCAAUACAAAGGAAUUUAAGUUGCGGGCAUUCGAACCCUUGAGGAGGCUCACUAAUAUUACUAUUCUUUAAGGAGAUUGCGGUGCAAACCUUCAGUGUAUCCUUAUCUGGCCAGCUGGUCAGCGGAACAACCUCAUUUUCCACCGCAAACACAUGUUGGUCUCUUGAUGCAAUUGAUCUGGCUACAUCACGAACAACAUCAUGCAUUGAAAACCAUUCACUUGAACGGCCAUCAAGCAACAAACAAGAGUUCUUGAGUUUAUCAACCAAUGUAUGUGCUCUAUCCCGUGCCUCUUCCAACGUGUUGAUGUUUUGAAACAGACCCAAACCCAUGCCAUAAUAGAGUAGGUCUUCAACACAAGAGAAGAACGUGUACCCUAUUAGCAAAAAUGUUUUCUUCAGUUCCUCUCCGUUUAAAUGAUUGUAACUUAGCUCUAUACUUUUGUACGCCACCUGCGUUGUUCCAGUGAAGUUUCUCAAGGAAGGCCUUCUAAAUUCCAGCAAAGCAUCCUUCCAUUCAGACAAUCUCUUAUUUCUCAAUGCCCUUGCUACGGGUACAAUGGCAAUCGGCAAACCACCACAUUCCUUGACUAUCUCUGUUGCUACAGAUUUCAGUUCACCAUUUUGUAUGCAAUCACCUGUCAUCUUUUUGAAAAGACUCCAAGCUUCUUUUUCGUUCAGAACAUCAACAAAAAAUUUUUGUUGACAAUCCAUCUUACAAGAUAACACAUCCUGACUUCUUGCUGUCAGCAGAACUUUACAUCCGCCGUUGUCAUCUGCCAAUGGAAUUCCAAUCGCCUCCAAAUCAAGACUCCCCCAAAUAUCAUCCAAGAUUAUAAGGAUCUUCGUCUCUUUCUUCAAUCGUUCAAGCAGCCUCCCUGCUCUUACAGUUUCAUGACUCUGUUCAGCCAAUUCUAAGCCUAUCUUCUCAGCGAUUUCUCCUUGUAUGUUCUUUAUUUGCCGUGUUUGGGAAACACGUGAAGAAAUGAACUUCUCAAAGAGAUUAUUUUCCUUGGCCUGUCUGCCAACUUCUUCCACCAGCGUGGUCUUUCCAAUGCCACCCAUCCCGUACACUCCAAUCGUGUUGAAGUUACGGUUGCUGAGUGCGUCUAGUAUCUCCUUCAAGGUGGACUUUCUCGAUUCAAAGUGCAUGAAAUCCCGGGUAGACUUAAGCCAUGUCUCCUCUGGAAUGGUACGGAAGGAAACACUGUCGAAUCUCCCUCUUUCAUGGAGUCCAACUAUAGCAUUCGCUUCUCUUUCUGCUUUCUUGCUAAGCUGGUACCGAGUCUUCAAAUUAGGACACAACCCUUUCAGACACCGGUUGUUUGACUUCUCUUUGUCUUCAAUAAGGGUUUCGACUUCAUUGAUGGCCUUGUCCACAGUAAUCAUCCACUUCUCAACGUGGUGUUGAAUUCCGUCCCCUUUAAUUCUGGAAUCAUCAACCUUAUAUUGCACACUGUCUCUAGCAUUCUUGAGCUUAUCGACUUCAUUAUUCACCUUCUCGAAGUUGGUCUUAUAAGUGCAGCAAUAAGUAAAUGGAUGAAUUAUGGGAGCAACCAAGUACUCUGUAACUUUUGCAGCAACGGAAAUAACAAUAUCCAUUAUCCCUUUCUUUUUUAUUUUUUGCUCUUAGAAAACAGGGGAAAGCAAAACUAAUCAAACUGAGCAGAACUAAUCAAUCAGUUGUGAAGAGGGAAAUAAGAAGUUUGGAUAAAUUGUUAAAAUAAAAGGUUGAAUAGAUUUAAGGGAGGAGGAGGGGAAAGGAGUGAAAAAUCUGGAGAUGAAACAAAGGGGGGUCCAUUUUCUGCUAAGACAAAUUGAAAAGCGAGUGCAAUGAAAGAUUUGCAAAGAAGGUGUAGGAUCGAGGACAAGAACGAUACAGAAACGGGAGACAGAAAAUGAAGAAGAGAUUUCAGAGAACUCUAGAGAUUAGACAAGAGGGAUGAUUAGGAAAAUGCAGAGGCAGGCAGUUGUGAUCUCAAGUCUCAAGGGUAAUCUGAAUACUGCAAAAAUGCCAAACUAAAUUCAUACUGGAGAAGACUCAUGCUUCCAAGUCAACUAGAUUCUUAAUAACUGAGAUAGAUGGUUAUAAUUGCAUGUAAAUAAUGUCAAAGUUGUUGGUUAAUUGGACAGCGCAAGGUGGCAUUUUGGCAUUUCAUUGAAUUCUCCUGUUACCAGUAAGUGCUAUGCUGCCGUUGCCGGACUUUAUGAUUUUUUAUUUUUUUAAGAAAUAGAUAUACAAAUAAGGACUCGCCUACCGUGCAACAGUAGCACCAUGCCACCGCUUUUGUCUUUUCUUGGUAAAAUUUCAUAAAGUCCUUUCACUUAUUCUUAUUUGAACUUUGCUUCACAAAUAUUAAGUUCAUUUCUCCCAAACCCGUGAAUCCUUCAAUGGCCGAUCAACGGCAAAUCGGCUCCUCUGGUGGCUGUGGUUGGUCAGAAAAGACAGAGGAAACUGUGGAGAACAAACCCCAAGUGGUGGCGUCACUGGAAACCGGAGAAACCGCCGCGAAUUGAAGCAGGGAUUCUGUAACUUUCACGGCUUCGAUCGGCAGCUUUCCGAAUGCUUUACGGCGACAAGGAUGGCAUGGAGAUGACUGGCGUAGCACGAGCUUCUGAUCGGUACCAACCUUGGCCGGUGGAGUAGCUGGAAACGAAAACAAAAUCUGGGUCGGGUUUGCGGGUCAGGUUGACCUAGUUAUUUUUUCGACAAGGAUGGCGUGGAGAUGACCGGCAUCACACGAUCUUCUGAUCGGUACCAACCUUGGCCGGUGGCAUGGACGAAAACAGAAACGAAAUUCAGGUCGGGUUCACCGGUAUUUGUGGUAAAGAGAGGGGUAUUGUGAUAAAUGUGCAAUAUAGAAGAAAAAUGUAUAAAUAACAAAUAGUAUAAGGUGCUAUUAUAAUGUUAUAUGGAUGCAAUAGAAAUUAAUUUAAUAUUUAUGAGGUAAAGGUUAAAUAAAAAUGAAUGAAAGGGGUUCAAUGAAAUUUUACAACACUACUGACACAAAAGAUAAAAUCAGUUGUACGGUACCACGGUGGUACCGUAGCUGGAUCCCACUCACUGACAUUCAUGAGAAAUUUAACGGUAGGAAAAAGAAGUUAAAAAAAAUGGACAUUCAUGGGAAACCGGCUUUGAUGGUUAAUGUGCAACCGGAUGUGAGCAAAAGGUCACGUGGUGAGGGCAUUGUCACAUGGUUGGAGAAAUUGACAGUCUUUUUUAUUUUUGUCAAUGAGGUUGGUGAAGGUAGGAAAAAAACAAGUUUGGGUUAUUCCAUUGUUUUGGGAAAAACAUUGAAAGCGGUGAAAAGAAAAUGUCAACUACACUGUAAUGUCAGUGAAAAUUGGUCGGAGUUGUACAAAGAUCAGUUAUGAAGAAUAUUAGGGAAAUGAAAAAUAAUAUACUUAAAAUUAUAUCAUUUAGGUUAAUUUUUUUAAAAUAAAACCAAAACCACAUCAUUUUAAAUAUAUUUCUUUAUCAAUUUUUUUUUGUCUCCAAUCAUUUUCUAACUUUCAAAUAAGUAAUUCUUAGGCUCUGUUUGGUACAUUUUUUCAAGUAGAGUUUAUUUAAGUAGAGCUUUUAUAAAUAGAGAUUUUACAAAAAAAAAUUAGUUAUUUGGUUGUCAAUAAGAGUUUUUAUUAAAAAUUUAUAAAAUUACUUUAAGAGGUAAAUUUUUUAAAGUUAUGUUAUGAAAAGAAUAAAAUAAAAUUGUCAAUAAGGAGAUGAUAUUUUAGAUAUUUUAACAUUUAAAAAAAAUUAACCUCUACUCCCAAAACCUAAAAUUUGAAUUUUUUCUAAUAGAGAUAAAAUAACUUAUUUAAGUUUUAAAAGCUCGAUUAUAAAAACAACCAAACAACAACAAAAAUUAUGAUAAGAGUUUAUAAGAUUAAAUAAGCACUUAUGACUCUUAAAUAAAGCAUAUCAAAAGUAAACAUUGUCUUGUUCAAAAGUGAACGAAAACGAAAUGAAAAAAACUAAGCUUAUUUAAGUUUUAAUAUCAAAAGUUAUUUGGUACUUAUUCAAAUUUUACAUUUUCUGUUCUCAAAAGUAAACGAAAAUGAAAUGAAAAAGAGAAUGAGUCUCGGCUCGGGUGGCUAAUGCUGACAGUGGCUAAUGCUGCCGACAUCUUCCAACUUGCAACAACGUUAAAAAUACGUAGCCUUAAUUAAUUGCCUAAAUAAUAAAAAUAAUUGUUCAAUAAUUCCCAUUCAUCAUCUAAUUGCCGAUAUAAUAAAAAUACUUAGCCUCAGCUGACUUGUUCCAAAUCAUUCAAUAAUUCUUUUAAUUAUUAAAUAAGUUUGUUCUUGCUAAAUGCUAAUGGAUACUGAGCUGAAUGUCAAAGACGAAUAACUACAUUAGGAAUAAAAAUAUUUCGAUAUUAGUUUGAAGGAAAAGUCUAGUAUUGUUCUUCAAAUAUGUACAAGCUUAGAGCUUGUAUGACCUUUUUUCGAACAUGAGAAUAUUUCUACCUUACACGCUUUAGAAAAACUAGGUGAUAGGAAAAGAGUGUAGGAUAUAAAUUAAAGCUUAAUAAUAUUAUGAUCAAUUACUGAAAUAUUACCAUGGGCACUAGAUGAUAGGAAAAGAGCUCAUUUAUACAUUAAUAUAUUAUAUCAGUGAUAUAAGAACUUUAAUCAAACACAUGCCCCAAGUUGGGAACAGCUAAACGGGCAUUUCAUCGAACAGUUGAUAUUUGUAAGUAAGCAAGCACACGGCAAAGCAUUUGAGCAAAUAUUUUUGUCUUCUUAUUGUCGCAUUCUUCUAAUCAAUUAGCUUUGACCAACAAAAAUAAUUAAUAAUGUAAAUGGAGGAACUUGGGUUCAAAUCUAUAAAUUAAUAUCGGUAAACUACAACCCUAUUUUGAUCAAAGUUUUCAACUCAACAAAUAUAGAUUAGAGAUUAUUUGUUAAUAAAAUAUAAAAGAGCCCAAACAAAAAAAGAUUUGACAGUAUACGAAUAAUAAUUUAUACUUAUUUAUUGAAUAUAUCUUAUUUUAAUCGCUUAAGGAAUUACAAAGUUGAUGAAAUUUUUUUUUUAUUUUUUAUUUUUCACUUCUUAAAAAUUGUUGGAUUAAGAGAAUCCUCAAUCUUCAUUUACGUUCAGUGGUGGAUCCACACGGAGCCUAUAGUGGGCAAUUAAUUGACUCCCGUAAAUUAUUUUUUUUCCAUAAUUUUCUAUUUAUUUUUUAUAUUUUCAUGAAAUUACAUAAAUACUUGCAUAAUUGCCCCUAAUAAAUACAAAGUCUAUCAAUUUCAUUAAUUUUUUUUUUUUAAUUAUUGUGUUGUCCCUUGUAAGCCAAAUUUUUAGAUCCGCCCUUUAAAUAGGUUGUUACAUUUAUUGUUCUCAAAAGUGAUGACUUCUCCUAGUAUGAAGCUCCUACCAUAAGAAAAAGGUCUCCAUAAAACAUUUCGAGCUUUAACUAUGAUCUUCGGUACUGAUCUAACUUUUUUUAGUCCCUCCCAAAAAAGAAGCCUACACACACACACACAUAUAUAUAUAUAUAUUGUAACACAUUAGGACAUGAACUUGAAGCUUCUCAAGUGUUUAUGCAAUCCGGUUAACAUAUACAAGUUAUGAUAGGUAAAAUUGCUAAUAAAUUUAGAAGCCUAAAAUAUGGAAUUUGAUUAAGACUUACUAAUUAUUGGAGCAUUUUUUUCAUCUAGUUUUUGGAGAUUGAAAGAACUUAAAAUUACAGGUGAUCAUAUCUUAAUUGGCAGACUCUUGAUGCUGAUAAAUGACAAAAGUCGUAGAUUAGAGAGUUCUACUGAUUGAGUAGCGACUUGAGACAUUGUACAAUUUGUUCCAAUGCGAAUGAUUCAUAGUGACUGCACAUAUGACACCUUUUUGUCGAAAUGACACAAUUUCUCUUCAUUGUGCUAGAGAAAGGUGGGUAGAUUUCUGUUGUACAAGCAUUAUUGGAAGAGAUAUCAAGCCACUCAAUGUUCAGAUGGUCCAAACAUGUGUUCAGGAGGCACUAACAUAGCAGAAAUUGAGAUAGUUUUAGUUUCAUCAUACACUAAAAAAAUAUAAACCAGAAAUCCUGAUGGAGCGAGGCGUAGAGGAAGCGAAAAUUAAUAGGAUAGGAAACACUAGUUAUCAUUUUAGUACAGGAUUAAGCCAACGCAAUUAGGUUAUAUUCUAAUCGAAGCGUGAUUAGAUAUCGUUUUAAUCCAAACGACUCAAUGAGAUUUUUAAUAACACGUAAUGUGAGAUUAGAUGACACUCUAAUCCAAACGACUCUACAAGAGAGAUUUUGAUAGAUAAUCCCAGAGGGAAUUAUAAAAUGGGAGUUUUAUUGAAUAAUUGAAUUUGAAGUGCUCAAAACAAUGACAAGAUCUCUCUAGUUAUAAUAGAGGAAACCCACUUUCCUAAAUUAACCUAAAAGGGAAACUGAAUCACAAUUAGAAUGGAAAUAAAAGACUAAGAUACAUACCAUAAUUGACUCAAACUAAAAUAGGAAAUCCUAAAACAAUAAAUAUUCUAGAAUCCUAAAUCACCUAAAAUAACGUAAAUUAACUUCCUACAUCAUUCUUCCCCUCUUAAAAGAAACUCGUCCUUGAGUUUGAAUGCAGUCUGGAGGAUGAAACUUAUAGUGUAGGAGCAAAUCAUCUUGUAAUUUGAACUUGUAGCCUUGCUCAUCAAUCUUCCUUGAAACUUUGAAGUAUCCUAACUUCAUCAACUUCCUUCGCUUGUACAUUCUUCGAGUCGAUGACGACUUUCAAGAACGAACAAUGAUCAAAUAACUCUUGCACUUCCCCAAUUGUCGCUCAAUGCGCUCGCCAAUAAGUUUCACCUUUUCAACCAAAUCUUCUUCAAGCACAAUCUUUUUUUCUUCAAUGUGAAUAGGCAGAACCAUUUCAAUCAUUUCAACUUCUUCACCUUGAUUUUGUUGUACAACCUCGAUCGUAUUGUUAAGUUCACUGCUUAAAUUAAGAGCAGGUUAUAUAUCUUCUUAAAAAUUAUCAAAUAGGUCAAUAAUAUCAUUAUCUUCAGCACUUAUCUUCUCUUCCAAGGAAACAUCACGCACAUUCUCGAACAACUUGUCAGAUUGAAACCUUAAAUCAAUAAUAAAUUGUACAUUUUCUUCUGGCAACUCAUGCGAGUCUUCUUCCUUAACAAUAAGAGAACUCAUUGGUACAUCUUUGGGCACUUUCAUGGUGACACGCCAUUUCUUGCUUAAAUUCUGGAUUUCGUCAAGUUUUUUAAUCACAUCAUCAAAGUUUCUUUGACGUUGCGACUUAAUUUGCGAUUCGAUUUUCUUGGCUAAAUGAAUUGCAUGUUGUAAAUUGUAGAUAGUGUAUAUAGGCAUCCUUUCUUGAAUAUGCAAAUCAAGCCCUUUAAUAAAUCUUGUAACUGUGUUCUCUUCAGGCUCAUAAUAAUAAUGACAUCCAUAAAAUCAUUCAAACUCAUAAGCACAAGCAGAAACAUAUCUCGUACCUUACUGUACCAAACAAUAAUCAAGAGGAAUAAACUCAGAUCGUAAAAUAUGCUUCAUACAGUUCCAUGAUUGAACUUUGCAUUUGCCUUGGUCAAGUCGAGACAUUUGCAACUCAUCGCACCAUUCUGAAGCACUUAUGCUUAAUCUACUGGCAGUAAACGAGACUUGCUUUUCUUUAGGAGUGUGCCAAAAUAGAAACUAGUGCUUAACCUUGUCCAACCAAUCAAGAAAUUUGUUUGGACGUGUAUUUUGUAAAUAAUAUCGGCACAUGAUAAAUAGGAGGGCAAUGAUGGUAGCUUGCCAUUUAAGUUUCCACACAAUGGCAAAAUUGUAAUUAAGGCUCAACUCUCGGGUUUGGUAUGGUCGGCAGCUGGUGGCGUGAUUGGGACCAGAGGGAUCGGAUCUGGGAGAUUUGGUGAUAAGGAACUCGAUGAUGGUCGUGGAUCGGCUAGAUUCGCUGCGGUUUUGGUCGGAAAAUCUGACUUAAAGUGGCGGCUGAUUUUGGUGAUGUGGCUUUUGGUUUAUGGCGGCCUUACGGUGGCGGACGUGCUGGAUUUAUGGUCGCCGAUUGCUAGGGAUUAUGGUGGUGGUAGUGCAAAUUGACAGAAAAAAGGAGGUGGUUUGGUGGCGGCGCAUGUGUGAAGCACUUGUGGGUUGUCGUUUCGUGUGGUGGCUGUGGGCGGCGAUCAAGGGCUGAAGUUGGUCGGUGUUUUGGUUAGUGGAGGCCUGCAAGCUCGUUGGUAGAGGUGGCUGGCUGUGAAAGUGGCUGAAUGGUGGUGGAUUGCUUGGUGGAGCCGCGGGUUUGGGUUGGUGAUUUGCGGCUGUUUAGGCGGCGGUUGAGGAGGCGAUGGCUGAGGCUUGGUCGGCAGUGGCUAGCGAGGUUUGUGGUGGUGUUGGCUGGCUGAUCGGUGGUGGAAGUUGAUGUGGUGGCUAGGGUUUUCAAAUUUGUAAAGUUUUGAUUUAUUUAUUUUGUUUUAUUUUAUUUAUUUUUUGUGAUAGAUUUGAUGUGGAUGGAUAUGGAUAGUCAGGAAAGUUGUGCAAUUGGCACAAAACUGCUCUGAUACCAACUAAUGGAGCGAGGCGUAGCGGAAGCAGAAAUUGAUAGGAUAUGAAAUACUAAAUACCAUUCUAGUACAGGACUAAGCCAACGCGAUUAAGUUAUGCUCUAAUUGAAGCAUAAUUAGAUAUCCUUCUAAUCCAGACAACUCAAUGAGCUUUUUAAUAACGUGUAAUGCGAGAUUAGAUGACUCUUUAAUCCAAACAAUUUUACAAGAGAGAUUUUGAUAUAUAAUCCCAGAAGGAAUUAUAAAAGGGGAGUUUUAUUGAAUAAUUGAAUUUGAAAUGCUCAAAACAAUGACAAGAUCUCUCUAUUUAUAAUAGAGGAAACCCAAUUCCCUAAGUUAACCUAAAAAAGAAACUAAAUCACAAUUAUAAUAGAAAUAAAAGACUAAGAUAUAUACCAGAAUUGACUCAAACUAAAAUAGAAAAUCCUAAAACAAUAAAUAUUCUAGAAUCCUAAAUUACCUAAAAUAACGUAAAUUAACUUCCUACAUUAUUCAAUACAUCAAUAACAAGUGCACAAACACAAAUAUGAUACACUCAUCUCUUUAAUUAAUUCAAGGCUUAAAUACUCUUUCGGUUGAAUCCAAAUUGAACAUGGUAGCUCUUGGACACCAUCCAUGAGAAAUAAAACUAACUUCAAAUUAGAUUUCUAAGUACUCAAACAAAGCUAGAAGCAUAAUAAAUUAGAUUUCUAAUUACUCAAACAAAGCAAGAAGCAUAAUAACGAAAUGAAGAAAGAAACAAAAGGUCCCCUCACCAACGCCAUCUGACUCUUAGUAUAUAGAAAGAACUCGAGGCCUUAUUCUAGAUGCUGCACAGAAGGUUGGCCCGAAUCGUCUUCAUAAGUUUGGACUCUCUGUAAACAAAGAGCAAAAACACAUUGAAGGUGUAGUUUUCACAUAAUUAAAUUGCACAAAUUAGCCUCCAUCAUAACCAGUUAAUGCUUAAGAACACAAAAAUCCUUCAAUUCUCUCUAUAAGCAAUUACUUUCAUUUUUUUUCAAUUUCUUGUUCGCUAUAUCAUAUCUAACAACUAAUCUUCAACAUAACAAUACAGCAGAGUAGUUAUGUUUUAAAAAGAUGUACCAAUGUGAUUUAACAUAAAUAAAACGUAUUUAAUCAGCACAAAAAUAAAAUCAAAACCUCCCAAUUUGUAUGGAUUUUACCUUGCCACUGUCUUUUGCAUCUUCCUUCUUUUCAUUAGCCUUGUUGGACGUCUCAUUCUUUUUUUUCCUUCUCUUCCUAAUUAGAUUUAAAAUGAAUUUGUCAAAAAUUUGAUGGGUACUUUUUCUUUUUCCUUUUUUAUAUAUAUCCGUUAUUGAAUCAAACUUUUACAAAAAAUCAACAUCUCGUAGUGAAUGAAUACAUACCUUUUUUUUAAGAUAUAGGUAUUGAAUGGUUGUAUUAAGGUCGCGAUCCAAAGUCCAACAUUCUUCAUCAUCCCACCGUUUAAGCUGCACUUGGUGUAACUUGGGUGUGCUUAAUUCUCCUCCUGAGAAAAUGUUCAUAUUGGGGCAAUUAUCCACCACUAAUCUUUCCAGAGAUGGGAAUUUGAAGGCGCAAUUAUUGCCAGAGCAGAAUCCUGUCAGGCUUUCUAAGUUCCAGAGCAGCAAUUCCUUCAAUUCGCUGAAAACAAUUUCAUUUUUUGCUGCAUAAUUAUCCCCCUCAUCACCGUCAUCUGCCACUAUUUCUAUUAUCAUCUUGCAUCUACCUAUGCCCAUUUCCCUCAGUCGCACCAGACUCUUUGCAAUUGAGGAUGUUAGUACAUCUAUCAAUCCUAUGCAAUUAUAUACCAUCAAAGUAGUUAGAUUUUGAAACGAUGUCGAGGAUGGCACUAGAUUAAUCAAAUUGUGACAGUCACAUAUGUCCAGGUUUUCCAAAUUGUUGGCAUUGGAGGACUCUUGUUUCAAAAUUUGCUUCAGACCACGAUGCCGGUUUAUUCCUCUUAUCAUUGCCUUCAUCCCGUUUUCAACCUUUCCAAAUAGUCUAAAAAUAUACUCGUCUCCUCCUAUAAUGAGAAUUUUGGUUGUGUGAAAUCUCUGGAGGAAAUCGUCGAGUGAUAAAAUAGCUGUUGACUCAUCAAUCCAGACAUCAAGAAGUUUAAGUUUGCAAAGCAAGUCUUCUGGAAAUAGACCUAUGUACUUUUCAUCAAUACUCAAAUCUUCCAAAUUGGGGAACAUCUGGGUGAUCAACAAUCACAAAAAAAAAAAAAAAAAAAGCAAGAGGGAGUUAAAUCUUCUUUCUAACGAUUUCAAAAAUUAAAGUAAAUACAAAGCAUUUCAAUGAUGAAUAUUGAUGGCCGGACAAAUUUAUGGAUAUGUAGAGAGAGUAUGAUUUUCAGCGGUAAUUAUUUUCUUUUUUUUUUUUCAAAUAUAGUAAGUGAUGUGUAUUUUUUUUUGUCAUCCUCUCUUCUUAACUUUCAAAUUUUAUUAGAUUUGUGCAUAAUGUCUACAAAAAAGACUUCAAUUAUUCUCAAAUUGCAUUUGAACUUCUGGAUUCUUUUAAUCGAUCCGCUUAUUUGGUUUCAGUUGAAAAUCUUACAAAUUUCUUUUUUUUUUUAAAUUGGUUUUUUUAACUUUUUUCUUUUCAAGAGCAAAAAUGAAUAAAUAACUUGAUUUUAAAAAGUUUAAUAAUAUGGUAAGAAGCUGGUAUUUCAUUAAUAUUCAUCCAACUCAAUGGAAUUGGAUAUAUUUACUAUUGUACAAGAAUGGAUUUUCUUGUACAUAAAGUUUAAUAAGAUAAGAUUUCUUCAUUUGAGUUUUGUCCAUCUCUCUCUUUAUAUUUUUAAAAAUAUUAUUUUUGUUAACACAAAAUGACCAAUUUCUUCUUCAACAUCAAAAUUGACAAUCAUUUUGUAUGUAACAAUACUGUAGUAAGGACUACUAAUUUUAAAUAGCUCUUAAAAGAUUAUCAGGGAAUUAACUGUGGCUUGAAAAACCGUAGAUAUUUUGAGUAUUUUCUUCGUUUGGCUAAUCAAAUGCAGAGUCUCUUUCGUGUAUUUAACUAAACAUAUAGACAUAAAAUAAAAAGUAGACGAAGAAGAAAAAAUCUGAUAAUUAAGAGAAAAAAAUUGAACGAGAAGGAAAAAAAAAUACUAAAUAAUUUUGUAUUCAUUCUUUCUAACUGACAUCCAAAUCCAUCUAUGGUUGUAGCCGAUUCAAUAUUCGAUAAUGAGAAGAAUUAUUGAAGAAUGAUAAUUAUGUUUAUAUCGAAUAUUGAUAAUUAUGUUUAUAAGGAUAUUAUAUUAGUAUAAAUAAGCUGAUUUAUAGAACUAACAUUUUGUUACUAAAAGACAAAUUGACGAGGGCAAUAUAUGACGACAAUAAAGCUCUAAACUCUCAAGUAGAAAUACUUUUAAGUACGUAAGAAUUGAACAAUAAUUACAAAAGUCUUGCACGUACCUUUUUGGUGGACUCAUGAAUAGUGCUUUUAAAUUUCACAUGGGGACAUCCCCUUAUUAUUAAUUGUUUCAAGGAUGGAAAUUCAAAAUGCAGAUCUCCUGUGCAGAAGCUUGUAAGCUGCGGAAGAGAACCAAGUUCAAGUGUCCUUAAUUGAGUGAGUUCAAUCACUUGAGUGUUAUUAUUGCUGGAUUCAUCUCCUCUAUCGGCAGCAAAAAUCACUUCCAUAUUCUGGCAUUUUGUCACUUCAAUGGACUGAAGUUGUUGAAGGCCUCUGCCAAUGAGCAAUGGAAACACAUUUUUCAAUUUAUCACACCUUUGCACCCUUAUGUUCUUUAAUUUGCAAAAGGACUCUGCUGUGAGUGAACCACGACAUAUUUUCUCUAGGUUACCCAAAUCUUCCAGAAAUAAUGACUCCAAGAGGGGGAACGCUGUCAGCGCUGUUGCACAAUCCACUGUGUCAACAACACAAAAAAGGCUGCGAUUAUCUCGGACUUCGAGAUGCUUCAGCUGUGGAAAACCUUCUCUGCCAGGUUCGCAAAGAACAUUCUUCAUGUCCAGCAAUCCAUGUAAAGAUAGGUCUUCAAUACCCUUCAAUUGCAUGAUAUGCCCCUCGUUCAGGCAAAUGUUGGCACCAUUGGUGAUCUUCAGUUUGAAUUUUCUAGAAAACCCAUCCAAUAUUGGGUCAUCCGACCACAGAUAUCCAAUGAAUAUCCUGUACCUUUUCAGGAUUUUGAAGAACAACAAGUCGCUUGGUAUAGUCUUUUCAUCUUGGAUGAGUAUUUCUAAAGAGGUCAAUUUAGAUAAAUGAUUCAACUCAUGAAGGCUGGCAUUUCUUCUUUCACUAUCGAGCCCUUCAACCGUCCCCCACUGAAUGGGACUCUCACCAAUAUACAGUUCUUCUAAUCGAGAUAAGCUUGAUAUAACAUUUGGUGGAAUAACUUUUAGUUCGAAACACUUGCUCAAAUCCAACAACCUCAAUUGAGUCAGCUGGCCCAUUUCUCCAACCAGUUUCUCCACAUCAGAACCUCGAAGUGAAAGGAUUUCUAAUUUCUUUAGGUCUCCGAUAAUAGCGAUGUCUCCUAGGUUGCAGUAAUUCAGACACAGUGUUUGAAGGUUUUGUAAGAGACCAAGCGAUGAAGGCAAUGGCAAUAAAUGCAUCUCAGUGAAAUCUAAAACUUUAAGCCCAGUCAUCCCAGUAAAAAAAUUAUCUGGGAUUCUCAAAGAUGGAUCAUUGCCAAUACGAAAAUAUUUAAGUUGCGGGCAUUCGAAACCUUGAGGAAGCUCACUAAUAUUACUAUAAAUUAAGGAGAUUGCGGUGCAAACCUUUAGUUUUUCCUUAUCUGGCCAGAUGAUCUGCGGAGCAACCUCACUUUCCACCACAAACACAUGUUGGUCUCCAGAUGCAAUUGAUAUGGCUGCAUCACGAACAACAUCAUGCAUAGAAAACCGUUCACUUGUAUUACCGUCAACCAACAAACAAGAUUUUUUGAGUUUAUCAACCAAUGUAUGUGCUCUAUCCCACGCCUCUUCCGACGUGUUGAUGUUUUGAAACAGACCCAAACCCAUGCCAUGAUAAAGCACGUCUUUAACGCAAGAGAUGAACGCGUACCCUAUAAGCAAAAACGUUCUCUUGAGCUCCUCCCUGUUUAAAUGAUUGUAACUCAGCUCUAUACUUUUAUAUGCCACCUCCAGUGUUCCACUGAUGUUUCUGAAGGAAGGCCUUCUUAAUUCCAGCAAGGAAUCCUUCCAUUCAAACAAUCUCUUAUUUAUUAGUGCCCUGGCUACGGGUACAAUGGCAAUGGGCAAACCAGCACAUUCCUUGACUAUCUCUGUUGCUACAGAUUUCAGUUCACCAUUUUCUAUACAAUCACCUGUCAUCUUCCGGAAAAGACUCCAAGCUUCUUUUUCAUUCAGAACAUCAACAAAAAAAUUUUGUUGACAAUCCAUCUUACAGGACAACACAUCUUGACUUCUUGCUGUCAGAAGAACUUUGCAUCCGCUGUUAUCAUCUGCUAAUGGAAUUCCAAUCGCCUCCAAAUCAAGACCCCCCCAAAUAUCAUCCAAGAUUAUAAGGAUCUUUUUCUCUUUCUUCAAUCUUUCAAGCAGCCUCCCUGCUCUUACAGUUUCAUGACUCUGUUCAGCCAAUUCUAAGCCUAUCUUCUCUGAGAUUUCUCCUUGUAUAUUUUUUAUUUGCGGUGUUGGCGAAACACGUGAAGAAAUGACCUUCUCAAAGAGAUUAUUUUCCUUUGCCUGUCUGCCAACUUCUUUCACCAGCGUUGUCUUUCCAAUGCCACCCAUCCCGUACACGCCAAUCAUGUUGAAGUCACGGUUGCUGAGUGCGUCUAGUAUCUCCUUAAAAGUGGAUUUUCUCGAUUCAAAGUGCAUGAAAUCCUGGGUAGACUUAAGCCAUGUCUCCUCUGGAAUGGUACGGAAAGAAACACUGUCGAAUCUCCCUUUUUCAUGGAGUCCAACAAUAGUAUUCGCCUCUCUUUCUGCUUUCUUGCUAAGCUGGUACCGAGCCCUCAAAUUAGGACAUAGCCCCUUCAAACACCGGUUGUUUGAAUUCUCUUUGUCUUCAAUAAUUGUUUCGACUUCAUUGAUCUCCUUGUUCGCAGCAAACAGCCACUCCUCAACGUGCUGUUGAAUUCCGUCCCCUUUAAUUCUGGAAUCAUCAACCUUACACUGCAUACUGUCUCUAGCAUUCUUUAGCUUAUCGACUUCAUUAUUCAGCUUCUCGAAGUUGGUCUUGUAAGUGCAGCAGUAAGUAAAUGGAUGAAUUAUGGGAGCAACCAAGUACUCUGCAAAUUUUGCAGCAACGGAGAUAACAAUUUCCAUUAUCCCUUUCUUUUUUUUUAUUUUUUGCUUUCAGAAAACAGGGGAAAGCAAAACUAAUCAAACUAAGCAGAACUAAUCAAUCAGCUGGGAAGAGGGAAAUAAGAAGUUUCGAUAAAUUGCUAAAAUAAGAAGUUGAAUAGAUUUAAGGGAGGAGGAGAGGAAAAGAGUGAAAAAUCUAGAGAUGAAACAAAGGGGGAUCCUUUUUCUGCUAAGACAAAUUGAAAAGCGAGUACAAUAAAUGAAAGAUUUGCAAAGAAGGUGUAGGAUGAGGACAAGGAUGAUUCAGAAAAGGGAGACUGAAAAUGAAGAAGAGAUUUCAGAGAACUCUAGAGAUUAGAGAAGAAGGAUGAUUAGGAAAAUGCGGAGGCAGACAGUUGUGAUCUCAAGUCUCAAGGGUAAUCUGAACUUUAUGAUUUUUUAUUUUUUCAAGAAAUAGAUAUACAAAUAAAAUGAAAAAAAAAAAAAAAACUGUUGUGUGGUCGUGUGGGUUCCUCGAAAUCACUUCGGCAUUUAAUCGAACGAUUGGAUGUACUCAGCAUCUACACUUCCACGAAGGUUCCUGGAAGUUGCGAGUGCUGCCGGCAUUUUCAAACUCGGAAGGUUUCAAUAAUUCUUUUACUUUGAAAGAAAGGUUUCAAUAAUUAGCUUUGAUAAUUGUGUAAUAUACGAUAAUCUAGUGAUGAUGAUGACUUAUAUAUGUGAUUAAAAGCUAAGCUGGUGGAUUUGUAAGUAAGAACACACGGCAAAGUAUUUGAGCAAGCAUUUUUAUCUUCUUAUUGACACAUUCUUCUAAUCAAUUUGCUUUCACCAACAAAAAUAAUUAAUAAUUUGUAAAUAGUUGGAUCUUAAGCUCAAAUUUUGACAAUACAUGAAUGAUAAUGUAUACUUAUUUUUCAAGGGUAAACUCUAUUUAAGAGAGGAUCUCAAUUUUCUAUUAGUUUCUUCAAAUGGGCAUUUUAUCCAACAGUUGAUGUACUCGGAAACUUACACGAAGGUUCCAGGGAGUUGCAAGUGCCGCCGGCAUUUUUCAAAUAAUCAAGUGAUUAUUGAGUAAUAAUUAACUUUGAUUAUUGAGUAAUAAAUAUAUGAUAAUCAAGUGAUUUUAAUAUGUAAACAGUAGGAUUUUGGGCUCAAAUCUUUAAAUUAAAUCGUGAUCAUUUUAUCAUUAAACUCGAACUCUAUCUUGAUUAAUGAACAAAUGUUAGAAAUUAGUUGUUAAUAAAAUAUACCCUGGAUGUAAUGGCUAUUCCUAAAGCUCAAUUGAACCAAGAACACAAUCUUGAAGGGCCCAAGAACAGAUCCCAAACAAGAAGUGACACAAAGCUUAACAAGAAUCCAUGAUCAAACAAUGAACAAAACAAAGAAUCAGUAAAGAAGAAAACUUAGAGCAAGAGUGUUUAAUGAUUUGAUUAAAUUUGUGUUUAUUUCUGUGGAUGAUUUCAUUCCUAUUCUUGCCAUUCAUUUUUAUGAUUUUUUUUUUUUUGGGGUUGACUCCCGGAACAAUCAACCUGGGGAUGGGUGGGUUUUAUUUAUUUGUCAUGAUUUGAUUAAGCAGAGCAACUAAUACUUCAAAUCGUAUCACUGUUGUAUUAGAGGCUUCACGUAUAUAAACCAAAGUUUAACAGAUCUACAUAUAACUGAAUGAAAAGCUUAUGUAUUAUAUUCACUCCAUCAAGUAUGAAGCAUAUAAUCAAUUGAUCUACAAGCACUAGACAUACAAAAAUCAAAUGGUAGAAUAGAAUAUACAAGCAUCAGCAUUAGAUGACAGGAAAAGAGCUCAUUAAUAAAUUAUAUGAGUGAUAAUACUACUUGAAUCAAACUCACGUCCCCAGUUGAGAAGAGUUAAAUUAAAUAAUACUUUGGUGAUUUCAUGUGCGUAAAAUUAUAAAUUUAUAACCAGACUUUGUAAAGUUAAUGUGAAAAUGCAUCACAGUUGUACUUAUUAUCUUUUUUCUUUUUUCCUUUUCCAAUUAGUCUAAUACCAGUGGCGUGGCCUCGUGGGUCCUCAAAUUAUUCAAAUGGGCAUUUCAUCGAACAGUGGAUAUACUCGGCAUGUGCACUUGGAAGACGCGUUCAAAAGCUCUAAAUCAUGUUAAAGUCGACCAAAAAGACAAAACAUAGAAAGCGACAAUCCAACAACUAGGUAAAAAUAUUCGCUGUCACAAAUGGUUGCGUUAACGUGUAUAUUUGGGACAUCAAAUAUAAACAAAGACCAUGUGAAAAAGAAAAGCAAAAAGCUAGAAAUAAGAAAAAGGGAGCACAGUGAAAGAUCUGCAAAGAAGGUUUAGGACAACGAUUAUUAUGAAAACGGGACCAGAAGACGUAUAAGGGAUUUCAGAGAAUUUUGAGAGAAGUGGGAUGAUUAAGAAAAUGCAGGAGCAGGACAUUCAUGACCUCUAUUAGUAAUUUGAUUUCGUGAAUCAUUUUCAAAAAGAAAAUAACGCACACAAUUGGAGACUAGGCGAUGACAAUGAAAGAUCACAAUCCUGAAUCAUGUUAAAGCCAAUAAAAAGACAAAACAUGGAAAGCGGCAAUUGCUAUAUUGCGUUGCGUGUAUUUUCGGAUCAUCAAAUACAAACAACGACCACGUUAAAAGAAAAGCAAAAGCUGACGAGAUUGGUAAAGAUAUAUCAAAAGAAAGACUAAUAGAGCUUUCCCAGCAGCAUUAAUCAUGAUUAUUUGAUAAAAUAGAGGGAAUAAAUAAUUAUAUUUUUGGUGGAAAACAGAACAGAGUACGUUACAAGAGGUGAUUGCUUUCUUAAUUUUUUGUCAAUAUUAAACCAAAAAUACAAGUCAAUGAAAAAAAUUGAAAAUAACGCACCAUCAAGUCAGCCUUGGUGCAGAAAAAUAUUAACAUUUAAUGAACAUAGAGGGAUGAGUUGGGCCAAGUCUUUAAAUCAGAUCUGUCGUGGAAUAUAACAGGAAGAUUAAAAGAAAAAUCAAUCAACUAGUAUAUAAUAUAAUGUUUUUACAUUUAACUAAUUAGGAGACUGAUACACUAGCAAUCAGCAUUAAUCAAUUAUUUGAUAAACCAGUAAAUAUUGGAUAUCUCGGUGCAAAACAGAGUGUUGAGAGAUAAAAAUUAACCUGGUGUCUUUGGCAGGUGCUUAAUAUAAUUGCUAAGCUUGCCACAUGCCAUUGCCAACUUUGGCCAUCUGCUAGCUGCUAUAUAUGAAGCAACUCAAGUAAACAUAAAGCAGCCGUCGUGAGAUGAAGCACAACAAGGCUUGUGAUGUGAUCACUGAUCAUGCAUCCGGGACACUUUUAUACUUAUUUAAUUCCAAUAAUCAUAAUAAACUAUUGAAUUAUAGACCAGGUUUUCGUUUUUAUGAAUACAAGGCACAAACACGAGCAUAUUUUAAUCCUAUUUCUGCUAAUUGAAGAAAAUCAAGAAAUGCUGAUUCCGUCAUGCUUAGUUUCAUGUUAGUUAACAUACUGGACAGACCUUCCGAGGUUAUUCUUCGAAGCGUUUCAUGAUGCCACGUGUACUUGAUUAUUUGACUAAUCACGGUUCACAAGUUGAGUGAGCUAUUCACCAGUCACCAAACCACCUUCCUGCUGCAAAGAAUGUUAACUGAACUUUGACUUGGUCAGAAACUCAGAAUUAGUGGUGCACGUGAUGCUUACACGUGAGGACCCAAAUGACGAAUUCCAAAAGCUGAAUGAUGUAUGUGUGAAUUAAAUAUAACUAUUACGCUCUAGCACAUAUAUGUCACAUGUAUACUAAGUGGGUGUAGUGCGACGAAGGUGCUCUAUAAUUUUUCAGUGAACACAAUAUAAUCAUCAAAGUGAAAGAAAAACUUUUGAGGUUUUGGUGUAUUCAUUAGUGAAAUUUGAGCCGAAAAGAAAAAUUCAUAUUUGUAAACAUCAAAACCAAAAUCAUUUGGAUGUAGUUGCUGAAAUUGAUUAGGUCAUUUUUAACCUUAAAUUUAAGAUCAUUAAUCAUUGCAUGAAUGUUUUGAUUUUAAUACCAGUGGCAAUCACGUACAUGUUUAAUGAUUUGAUUAAAUUUGUGUUUAGUUCUAUAAAUGAUUUAACUAAAAAAUUCAAAAAAGUUUAAAUCACAAUUUUUAUUAUUAACAAUUUAACUAAAAAAUUAUUAUUAAUUAUUGUUAAUAGAUUAAUUAAUUACAAUACUUUUUAUUAAUCUUAUUAAUAGUAAUUACAAUAAACUAGUAAUUAUAAUUAAAAUUACUUUAGUAACAGGUUUAUUAAACCUAGACUCAUCUACCUUGCAACGGCUGCAAGGUACAACUCUUUUUUUUUUUUCAUUCCUUUACCUUUGGAUUUAAUGAAAAGUUAAUUUCAAUGGUAGAGAUUUGUCCAUUUGAAUACUAACAUUAUACUCUUGAUAAGUAUUAAAAAAAUAAAAAAAUGAAAGAGUUAAAAUUUUUAGCACAUAAGUCUUUAUUGUUUCUAAUUUAUAUUGUUUAAUUAGUAGUAAGUCUUAAAAAAAUAUUUUAAUUUUAAUAUUAUAUAAAAAUAAUAAAUUUUUAAUGUUAUUUAUUUUAUUAAAAAUAAAUAUUAUUUAAUAUUAUUUAUUUUCAUUUUAUUUAGCAUAUGCUUAUUAUUAUAUUUAUUCCUCAAAAAAUUAAAUAAUAUUAAAUAAAAUAAAAUAAUCAAUAGUGAAUCAUAAAAAAUAGAUAUCAUUUUUAAUUAAUAUUAUUUAUUUUAUUUUAUUUAACGUUUUAUAGUCAUAAACUUAUCAUUAUAUUUAUUCUUUCAUAAAACUAAAUAAUGUUAAAUAAAAUAAAAUAAUAGUAAUGAGUCUUAAAAAUUAAUAUUAUUUUUAAUAUUAUUAACUUGAUUUUAUUUAAUAUUAUUUAUCCAUAGGCUUAUAAUUUUAUUUAUUCUUUUAAAAAAUUAAAUAAUAUUAAAUAAAAAAUAAUCAAUAGUGAACCUUAAAAAAUAAAUAUUAUUUUUAAUAUUAUUAAUUUUAUUUAAAAAAUAAAUAUUAUUUUUAAUAUUAUUAAUUUUAUUUAAAAAAUAAAUAUUAUUUAUUUUAUUUUAUUUUAUAUUAUUUAUUCAUAGGCUUAUUAAUAUAUUUAUUUUUUAAAAAGUUAAAUAAUAUUAAAUAAAAUAAAAAAACAAUAUUGAGUCCUAAAAAAUAAAUAUUAUUUAGUCAUAGACUUAUUAUUAUAUUUAUUCUUUUUAAAAAGAUAAAUAAUAUUAAAUAAAAUAAAAUUACAUUUUAAAAAGUCACCAGCAAAAGCAUAUAAACUUAUAAAUAAAUGUAAAAAAAAUAAAAUAAAAUAAAAUUACAUUUUCAAAGGUCACCAGCUAAAGUAUAUAAACUUAUAAAAAAAGGAUAAAUAAGAAGGAUAGUAAGGGGUUAAAUAAAAUUUAACAUACAUAACAUAAGACAAAAAAUGAUGGCACCUUGCAACUGUUGCAAGGUAGCUGGAUCCUAUUAAACCUAUAUGUUAUAAAACAAAUGAAAUAGGAUUAUGCAUGCAGUUAAAUAGGUGUAUUUUAGAAAAUCUAAUUCUUUUAAGGAGCUCUACAACCUAUUCUCCUAGAAGUCCAAAAUUUAAACUUCUCCUAAUAAAGACAAAAUAAUAUUUUUAAUAAACUCUAUUCAAUUUAUAGCCAAACGAUGCCAAAAAAUAUUCAAAAGCAAAAUUACUCUCUUGAUCUAUUAGUAGAGAAAUCAUACAAAAUGGACACUUAAUGGUCAAUUAUUUUCCCCCCCCCCUUUUUUUGUAGUUUUACUUUUCCUAUAAACAUUAUUGUUUAGGAAAUAAUAAUAACACUACAUACUCUCCACUAACACAUUAAUUAAUUAAGAGUAUUUCCUCACUAGCGCGCAUUUAAUUAUCAAAAGUACGGCUAAACUUUGGUAAUUAAGAAAACAAGUGAUAUUGGUGGCAAACUGGCAAUGACAAGAAAAUUUUAAUACCACAAAAAAAAAAAUUAUCAGUUACGUAACAACUGAAUAAUUAAUUAUAAAAGUGUUGUACGUACCUUAUCUGUCAAGUCAUUGGCCGUACUUUUAUAGUUCAACACCAAUUUAGGACAUCUCACUAUUUGUAAUUCUUUUAAAAAUGGAAAUUCAAAGUGCAGAUCUCCUGUACAGCAGAAGCUUGUGAGAUUUCCAAGAUCUGUUAUCUUUAGAUAUAGUAGCUGAGGGAACAUUACAAUAAUAUUAAGGGAGCUGCUACCUUACAUUAAACGUAAGGUACAGCCUUCUCACUAAUGGUGGAUUUUAAUGGAGCCCACAGAUAAAUUAUGUGAGUGGUUGUACCAUACGUUUUACGUAAGGUAGCAAAAUCCUAAUAUUAAUCUUGCUUUCUUCUUGGUCAUCCACGACUAUUAUCUCUUCCAAAACAUUGUUCACUCCCUCAACCUUCCACUGAAUGGGACUCUCACCAAUACACAGUUCUUCUAAGCGGGGUAAGCUUGAUAUGACAUUUGGUGGAAUAAAUUAUAGUUUGAAACAAUUGCUCAGGUCCAAACCCUUCAACUGGGUCAGCUGGCCUAUUUCUUCAACCAGAGUCUCCAUAUGAGAACCUUGAAGCGUAAGAAUUUCUAAUUUCUUCAGGUCUCCGAUAAUAGCUAUGUCACCUAGUUUGCAAUCAUCUAGAGACAGUGUUUGAAGGUUGUGUAAGAGACCAAGUGAAGAAGGCAAUGGCUUCAAAUGCAUCGUAGUGAAAUUUAAAACUCUAAGCUCUGUCAUCUCAGUAAAAAUGUCAUGUGGGAUUCUCAACGAAGGAUCACUGCCAAUAGAAAAGUAUUCACGGUGUGGACAUUCCAACUCUUGAGGAAGCUCACUAAUAUUACUAUUAUUUAAGGAGAUUGCAGUGCAAACCUUUAGUUUAUCCUUAUCUGGCCAUUUGAUCUGUGGGACAACAUCAUUAUCCACUACGAAUACAUGUUGGUCUCUUGAUGCAAUUGAUAUGGCUACAUCACGAACAACAUCAUGCAUAGCAAACCAUUCACUUGUAACUCCAUCAAGCAACAAGCAAGGGUUUUUGAGCUUAUCAACCAAUGUAAGCGCUCUAUCUCGUGCUUCUUCCAACGUGUUGAUGUUUUGAAACAGAGCCAAACCCAUGCCAUAACAGAGCAAGUCUUCAACACAACAGAUGAACGAGUACCCUAUUAGCAAUAAUGUUUCUUUAAGUUCCCUACCUUCUAAAUGAUUGUAACUCAACUCUACAGUUGAAUAGGCCACCGCUUGUGUCCCAGAGAAGCUUCUCAAAAAAGGCCUUUGUAAUUGUCGUAAAGCAUUCCUCCAUUCAUAGAGACUCUUAUUUUUCAACGCCUUUGCUACGGGUACAAUGGCAAUGGGCAAACCAGCACAUUCCUUGACUAUAUCUGUCGCUACAGAUUUUAGUUCACUAUUUUCUAUGCAAUCACCUGCCAUCUUCUUAAAAAGACUCCAAGCUUCUUUCUUAUUCAAAAUAUCGACAAAAGAAUUAUGUUGACAAUCCAUCUUACAAGACAACACAUCUUGACUUCUUGCUGUCAGCAGAACUUUACAUCUGCUGUUAUCAUCUGCUAAUGGAAUUCCAACAGCCUCCAAGUCAAGAAUAUUCUCCAUCGUCUUUAUUGUCCCUUUUUUAUAUUUUAUUUUUUCUUGUGUCGAAAGAAUCCUUCACUUAUUGGAAUAUCCAUGAUGACUGGGUGCAAUUGGAAGAGUCCAUGAAAUUCUUCUUUCAUUCGAGCUUAAAAUACUUUCUCCGAACAAUUAGAAUACAUUAAUAUUUUAUGAACUUGCUUAGUAGAUCAUUCAACUACUUAAUUGGUGUUGUUAAUUAAUUGGUUAUCUUCCCGGAAACACAUUAAAGACUCUCACAGGGAUUCAUUAAACCUUUUUGCUGGGUCAAUUCUACAAGCAUCAGACGUAAAAGCUUCAUGAUAAGAGCACAAGCCUAUCGUCUUCAAAAGCUCCCUCAAAAAGCUAGCUAUUUUCUUUAUUGUCAUUUCCAUCCAUUUUAACCCUCUCUUUUUUAUUUUGUACAACUUUGACUUGACUCUCAAAUAGAGAACAAUGAUAUUUAGACAGAAAAAUUUAAUAGAAUGUUUAAAAAUAAAAUAAAAUUAGUGUCGGUUUAUCUUGUACUAGUUUUACCUUAUUGAUGUCAAUGAUUUUCUAAGAGAAAAAUAAAACUUACAUUAAUUUUACCUUUGUUUCAUGAUGAGGUAAAAUAUGAUUUUUUUUUACUUUUAAAAGAUUUCUUUAAAUGAUUUUCAAGUUGAUUUAUUUGAUUGGACUGUCAAAUGGGUUUGGGCUUAGGCCACCCCUAAUUUUUUUUUUUUUCCAGUUUACCAUAAAAAAGAUUGGGUGUGUUGCAAGUGAGAUAUGGAUAAAAGGACAUAACUAUUUCUUCGUUGGAAAUUCGAAUAAAGAGAUAGAAAAAUUGGUAAACGAGUAGGAAAUAAUUUACGGGAAGGAUGAGUGGAUAAGAUUAGUGCUGGAGCCGUCGUGGAUUCAUUGCUAUGCAGAAUUAAAAAUUCAAGCUUAAACAGUUUUGGUGAAAUUUUUAUAUUGAAAUUCUUGUUAAUUAAUCAUUCACACUUUAAUGAAAGUAUUAAUAGCAGCCGUGUAACUCCCUAUUAAUUAAUUUAUAUUAAUAGCAGCCGUGUAACUCCCUAUUAAUUAAUUUAUAUUAAUAGCUACCGGUAACUCCCUAUUAAUUAAUUUAUCACGUGUUAUAUAUAUAAAGUAAUAUUUUAACAAUUAAUAGCGUAACAGGAUUUUUUUUUUUAUGUUGCUCUUUUACUCAAUUAAUUAAUUAACAUUUAUAAAUGAUCACUAAGUAUUCAUGAGUAUGUGACACAUGAGCUUAAACAUGAAUCAAUAUUUGCUAGUGCAUUGGUGGUUAGCACAAAUAACCACGAUGAUAGAGAGUGACAGGGAAGCAUUAAGGGGACGGAUCCUUUAAUGACCUGAUUUUUAAGCAAAUUUCACUUAUAUGUUUAUUGGUUAACCAAUUAAGAAAUAAAAAAAGUUAAAUUCUAAUAAUACAUUAAUAUUAAAAGGCAAGUGAUAUAAGUUCUUUAAACGUUCAGAAGAGAUCAAAUCAAAAGAGAAUUUUAAUUUGAAAAUAACUCUUGUAAAACUUAAGUUUUAUGUGCUCAUGAAAGUAGUUGUAAUUGAAGGCAUCUAUUGAAUAUUCAAUGGUUUAACUAAUUAUAUUCUUUAUAGACAGUUUGUAAAUUAAUCUCGUCACUACCACCAUGACUUGUAAUUUACUUGUUAGAAAAAGAAUCGAUUAUAAAUACUAAUUUGACUUUAUUGUGCUCUAGAGCAAAAUACAAAGUGGAUAUUUAGUGAUUAUUAGUUUAACUUACAAUGCUAGAUAUAUUUUAAGUAUACAUAUUAAGACAUAUAUACACACACAUACAUACACAGAUUUGCGUGCAUGCGCGCGCCAAGAGACAAACAAAUAUACGAUGAAUAGAGAUAUCCGGACCUAAAGACUUCAAAUUAAUGGUGAAACAUCUUUGCAAAUUAAACUAAGAAAAAUUGAAAAAGUAUUUUUAUCAUUUUAUGUAUGGAAUUCCACGUCCAUGCAUGCAUCUACCCAACAAAUGCCCUUGUAAUUCCAUGCAUGCAUCUACCCAACAAAUGCACUCGUAAUUAAGUAUGCAUAUGGUACAUCACAAAAUAUUGUCUUGGAAAAGUCUCAAUGGAUGACACAUGAUCAUGUCAUUGUACUUACACGCACAAUGAAUAAUCCUUGCGACGACUUGCACAAAAAAAUGGCUGUUUGUCCCUGUAGUUUAAGUACCUAUGGAGGAGUCAAUAUAUUUUUAGAAAUUUACUCAAAAAAAUCUACAUUAUAUUUUUUUUGGUUAAAAUCUAAUUAAUUAUUUUUUAUCUUUCAUCUGCUAUAUAUUAAAUUAGUUUGAAUUUUAAACUUUAUCAUAUAAAAUUUAGCUUUGAAAAUUUAUGUCCAACAACAAAGAAAGUAAGUAAAGAGACGUUCUCCAUAAUCUUUUAAAAUAUAAUAUUGACCAAACUGGAUAAUUGACUCGAAUUAUGGGGAUUAAAUUAGUAUUUACCUAUUUAACAAAUUUUAAAAUUAUUUUCUAAAAAAAUGUAAAUUAAUUUCUUUCUUUAUUAAUAAAAUUACGACAUAUCUAAGUAAUAUUCAUAUUGUGCUGAGAACAACUUCUUAGUAUAGCGAUGGUCUUACAUGUGGAGGGUUGAAAUCUUUUAUGCAUGCACAUGGAGUUAAUAGUAAUUAAAAGGGGGUGUGUAUACCACACACCUUCGAUUUGAAGACAAAAAGUGAUUGUCAUCUAUUUGCCCACGUACACACCAAAAAGUGAAUCAAAUCCUCGAACGACUCAAUGACGGGACAAGGAUUGGUUCUCCACUUUUGUACGGCUUUGAAUCACUUCUCUAUUCUAUUCACCCCGCAUCACAAACGUGGUGACGACGUAAUUACGAAAACAACUAUAAUCCAGCUGAAAACAAAUUCGUAGGCAUUUUCCCUUCAUUUAGACCAAAUCUAAAGUUCUGAAUGAAAUGAAAGAGAAAGCCAACUUGAAUUACAUUUUUUCCGGCAUUUUUUGGUCGAACGAACCAUUUCACUUGGGAUCAUAAUGAGUCGUUGCAAAGAAAAUGUUAUUUUGAUUAUUACUUUGUUUAAUAUUCUUGUUUGCGGUAUUUUGAUUUGAGAGAGAUAUGAGUCUCAAAGGAAUGUCGGAUUCUGUGCUCACAUGAUGAGCUAUAUAAUAUAUGUUGGUUUUACUUAAGGUUGUUGUAAUUAGUGGUUUAAAAAAAAAAUAACUAGCACAACUCUAAUAAAUAAUGGAUAAAAAUUCCUAAUUAAUUUGAAUUCAUCUCUCAUUUGUCAUUUGUCAUCUCUUUUAUAUAAAGUAUGACUAUAUAUGAGAGAUAUUUUAUUGUAUAUAGCUAUUUCUUUUUUUUGUUAUUUCUAUCGACUUCAUGAGCACUGUCUUAGACUUUUCCCUUUCUGUAACAAUCUUGGUUUAACUAUGAACUAAAUAUUUUUCUUUUCAAUCAUUAAUUAAUAUUAGGUGGGUGGAUCUACUAACACGGUUGCACCUAAUUACCCACUAUAAAAUUUUAUUCUCAAUCCCCAUGGAAAAGUGUGCAUGCCUAUAUAUAAUCGGACUUCAUUAUCAGUGUUAUGGAUAGAGGAAUUAUUAAUUUUAAAUUAAUAAUUAUUUUAAUCAAUUUGGCAAUGUAUAUCUUAUCCUUAAUUAAUUUAUAUGAAUGAAUAUCAAGUGUAACGUAAAAUAUUAUUUGUGUUGCACAUGUGGACAAAUUAAAGAAUACAAAGAUUCCUUAAACAAGAUUCAAAGUAUAUUAGAAUUCGUAAUGGGGUGUUUGGAAACAAAGAAAAAAACAGAGAAAAUGAAAAAGGAAACUUCUCGAUUUUAUUAAUCAGAAUAUUCAAUACUUAUUAAGCUUACUUAGCUAAGCUUAUAUACAAUUAUUCUAACUAAUUAAACAACUUCAAACCAACUAACAACUUCAGAUUUAGUUUAGCCAUUGAGCUCUUGCCACAUGUCAUUCAGUUACAUUCAAUCUUGACACAUCAGUCAGCUCUGUCCAGCUCAGCAACUAUAUCUUCAACAUCCCCCCUCAAGCUCAACCGAGGAAGUAAGGUUGAGCUUGUCACGUAAGUAGAGAAAAGGAUGAUAAGAAAGAGCUUUGGUGAGAAUAUCAGCAGUUUGUUCUGAGCUAGAAAUAUACUGAACCUUAAGACAUUGAGCAGCAACUUUCUCUCGAACAAAAUGAACAUCUAAUUCAAUGUGUUUUGUUCUGGAAUGAAACUUAGGAUUAGAGGCUAAAGCAGCUGCACUUUGAUUGUCACACCAUAUGAUUGGAAUGGAGGAAAGAGCAAGGCCAAUCUCAGCAAGAAGAGAGCGAAUCCAUAAGACUUCAGCUGCUGCCAUAGCUAGUGCUCUAUAUUCAGACUCAGCACUAGAUCUAGAGACCACUACCUGUUUCUUAGAGCACCAAGACACUAGAUUUGGACCCAUAUAGACACAAUAACCAGCCACUGACCUCCUAUCAUCUCUGUCUCCAGCCCAAUCAGCAUCACUGAAACAAUCAAUCUGUAUGCUACCAUGAUUGUAGAACUGUAAACCAAGAUCAACAGUGCCCUUCAGAUAACGUAAAACCCUUUUACAAGCCUGCCAAUGAUUGACAGUUGGAGAAGAUAGAAACUGACUAAGCUUGUUGACAGAGAAAGCAAUCUCUGGUCUGGUCAAUGUUGCAUACUGAAGAGCACCUAUGGUGCUUCUGUAUAGAGUAACAUUAGAAAAGGGUUCACUAUCAGUUUUAGUAAAAGCCACUUCAGAAAGCAUAGAAGUAGAACAAGGUGUACUAUCCUGCAUGUGCACCUUGGCAAGCAAAUCAGUGAUAUACUUGGAUUGAGAAAGAUGAAUACCAGAUUUGUUGUAAAGGACCUGAACUCCCAGAAAAUAAUUCAAUGCACCAAGAUCUUUAAGUGCAAAAACAGACUGGAAGUUAGUGAUAGUCUGCUGAACAAGCUGAGGAUUGGAGCCUGUAAUAAUGAUAUCAUCUACAUACACCAAGACAAGUAGCAGAUGACCUUGUGUGCUCUUAAAGAAGAGUGAAGUAUCUGAAAUAGAAUUUGUAAAACCCCAUUGAGUUGUAAGAACUAAUUUGAGUCUAUCAAACCAUGCCCUUGGAGUCUGUUUAAGUCCAUAAAGAGCUUUGUGCAACUUACAGACAUAAUCAGGCCUGGAACUAUCUACAAACCCCUCAGGCUGUUGCAUAUAAACUUCUUCAGUGAGGUAGCCAUUAAGGAAGGCAUUAUUAAUGUCUAUUUGCCUUAGUACCCAAUGAUUCAUGACAGCUAUACUCAAGACAAUUCUGAUAGUUGAAGACUUAAUGACAGGACUGAAUGUUUCAUGAAAAUCCAGCCCUUGAGUUUGAUGAAACCCCUUAGCAACAAGUCUAGCUUUGUAUCUAAAGACACUGCCAUCAGGAUUAUAUUUAAUCCGAAAUACCCACUUAUUCCCAAUUACUUUAAUGGGAUGUGUAGGUUUGACAAGAGUCCAUGUAUGAUUAUUGAUUAAUGCUUGAUAUUCAUCUGUCAUUGCUUUAUGCCAAGCUGAAUCUUGAAGAGCUUUUGAGGUAGUAGCAGGUUCUGUAGGUUUGGUAGGAUUGGCUGUAAUAUAGGCUUUAGGUUUGAAGAUACCAGCCUUUGAUCGAGUGAGCAUUGGAUGACCAGUAGAUGACUGCAAUGGUGGAGUUAAAUGAUGGACAGGUGAGGUAGAUGGUUUUGAGUGUGAUUGUAUAGAAGAUUGAGAAGAAGAGUCUGGAGAGGAUUGAGAGAACCUGAGAUCAGCUGCUGUAGAGGAUGAAGACUUGGUUAUAUCAAGUUGAAUCAAAAGACAAACAGAAGAUGAACAAUGUGAAGAAGAUUGAGAUGAAUGAUCUGAAGAAGAGCAAGAGUGACUGACAGAGGAAAAAUCAACUCCUGACUGAAAAGGAAAACAUAACUCAUCAAAAGUAACAUGGUUACUGACAUAGAUUCUACUAGAGGAAUGAAGACACAAGUAGCCUUUGUGAAGGGAGCUGUACCCAAGAAAAAAUACAUCUAGCAGUUCGAAACUCUAGCUUAUGAUGAUUAUAAGGCCUCAGAUAUGGGAAACAAGCACACCCAAAAACUCUCAUAACAGAAUAAUCUGGUCUUUUGUGGAAUAAUUUUUCAAAUGGUGAUUUGUUAUCUAGAAUGGGCGUAGGGAGCCUAUUUAUGAGAAAUGUGGCAGUAUGGAAAGCAUUCCACCAAAAUUUCAAUGGUAAAUGUGCUUGAGCAAAAAGAGUAAGGCAUGUUUCCACUAUAUGUCUAUGUUUGCGUUCAAUCUUUCGAUUUUGAUGGUGAAUAUAAGGACAAGGAUGUCUAAAUUGGAUUCCCUGCUCAGCAAGAUAAGAAAGAAAUGGCCUAAAUUCACCUCCCCAAUCUGUUUGAAGACAUUUGAUUUUCCUAUUUAGGCAUUUUUCUAUCAUAUGCUGGAAUUCAAUAAAGGUUUGUAAGGCUUGAGAUUUGGUAACAAGAGGGAAUAUCCAGGUGAACCUAGUGAAGUCAUCUAAGAUGGAAAGAUAGUAGUGAUAGCCUUGAGAGGACAGCAAAGUAGCUGGUCCCCAUAGAUCAGCAUGCAACAACUCCAGUGGUUGAAUGGUAGUGGUGUCUACAAAGGGAAAAUGCUGCAUGUGACACUUUCCAAAUUGACAAGCAUUACAAAAAAUUGGUUUGAGGACUCUAUUGGUAUCGAGAGAAUGAUGUAAAUGCUUCACAAUUUGUUUAAGAGCAUGCACAGUUGGAUGACCCAUUCUUUUAUGUAAAACAUUGUAAUCAACUGAGUUUGAGUGAGUAACAGACAAGGCCAUUGAGGCUUCAUUAUUGAAUUGAGAAAUAUUUACAUCUGUCAAAAUUUCUCCAGAAUGUAUAGAGUUUGAAACAUUGGAAUGACUAAUCAUUGACACUGGAGAAGAACAGACAUUUGACACAGAACUGGAAUUUGAGGUGACACAGAAAACAUUAGACUGAACUCUAUUUGAAACUGCAGCAUGAGACACUGCAACAAGACCUUCAACUUGAUAUAAUCCUCCUCUAGCAAUCCCCUUGAGCAAGAUGAUCCCUGAGUUCUUGUCAUUGACAAAACAGAAUGUUUUAUAGAAUUCAACAACAACAUCAUUGUCAGCCAGUAGUUUAGAUACACUUAAAAGGUUUUUGGUUAUAGCUAGGACAUGCAAAAUAUUAUUGAGAUAGAUAGAUGUUGCAGCAAGUGUAUUCAAUCGUGUGCAGCCAACAUGUUUAAUAUGUAAUCCCAUGCCAUUUCCUACAUGUAGCUUAUCAAAACCAUGAUAAACUGAGUAAGAAGAGAAGAUACCUGCUUCCUUAGUCACAUGAUUUGUUGCUCCUGAGUCAAUAUACCAAGCAGGAUCAGCUACAACUCCAUAAUCAACAACUGGACCAGUGGAAGCAAAUUGUGCAGUGGGAAUAGCAGAAGGAGCAACUCCAUAGUUAGCAAAUGGAGUAGCAAUUGCACCAUUGUAUUGACCUUGUAAUCCUUGAAACACAGGAAACCCUUGAGGAUACAUAACAUUUACAUUCUGAUAUGCAACAUUCCCUUGAAACAUGGGUGCAUUAUAUCUAGGAGCACCAGUUGCAGUUCCAUAAAAAUUUCCAUAACCUCUGCCAAACAUGUUCUGAGGCUGACCAGGAAAGCCUCUAAAAUUGAAUCCACCUCUAGGCCUAAAGCCACCUCUUCCUUGUCUAGGAAUAAAGUUCAGAUUAAAUAUGUUCCUGCAUUUGUAUGCUCCAUGACCAGGUAUGAAGCAUAUUUGACAAAUCACUUCCUUAUCAACAUUAUAUCCUCCUUUGCCAUUAUCCAUUCCAGUAAAAUUUCCACCAUUAAAACCUCUCUGAUUAGCAUUAUUUAACUUAUUGUAAUUCUGUCCUUUUUGAACAAAAUUAGCUGACAUAUCAUGCAACAAUUCAUUUUGCACCUUUCCCUUACUCAUCUCAACCCUAGUUUCAUGACUAAGCAUUAAGGAAUACACUUCUUCAACAAUGAGAUUAUCUUUUUCCAGCCUAGCAAGUAUAGUUGUCACUAAUGACUCAUAAUUGUCAUCUAAACCAGUAAGCAAAUGCAUUAUAAAAUCUGUUGAAGCAAGAGGAUUACCACCAAUAGCUAAGUUGUCUGCAAUUUUUUUCAUCUUAUCGAAGUAAUCACUUACUGACAUAGCUCCUUUCUUUGUGGUUUGAAUCUGCAUUUUCAGAGGCAUGUAUCUAGCCUUUGACUGUGACAUGAACAUCUCGGCAAGUUUCUCCCAGAUCUCAAGUGAGGUAUCACAAUCCACAACCAUGAUAAGUACAUUGUCUACCAUAGAUGACAACAUCCAGCUCUGUAGAAGCUUCUCAGCUUUCUUCCAAUCAAUAUAGUCAGAAUUUUCACGUCUGCUUGAGCUAGGAGCUUCUGAUCUACUGGCAGCAUUCUCAUAUGAGGAAAGAAAACGAUAUGGACAAGGAGAUUCACCAUUGAUAAAACCUUCAAGACCAUUGGCAAUAAUCGAAGCUUGAAUUUGAGCUCUCCACACCAGAUAAUUUGUUCGAUCAAGUUUUGUUGGUUGAAUAAAGGAAAAAGAAAGUGAAGACGAUCCUGAAUUGCUUUGAUUCGUCAUGUUUCAUAGCUCUGAUACCAUAUUAGAAUUCGUAAUGGGAUGUUUGGAAACAAAGAAAAAAACAGAGAAAAUGAAAAAGGAAACUUCUCGAUUUUAUUAAUCAAAAUAUUCAAUACUUAUUAAGCUUACUUAGCUAAGCUUAUAUACAAUUAUUCUAACUAAUUAAACAACUUCAAACCAACUAACAACUUCAUAUUUAGUUUAGCCAUUGAGCUCUUGCCACAUGUCAUUCAGUUACAUUCAAUCUUGACACAUCAGUCAACUCUAUCCAGCUCAGCAACUAUAUCUUCAACAAAGUAUGAUAUAGAAAAGAAUUUAAAAUUAAAAAAAAAAAGUAAAAUAGUAAUUUGAAUUUAACGAGAUUCAUGUACAGGAAGAAAAGGAAUUAAUAAAGUGAUGAAAGAUUGGUAAUCGUGGCAAGUAAUCUUAUCCAUGUACGCGGCGGCACGACCCAGGACUUGGAAAUUAAAUAAUGAAACUUCUUUGCAAACUUAGAAACUACAAAUUAAUGAAGAGACUUUGACGAGUAAUUUAUCAUUUUAUGCAUGGAAUUCCACGUGCAUGCAUGCAUGUUCUCCACGCUUGGAAAUUUUGCAAACGGCCUCUCCCUUUGAUGGGAGGGACAGUUUUCGUACAUCAAUUUUGAAAAUGUCCUCUAACAAGUGUCUCGAUUAUUGGAUAACAUGUGCAGUCCUUUUCAUUAAUAACACGUCCUUCAACAAUCCUCAUUGCAAUAAAGAAUUUACGGAAAAUUUCUAUAAUACAUCAUACUACAAAGUUAGUCAUACAACAAAUAGAUAAUACUUAUAUUUUAUAAAAUUAUCAUGUAAUUGAUGAUUAUAUCAAAUUUAACUACAUAUAUUAUAUAUACAGUAGUUGAUUAUAUUGUCUUUGAUGUAUUGUAAAAUUUCUGAUUUUAUGGACAUAUAAUAUAGAUUAUCAAGGUUUAAGUUUUUUCACACGCGCGUGCACACACACACACAUAUAUAGAAGUGACUAAUGAGCCUUUUUCUUUUUUCAUUUUGAGAAAAUCUCAAGUACAUAAAAUGUAUUAUAACCAUUUAGUGAAAUGAGUUAUGACACAUGCAUUUUGAUUUUAGUAUACUAUAAUUAUCUUCUUCUUCUUCUUUUUUUUCCAACUUAAAUGCACACAAGGAUGGCAAUGGGGAGAGGAGGGAGGAGACUGACCUCCCUGUACCCAUCCCCGAAAUUCUACAUAUGUAUCAGUCCCUUCCCUGUCCUCAACAAAAUUGUUGUAGGGAAUUUUCGUCCCCUCCCUGAAUAAUAAUAGGGGAUCCUUGAGGGUCCCCGAUCUCCGAAUAACCGAUACGUUAUUUAGUUUUCAAUUUUAAUUUUAUCAUAUUAAAAAAAAUUAAAUAAAAAUAAAGUUUGACGAUAUAUUUUAUACUAACAUUAAUCCAUUACAAAAGUCACAUUACAAAAUAUAAAUCACCAUAAUAAUUAUUUUCGUCAAUCUUCAUAAUCCUACAAUAAAAAAAAAUUACUUUUAUAUCAACAAUGAGAUAAAUGAAAUGAAUAUAGAUACUUAAUCAAUAUUUUUAAUAAAAGUAUUUACCUUUUACGUCUCCUGUUCCUCUUGUUCUUUCUCAAGAAAUGUGGUAAAUUAAGAGAUAGACUCAGGUUUUAAAUUUAAAACAAUAAAAAUAAUAUAAGUAAUGUAACUUCUAAGAGAAACUAUUAAAAAUUAUGUAAUAUAAUUACAAGGUAAAAUAAACUCAUAUUGCCAUUGUAAGCUUGUAGCUAACUUUGUAACACAUUAAAGCCUCCAAUGUGCUUGAAUGAAGCUGAAUGAAGCCUGUUAUGGUACUCUAUCACUGAUGCUAAAAGCUAGCUUGGAAGCAACAAAUUGUAAUUGGAAUUGCCAAAAUAUCUCUAGCAAUUCAUGCCAAUAUAGGAUACCUAUGGGCAUUUGUUUUCCACCAACUCAAAAUAUUAAAAUCUUUCAUUCGUGGCAUAACUUUCUCAUCCAAAUAUUAAUCUAGUCAAUUAGGCCCAAAAGUUUAAUAAUAUAAUUAUUUUGAUAUUUGUUAUUUAUACUAAUAUUUAAUAUUUUAUUAUUUACAUCUUAUUAUUUAUUUACUAAUAAAAAUUAAAAUAAAAAUUAAAAUUAAAAUAGGAAAAUGGGGGAAGGGAUGGGGAUUCCACCUCAUCCUCGUCCUUUCCCCAAAUAAGAAAUUGGGUAAAAAAUUAUCCUUAUCCUUUCCCCGAAUAAGAAAUUGGGUAAAAAAUUAUCCUUAUCCUUUCCCUGAAUAAGAAACUGGGUAAAAAAUUGUCUUUUUACCCUCCCGGAAUAGGAAAAAUCCCUAAGGGUUCCCUUCCCUGUGGGGAUUUAUGUCAUCCCUAAAUGCACACUUAUGUGAAUGACUAUAGAUUAUAUAGAAAAGUUUAUCAUUUUAUUGAAAUUCUAACCAUUCUCACUGCAUAUUAAAGGGAGGUUGGCAGUUUUCUUCACGUAGAAAUUAAUAAAUACCAUUUCCAUUUCUCUUCUUAUUGUUUUUAUAAUAAUCAAUAACUUUCAUUGAUCAUAAUUCUACAAAAUUAUUCUUAUUUUAAAAUAUUUUAAAAUUUAUUUAAUUAUUAAUCUUUAUUAUUAAUUAAAUAAAUUAUAUAAACAGAAAUUGAAAUAAAAAUUUAAAUAUUGGAAAUAAGAAAUAUAAUUGUCGGUAUCGAAACUAAUAAGAAUAUAUUUUUCUUAUUUUUUAAUCUUUAAAGAUAUUUUACUAUAAUAAAUAUAUAUUUUAUAUUUUCAAAAUAAAAUAUUAAGCAAACGACCCAUUUACCUUUACUUUCCUUUAAAUAUUUCAUACCAAAAGAUUAUUAUCUAUUAUGAAAACAAUAGAGGAGUAUAUAUUUUACAUUAAUUUCGACAGGGAGAAACUAUCAAUACCCUUAAAAAAUAAAUAAGAUUUUUUUAGAGCUUAUUUAAAUAGAGUUUUUGUUAAUAGAACUUUUGUAAAUAGAGUUUUUACUAAAAAAAAGUUUAGUUGUUUGAUUGUUAAUAAGAACUUUUAUUAAAAAUUUAUGAAAUUACUUUAAUAGACAAGUUUUUUAAAGUUAUAUUAUGAAAACAAUAAAUAAGAUUGUUAAAUAAGUAGAUGAUAUUUUAGAUAUUUUAAUAUUUAAAAAAAUCUUUUAAACCUCUAUUCUUAAAAGUUUAAAAUUUUAACUUUUACUAGUAGAGGUAAAAUAACUUAUUUAAAAUUCAAAAUUUCUAUUAAAAAAAUAACUAAACAAUAAUAAAAAUUAUAAUAAGAACUUAUGAAAUUAAAUAAGUACUUAUACUCAUUAAAUAAAUUAUACCAAACACGCACUUACUUAACAGUUGAUUGUGAUUUGUGAAUGACAUUUUAUUCCACCCCGUUGCAAUUGUUGCUUGUUUUCCACGGAUAUCUUGAUUACGUUUGCAAGCUUAUGUUAUAAGGGCUUCGUCAUUGCCAUUAUUACGAAAUUAAAUAGACUAAGAUUGUUGACCUAAUUUGAAAAUUCCUCCAUUGUUUAUUAUUUUUCCCUUUCUAAUUUAUCAACAUCAGCCAUAUCGAGUCAUUCUUUAAAUCAAAACCCUUGUGGAAGACGAAAUAUUAACUUACUGUCUUUUCUCAACAACUUUUUAGGUGAGAUUAGUUUAAUUAAUUACAUGAUAAAUAAUAGUUUUGAGUACACAUGUAUGAUAUAAAUUUAAGAUUCUUUUCUUUUUUGUCGUAAUACAUAGAAUUAAUCAACCUAUUAUUAUAACAAAAUAAUUAAAAUUUAUGAGUUGAAGUUGUCAGAAAAAUAAACUUAUUUCCAAUGAAUGGCAUUUGGAGGAACAAAAUCAAUCCGGAAGUUUUUUUACGCGGAAAAAAAUCAAUUAAAAUUAAUGAUGUCCAAAUGUCCAAAUAUGGUGAGAAAUUGAAUUCUUCAAAACCUUGCUGUUUCUUCAUAUUUCAUUACAAAUUUACCAAUUCUUUUCUCUAAAUUCUAGUAUUUGUCUUCGUACAAUGUAAACUUAUUCCCUAAGAUAUGGUUAAAAAAAAAAUUAAUAAAAUCUAAUCAUUUGGUAGUGCGCAAACUAAUAUCAUAACUAAAAUGAAGUUGGUAAAUUUUGAUAUAAUUAUCUAUUAUUAAUAAUUAGGUGGGCCUAAAUGUUCCAACUUCCAAAUACAGUAAAACAAUCCAUCAUCUACAUUAUUCUAUAUUUUGGAGAGAAAAAGGAAAAGACAAAAUCUUUUAGAUAAGGAAAAAAAAAAAAAAAACCUCAUGAAAAAGCAAUUGAAUUAAAAAGUAGAAAUUUCUUUACAUUUUCGCCGGAGAAACAGAGUCAAAUUCAAAUACGACGACUCAAGCGCAAAAAGCCUAUAAAUAAAGCCCCGCUCCAGUUCCCUGUCAGAGGCUACGGAUUUGAGAGAUUAAAGAACAUCAACCGAACAGUGAGACUCCGUACUCUUCACAAACUUGCAAAAACUUUUAGGUAAGAGUUCUGCUAUUUGCCCCGGGUCAAACCCCGGGUCAAGCCCCGAAGAUUGUAAAACGACGCCGUUUUGACAAUUAAUUUUUUUUUCAUUUUAAAAUAAACACCAGCUUCUUCGUUUCUCUCUCUCUUUUCAUUUCGUUCUUUUUCUUCCUAAGUACAGAGCAUUGUUAUCUUCCUUCACAGCCCCCUCUAAUUCCUCCAAAUCUGCCUUUUUUAGUUUUUUAAAUCCAAAGAUAAUGUUCAACUGAAAGUAACAGAGCACAAUUGUGAUCUCAGCACAUGUGACAAUGAGAAUCAGGAAGACAAGCAGGAGGAAGCCAAAUAGGUAAUAGAACUGAUGCAACCAUAUUGAGGUGAGAAUGAAAAAGAGCUCAAUGAAGAUGGCUCCAAAUGGAAGUAUGCCCCCAAUUAGGAUAGAGAAGAUGGGAUUCAUGUACCAGGGCUGCUCUGGAAUCUGUCUUGGGAUCUUGUUGGUUUUCACAGGAUCCUCAAUUGCUGGCUUUCUAAAACCAAUAUAACUACCCACAAAGACAAGUGGGACAGAAAUGCCAAACCAUAAAAAGACCAAAGCAAACAUGGUUCCAAAUGGCACUGCACCAGAGGAUUUCUCGCCCCAAAUUAAAGCAUUUAGGACAAAGAAAAUGGCAAAGCAAAUUCCAGGGAACAUGAAAGCUGUUUUGAGAGUGAUUUACAUAUUUUUUCAUUUUCCAAAACUAGGAGAGAGAUUGCAGGGACUGUGGCUGGAAAGAAUUAUUGUUUAUAAAUAUAUAUAUAUAUUUUUUUUUGCUAUGAUGGCUGUCGGUGGUGGUGAUGCCGAUGGCUGGGUAUGCAUGAUGGUAGCUGCCGGUGCCUGUUGGUGGUGGUUGUCAGUGGUGGUGGCUGUGAACUGUGAAACGAAGAGGAAGAUGAAUACAACGCCAAAAGGUUGUGAGACAAAGAGGAAGAGAAGGUAAUUUGGGGCUGCCUUAACUAAGCCAAAACGACGUCGUUUUAAUGAGAUUGAAAACAAAAAACAAAAAAGUUGAAACGACGUCGUUUGGAUUAAUUUCGGGGUUUGACCCGGGGUUUGACUCGGGGUAAGUAGCAUUUUCCUUUAGGUAAUUUUUUUCGAUUAAUUUUUUAAUUUUCGAGAAUAAAGAGAGAGAGAAAAAAAAACAGAUGGGAUUAUGUUUGUCUGGGAGUGAUGUGAGGGGAGGGAAACAAGCCGUAGGUGGGGCCCACCUCCGGCCCACCAGCGCGGCUGAUCACCACAAUGUCUCUGGUCAAAAUGACGCCGUUGAUUUCUUCUUCAAAUCUCGCGGCCUUCAUGCCCUUUUCACCCAAAUCGAGGUAUGUGUGUGUACCUGAAUUAUAUGAGUCUUUCACUGCCACUAUUAAUAAACUAUUUUCAGUUAAUUAAUUAAUUAAGUAAAAAUCUAUGAUUAGUUUAUGUUUUUUAAUUUAUUUUUAAUUUUUUAAAUCUGAUUUCGUUCAUGUUGGUAAUUGUGAUGGAUUCUCAAAUGGUCACUCUUUUGAAAAUCUAUUAUCAAAUUAUGUUUGUUAUUAUUACUUAUUUGAUGACUUUUCAGUGUAACAUCGAACAACUUAAAUCAUUUAUAUUUGAUAAAAGUUAUUUGAUAAUUCGAACAUAACUAGAAAGUAGAUUCCUAUUCAAGAAUCAACCGCAAUCCCAAACAUGCCUUUUUUUUUUUAAUUUGUUCUGGUGGCUGAUCUUUUGCUAGUGUUGGUUCGACGGUUUCACACCAAGCAACUGCUUUUGUUUUGCAUAUGGAGAACAGUAAGUUUAACUGCUUAUACCCAAUGACAACAUUCUGUGAAGUGAAUUUUAGAUUAAGAUUGGUUAAGGUAAAUAAAAAAAGAAUGGUGUUGAAUGCACAGUGGCCUUGUGAACAUUGAAAAAGUCGAUGUUUGAUCCUGUUGAAUGCACAGUGGUUUUCCUGUGUAUCCUCCAAGUUGACUAUUCUGUUCUGCCUCAUUUAUCAAAUUUGACUCAUACCCCUCGUGAUCAAAUUUGACUUAUACCCCUCGUGAAGAUUCCCCAUGAUAGUGCUCCCCUGAUUGGAACAUGAUUUUGUGAAUGCUGGUUUGCAUAAGACAAACCAUUAACUUUAUAAAAGAUUGUGGAUUAAGGAUUAUGUUGUUACGAGGAUAAGAAUGUCUUUCCAUAACGUGGACCACCAAGUGAUUGUAAUAUUCCUGUAUUGAUGUGGACCUUACCUGAGGAUCUCCUUGCAAACUUUCCUGGAGAAAAGGCAACAAGUCAUAUGAUAACAAAUUAAAUGUGGUUCAAUGCUUGUAAUUGACGUGUCACAUCCUGUUGUUAUAUAAAACUUAAUUACAUAUAUUAUUGCUUGCUGCUUAUAAGAUUUAAUAUUAGAAGUGAUUCUGUCAGAAUCCGAAAUGAUGGUUUUCUGCAUGUUCUGUUUAUGACAGAUAUAUAUUGCCUGUCAGUUGACCCACAUCGUACUGACAAUUUUCAUUUCGUGCAGCAUAUGCAUGGAUUACUCCUUUUCCGCUUUUUCAUGUAUCUGUAUUCGUUCUUACGUUUUUGAAUAUAUAUUGCAGUUAUCUUUAUCUGCUUCAAAGUUACGUGAUCUUGACAUCGCAUCAAAGGUACGCCUUCAUAUCAUUGUUGUCUUAUGUCUGAUAAUGCCAUGUUCAUGCUGUUGAUAGUCUUGGUGAUUGAUUCUCAUGUUAUCUUGUAUCCUCCUUAUAUGAUCUGCUUAUUUGUUCAUAAUGGCCCUGUCAAUUUCCUUUCUCUGUUCAUAAAGGGUCUAGGGAUAUAUGAUCUGAAUAACGCUUAGCGCUGGCACCAAAAUUCUAAACUUAGACAAAGAAGAAUAGUUUGUUAUAUACACUGUCUAUCUCCAAUGUAAUCCAGUAAGGAGCAGUAACUUGAGAGUUCCAGAUAAUGUAGAACAAGUCAUGGUUGGUGGUUUUAUUGUUUUUGCAAUUUUGAGCACUAGUCAAAUAUGUUAUAUGGUUUUAUUGUUUUUGCAAUUUUGAGCACUAGUCAAAUAUGUUAUAUGUGCAAGAUAAAAUUCUUUGAUAAUGAACAUUUAUCAGCCGUAUAUCUUUUUACUGGCUGAUACUAGCAUACAUAAAAUGCUGCUGUAUUUUAACGAUGGAUUACUAACUAAAGUUAUUUAACUAAUAAAUGUCUAUAUUUAUAUGACAACUAAAGUUAUUUAACUAAUAUAUGUCUAUAUUUAUAUGACAUAAGUGGAUACAUACCCAUAUGCCUUCUGUUUUUUUUUUUUUUAUAUUCACAAGCAAAUGUAUUUACAUUCUUUUUGUGUCAUAGAGUGAUCCCAUGGCAGUUGUGUAUGCAAAGAAAAGAGAUGGGAGGCUGGACGAGAUUGGACGUACAGAGGUGAUUAUGAACAAUCUGAAUCCUGCUUGGAUUGGAAAGAUUUCAAUUGCUUUUCAGUUUGAGAUCGUCCAGCCCUUGCUGUAAGUUUUUAGUGUGUUCUUUUUAAAGUUUUUUUUUUCUUGAUAGGUCAUGCGCUUAAGCCUUGCUUGAUUUGAUAAUAUUUAAUGUUUUCGAAUUUCUUAAUGCUUUUCUUCUUUUUCCAGCUUUCGUGUGUAUGAUGUGGAUACCAAGUACCACAAUAUUCCAGUGAAGGUAUAAAAUUUCUUAAUUAUUUUUUUUUCUCUCAAUUCAGAUGUAAAUGAUACGCACAUACUUCAGUUCCAAAGUUUAGAGUUAGCCAAGGCAUUUGACUGAUCCAUUUGUUGUCUAAGCAUACGUCUAAACUAAAUUGCAUCAGCAAUAGUUUCUAUCAAUUUCGGGAAAUUUGGGAAUACUUGAUUGAUUAUAAACUAACAUUUAGCAUGGCAAGAAACUUAAAAAGUUGGCUGUCAUAUACCAUAAACAAAUCUUAAGGCCAGGGUAGUUAUUAUGGAACUUUCUGCUAUUGCAUCUUGCAAGGUUUGACAUAUUUGUCCUGCUACCAUAACUGGGAAAGAACAAUUUUUCUGAUGGUCCUUACGGCUAAAUUUUCUUUUUUCCAAAAUGGAAUUUUGAUCUAUGUUGUUAAAAACAAUACAGUUAAAUAGUUGUUGCCAUGGCCUAAAGAAGUUUCUGUAAAAAAUGACCAUAUUGUCAGUAUUGAAAUGGAUAAGUAAAUCUUUAGAGCCUAUGAUGUAUUCGUCUGUGGAAUUUGAGUCAAAAUGAAAAAAAUUUGAUGGUUAUAAUCCUAGAAACUGUAAUCAUUUGGAAGCAUUUGCUGAAAACAGUUAGAUAAUCUAAAAAUGUGAUGAUUAUUUAUGUCAAUUGUAAAUGGUAUUAACAUUACUGGGAAAAAUGAUAAAUAUGUAAAUUUAUGCCAGUGGAAAGAGAAAAUGAACAAAUCCAGAUGGAUUCUAAGACAUUAAGUAGGAAAUCUAGUGUUCUUUUGAUUCUUUACAGCAGUGAUCCCUAAUUACUUUCAAGUCAUUAUUAUCUCAUGACAAAAUAUUUGUUGAAGUGUGAAGUUUAAAGCUCAAACUUCUUAUUUACAUUGCCCUGCAGAUGCUAAAGUUGGAGGAUCAAGACUUCCUGGGAGAAGCUAGCUGUGUUCUCUCUGAGGUAAGUUUCUGGGUUAUAUUUUGUUUGAUGAAUUUAUGUAUUUUCUCUUUAUUCAAUGGGCAAAAUAUGCCCAUCUAAUUUUCUGUAAAAAUCUGUUUCCUAUAAAAAAAGGGCAAAAUAUUCUCAGAUGCUUUUUACUAGCAUUCGUCUUCUUCUUUAGCAUUCUUCUUUUGCACUAACAAGUGUCAUAUUUUCCUUUUAAAUGGCAGAUAGUGACCAAACAAAAUCGAACUUUAACCUUAAAACUCCAUAACAAUUAUGGGCUUCGAGUUUCAAGAAACUUUGGGAUACUCUCUGUCCAUGCUGAGGAAACGGUUGCUUCCAAAAGUGCUGUUGAAAUAGCAUUCCGUUGCUCGUAUUUGCAAAAUGUAGACCUGUUUUCCAAAAGUGUAAGUUCUGACAAAGUAGCUAAGUUUGGAGGUUCACUAAUUAAUCUAUUAAUUUAGAUGCUAUUUUUUCUUCUUCUUAUAUUGCAUAGGAUCCAUUCUUAAGAAUAUCUAGAAUUGUUGAGAGUGGGGAUUUGUUCCUAUCUACAAGACGGAGGUGAUAAACAAUAACUUGAAUCCCAUUUGGAGACCAAUAACUUUGAGCAUGCAGCAAUUUGUGAGCAAGGUAACCUUGUCAUCUUCUUGUGCUUGUUACUUAAAUGUAUAUUAGGUAGUGAAGUUUGGUCAUGGGGAAAUGUUUUUUAGUUUAUGAUUCACUUUGGUACAGGAAAACCCAUUAAUCAUUGAAUGUUUUGAUUUCAAUACCAGUGGAAAUCACGUACUGAUGGGGUAACUGUUAAAUUUCUUAAUGUCAUCAGCUUCCCUCUUUUAUCCUUUUGCCUUUCUGAUGUCAAGGUUUUCUAUUUCUGUUAUUAGUAAAAUUCAGAAAUCAGUUGGAGACCUGGAGAAACUUCAUCAAGAAAGAACUGGUGCAACUUUUAUGUUACCAUCAACUCAACGUGGCCAUGACAAGGUGUGUAUUCUUUUUUGUUUUAACUCCACCAAAGGUGUUUGUUCAUGCUUACAGUUUUUGAUAAUUUAAUAUCACUUUAUUUUUUAUCUGACUUUUUCCUAGGUUCUGAAAAGUCAGUUGUUUGUUGAAAAGUUUGUUGAGCAAGAGCAAUAUAGUUUUCUGGAUUACAUAUCUAGUGGGUUUGAGUUGAAUUUUAUGGUUGCAGUCGACUUUACAGGUAAUUAGAAAGAGAUUACUUGUUGAAGAUAAAUUUGCAAUAUAAUCUUUUUGUUUUGUUUAUUUCCUCUUAUUUGGUCCAAUUUCAUCUUGUCUCUCAUUAAAUGCAAAAUCAUCCAGCUUCAAAUGGAAAUCCUCGAAAUCCAAAUUCUUUGCACUAUAUUGAUCCUUCAGGCAGAUUGAAUUCUUACCAGCAGGUAAGGUUUUGUUAUGACUUGCACUUUGACAAGUGAUCUCUGAACUCUGAAGGUCAUAAAAUGGUCAUUUUGUCCAGUGUUUUCGACUUAGAAAAUGCCUGUGACUUUCAAGUCUUUCUGUGCCCGUCAUAGUGAGAUACAUAUUUCAAUAGUUUGUAGAAGUUGAGAGAGAAUAUCACUGAUUAGUUAUUGGCCUCUUAAACCAUUUACAGGCAAUAACGGAAAUUGGGGAGGUCAUACAAUUUUAUGAUUCUGAUAGACGCUUUCCUGCAUGGGGAUUUGGAGGGAAGACAUUUGAUGGCACUGUAUCACAUUGUUUUAACUUGAAUGGAAGAGCAGGUAGCUUUGAGGUAGGGGUAGCUGGAGUUCGCAACUUUGCUAUAAUCCUUAUUUGGUUGGCUUGUCUCCCAUAACUUUUCAUUUUUAAUAACAAACAAUAUAAUAUGUUUCCGCAUUUUUUUUAAAAUUUCCUUGGAAUUUUAUCCUAAAAGAUGUGUAUUUUAUCCUCUUCCAUUUUUUCAUUAACUGCUGGUUUCUUUAUUUAAUAGGUAGAUGGAGUUGAAGGCAUUAUGGCUGCUUAUGCAAGCGCUCUAAACAAUGUUUCUUUGGCAGGACCGACUCUGUUUGGUCAAGUCAUCAACACAGCUGCACGAAUUGCUGGACAGUCCCUCUCUUACGACAGAAGCAAGUAUUUCGUCUUACUCAUUAUAACGGUGAUUACAAUGAUUCUAUAUAUUCACAGUUUUCUCUUUCUAUCAUUCUUUUUGGGUGAUUUGUAAAUUUGCAUUGUCUAUUUAGGAUGGAGUUCUGACGGAUCUCCAAGAAACAAAAGAUGCUUUGGUAAGGGCUUCUGAUCUUCCCCUGUCAAUUCUAAUUGUGGGUGUGGGAGGUGCAGAUUUUACACAAAUGGAGGUACACAAUGUUUUCUAACUGGAAUAUCUUCUUACUAGCAUUGAACUUCUUUUUUCUAUAGUUUGAUAGAUUCAAUUUAGAGUACAUAUGCAGUGUGGUAUUACCCCACUUUUGUUGCAGAUUUUUGAUGCUGAUAACUUUGUUGGCAGAUUCUUGAUGCUGAUAAUGGCCGUAGAUUAGAGAGCUCUACUGAUCGGGUAGCUACCAGAGAUAUAGUACAAUUUGUUCCAAUGCGAGAAGUUCAUAGUGAGUGCAUAUGAUUCUUUGACAAAAUUAGUUCAAAAUAUUGAAUUUGGGAGUUAAUUCACAAAAGUUUCUGAAUUUUUUCAUGCCUUAACAAAUGAACACAUUGUUUUCUGAACAGGUGGACAAAUUUCUGUUGUACAAGCACUUUUGGAGGAGCUGCCUGGUCAGUUUCUGACCUACAUGCGCUGCAGAGAUAUCAAACCACUCAAUGUUCAGAUGGCCCAAACAUGCGCUUGAGUAAAUAUUCAUAUGUUUGGAAAGGAUACAAAACCAAGCUAAACAUAUUAGACAAAACCAAGCCAAACAUAUUAGGCUAUACAGACAUAACAUAGCAAAAAUUGAUAAUGGUACAUUACAUAUGUUAGGAUAUAGUGGUUUUAGAUGAUGGUAAAUUACAUAUGUUAAGAUAUAGUGGUUUAUAACUAACUUUUGAUGGCUUAAUGAAUUGAUUGAAUUUGUAUUUAGGUUCUAUCAAUGAUCUCAUAUUCUUCCCAUCCAUGUCUUUCGAUUUUUAUUAUUCCCUCUACCCACUUGUUUCACAAUUGUUUGUGUCUGAUGGCCUAAAACUCCAAUUUCUAAUGCUGUAUUAUCAUCUUUGUUGAAUAUUUACUACAAUGAACAUGUGCUGAAUAUCUACUUUUACUACUACACCAACAAUCUAACACAUGGCUCACGUGCACACAAGACAAGUCUGAUUCACACAUCUUUAAUUUAGAUUCUUAUAUAGUCUUUCAAGAUGUCUGAAACGGCAUAGAUGAAGGACCCUUCCACCAUUCAACCUGGAAUGAUGUGAGUGAAAGAAAUUUCCGAAAGUGUUGUAUUAUAACUCUUUGAAAUUGGGUUUGAGUAAUCAAGAGAAGCCAAAAUGUAGAACAAUAACAAUAAAAAAUGAAGGCCCUCUUACCGUCUUAACUUUGAUAGAAAAUACACGAGCUGCAUACCAUGUCUCACAAAUUUCAAUGAAAAUUGGCCUCAUUCCUGAUGCUGCACAGAAGGUUGGCCUGAAUCAUCUUUAUGAUUUUGGACUUCCUGUAAACAACGAACAAAACAAAUUGAAGGUGAAAGCAGGAACAACAGUUUUCAAAUAAAAUGGCAGUGCUUAAUCUAAUUCAACAGUAACUUUUGGGUCGCUCAGUAAUGAAUACGUACCUUUGUUUCAAGAUAUAUCUGUUGUAUGGUAGAAUUAAGGUCGCCCUUCCAAGUCCAAUACUCACCAGACAGCCAGCGUUUCUCUACUUCGUGUAAACUGGGAGUGCUUAAUUCUUUUCCAGAGAAAAUCUUCAUAUUGGGGCAUUUAUCCACACUUAAAUAUGUCAAAGCUGGGAACUUAAAGGCGCAGUUGCCAGAGCAGAAGCUUGUAAGUCUUCUUAAAUCACAAAGCUCCAAGUCCAUCAACUCGCUGAAAACAAUUUCAUCUUUUGCAGCAUUUCCCUCAUCAUCUGCCACUACUUCUGUUAUCAUGCUGCAGUCAACGAUACUCAUCUCUGUCAGUCGUACCAAACUCUUUGCUGUCGAGGAUGUUAGCACAUUUAUCAAUCCUUUGCAUCUCCACACCUUCAAAGUUGUCAGAUUCUGAAACGAUGUUGAAGGUGGCACUAGAUUAAUCAAAUGGUCACAAUACUCAACUGUUAGAUGAACCAAAUUGUCCAUUUUGGAUUCCUGGAUCAAAAUAUGCUUCAGAUCACAACAAUUGUGUAGAUUCCUUAUGAUUGCCUUCGUCCAAUUUUCUACUCCAUAUGAUGGCUUAACGCCCCCAACAUAUCCUCCUCCCCUUAUUGUGAGUUCUCUUAUGCUGUGAAAUCUCCGAAGGAAAUCAAGUGAUGAAAUAGUAGAUGACUCUUCAAAUAUAACAUCAAGAAAGUUGAGUUUGCAAAACAUGUCCUCUGGAAACUCAGCUGCCAUUGGUAUCUUCUUUCCUUCAAUGGUCAAAUAUUUCAAAUUGGGGAAUACCUGGUUGGAUGCAUGAUAAAUCAGGACCAAAAAGAAAACAUAAUGCCAAUUAUUAAGAGUAAAUUUUAAAUCUUGUACGUACCUCUUUUGUCAAGUCAUGAGCAGUUAAAAGGAAUUCAGGACACCUUAUUACUUCUAAAGUUUCCAAUGUUGGAAAUUCAAUGUGCACAUCUCCUGUGCAGAAGCUUGUGAGCUUUUAGAGAUCUACCAUCUUUAGAAAUUGUAACUGAGGGAACACAACAUUCUUCCUUUCUUGCUGGUCUAUGACUAUUAUCUCUUCCAAAAUAGGGCACUCAUCUAUCUCAAGGUGUUGGAGUCGAAUAAAGCUGUUAACUAUAGAAGAUGAAAACAGACAUCUUAAUUCCCCACAGCCAUAUACAAUCAACCGGGUUAAAGUUUGAAUGCCACAAGACAUGGCCGGAAGUUGGCUUUUCCAAAUCCUCUCCACAUUUACAUUAUACAGCUCCAAGGUCUCCAAGUUUGGUAACCCACCCUGUUCACAAAACUUUCCAACCGUUAUAUGAGGAGAUCAAAUUUAGUAUAUAAGUGCAUUCAGAGUACUUUUUCUUUCAUCCGAGAAUGUAUUUGUUACAUCUAUGUUACUCGGGAUGAAAAUUUUAAUAUAAUUAUGAAAUAUGUUCGCUAAUCCCUGAUUCACUCUAGCCUAUAUUUCCUAGGAAAGGAGAAUAUAUAAUAAAGCAGCAACAAAAAAAGGAAAAAAUCAUAAGAAUAUGACCAUUGGAUCAUUAAUAUCCGACCUUGAGGAAAAAUGUAUUAGGAACGUUGACAUGGUCCUCCAAAAUGAUUUCAUUGGAUCGCAUUUCACUUGUCGAUUCCUUGCAUCUCUGUUUAGAACAUAGUCAUACUCAUAAGAAAUGAAGAAUCUGUUUUUUGCAUUGGCUGCUUUGAUAUGUUCGAAAUUUAGGAAGAUCAUAUCAUACCUUUGACUCUUUCGGACUGGGGGCUUGACAACCUUCGACCCAGAGAUGCUUCAGUUGGGAAGAAUAAGAGCCCAAUUUGUUAUUAACUAAUUCAAUGAUAUCUUGGUCUGGCAAUCCAGAUAAACAAAGGUCUUCAAUUCGCUGAAGUUGCACGAUAUGCCCACUCUUGAAGCUGAUACAAUUGUCGGUGCCAAGGAGGAGUCUGAAUGUUCUAGAACACGUAGGUGAGGGAUCCUCCCAACACCAACGUCCAAUACAUAUUCUGUACCUUUCCAGUUUCUCGAAGAACAGCCCCUUCGGCAGAGUGUUGGCAUCUGGGAUGCAUAAUUCUAAGGUGGUCAAGUUAGGCAAACGCUUCAACUCUUCAAGGCUUGCAUUCUUGAUCCCUGCAGCUUCCACCUCCACUUCCCACUUAUUAAAGCUACGAAUGUAUAAUUCCUCCAAAUGGGAUAACUUUGAUAAAAGAUUUGGGGGAAUAACCUGUAGUCUGUCACAGUCUCUCAAAUCAAGCGACCUUAACCGAGUCAAUUGGCCUAUUUCCACAGGCAACUGCUCAAUAUAAGAACCCCUUAAGCAAAGGAUUUCUAGGUUCUUUAAUUCUCCUAUAACAGCUAUAUCUUGCAAUUCGCUGCAAUACAAACACAAUGUUCGAAGGUUUGUUAGGAGACCAAGUGAUGAAGGCAGUAAUGAUAGAUGCAUGCAAGUCAAGUCUAAAACUCUGACUUGCGUCAACUUCCUGAAAAAAUUGUCUGGAAGUGUGAUUAAUGAAGAUUUCUCAGUCCACAAAGAGAGAAGUUGCAGUUGAGGACAUUCCAAAACUUCAGGAAGAAGAACAUUCAUCUUGCUGUCGUGUAAGACAAUCGAAGUGUAAAACUUAAGCGCACCUUCAUCUAGCCAUUCCCGUGAAUUAACCAGUUCAUAUCUCAUCGUAAGCACAUUUUGUUCUCUGGUUGCAAUUGCUAUGGCAACAUCACGAACAACAUCAUGCAUAGAAAACCAAUGUUCAUUUUUGCUUCCAUGCUCAAGCAACAUACAAGAAGCCUUGAGUUUGUACACCAAUGUAUACACUCGAGCUCGUGCUUCUUCCAUCCUAUUGAUGCCUUGAAACAAACCCAAACCCAUGCCAUACAUUAACACGUCAUUAAUGGAUGAUAUGUAGGUGUAGCCUAUUAGCAAAAAGAUCUUCUUGAGCUCCUCUCCUUCUAAUUUGUUGUAACUCAACUCUAUAGCUGAAUAAGCAGCCGGCUGUAUAUCUUUAAAGUUCGUUGAGGAAGGCCUUCUUAACUGUCCCAAAGCGUCCUUCCAUUCAAAUAAUCUCUUAUUUCUCAACGCCCUCGCUACUGUUACAAUGGAAACAGGCAAACCUGCGCAUUCAUUUGCCACAUCCGUUGCCACCCAUUUGAAUUCACUACUGUUGAUAGACUCCCCUGCCAUCUUCUUGAAUAGACUCCAAGCUUCGUCUUUUCUUAGAACGCCAACUGAGAAAUUAUGUCGGCAAUCCAUCUUGCCAGACAAUAUAUCUUCACUUCUUGCCGUCAUCAAUAUUUUACACCCCUUGUGAUUAUCUCCGUGAGGAAUUCCUACAUCCUGCAAAUCAACACUUUCCCAAACAUUAUCUAAAAUUACAAGGAUCUUUUUCUCAUCCUUCAAUCGAUUAUAAAGACUCCUUGCCCUUCCAGAUUCGGUCUCUUCAAAAAAUAUGAGACCUAAUUUAUCAGCGAUUUCUCCUUGAAUCUUUCUUAUGUCUGGAAUCUGGGGCACCUCCACAAAAAUCACUUGAUCAAAUAGCUGGUCUCUCUUGAACUGAAUAGCAACCUCUUUUGCUAGUGUCGUCUUUCCGAUGCCGCCCAUUCCAUAAAUCCCAACCAUGUUCACAUCAGGAUCUUGUAAUGCACGAAGUGCAUUAUUCAAAGUGGAGAUUCUUGAUUCAAAUGCCUCGUAGUCUUUGUUAGAUAUAAGCCUUAUGUCCUCCAGAGCUUUACGGUAGGAAAUUCUAUCAAAUCUCCCAGCUUCCCGAAGUUUGACAAUAGCUUCGAAUUGCCUCACCGCUUCCUUGCUAAGCUGAUGGCGGGUCUUCAAAUUUGGACACAGCCCCAUGAAACAACGCUUGUUUGCUUUAUCUGCAUCGCCUGUAAAUUUCUCAGCCUCAGGAAUGAUGUUGUUGACACUUGCAAGCCAUUUCUCAACGUUCUUUUCGAUCUCUUCUCCUUUUCUUUUAGCCUCAUCAACCCCGUGCUGCAUACUGGCAGCGUCAUCCUUGAGCUUCUCAAGUUCAGUCUUGAGAUUCUCAAAGUUGCUCCUGUAGUUGCGCACAUAACUCAAUUGUCUUUCAGUGGGAGGACCCAAGCACUUUGCAACUUCUAACACAACAGUUACUAUGCUUUCCACCAUCUUCAAUUCUUUCCCUUUUCUCUCUUUUUUUUUUUUUUUGGGUCAAAUUUUAGAAUUUUGUAAAGUAUGUAGAUGUGAAGUGAAGCGAACCAAAAGGAAACUGAACAGAGACAACAACUAAAAAGAUGCAGAGAUGAAGAAGAAGAGAAGGGAUUUAUUGACAGCGUAAAAAUACAUCAGAAGAGUAGAUACAGAACAAAACAGAGACAAGUGUACAGGGAACAGAGCAAAGCUAAAUAAAGAAAACAGAUGCACGUACGAUUCGUAGUAAUGUUGAGAUCCGAAGAUUGUAAUAACUAAGGUGUUGCUUGAUCCAGUGAAAGGUCCAAAGAGUUGAUGGCAGAAAGGAGCAAAGCUGAAGAAUAAAAACGAUCAAGAUGAUUGAGAAUGUUGAUUGAGAUGGAGAACGACUUGCAUGGUUGGGAGAUGUGCGUCGGACAAAUGGUAGCCAAUUAUUUGAUUUUUACAGCGGGAUUCACUGACUUUAUAUUUUAAAAAAUUUAAGUCAGCAGAAUUAAUUAUUUUCAUUGAAAUGAACUCAAAGGCCAAAGAGUGGAGAAAGGAUGUGAAAAAGUUAUGCGAAACGUGAGGUGAUGAGAUAGUUAAGUUCACUGAUGCUCAAUAAUCAAUUUUAUAAAAAUAAAAGAUAAAAAAUAGUGAGAAUCCGAAAGUCGAAAGCCAAUAGAUUUCAUAAUGGGAUUCAUUCAUUAUUCCAUCACGGAACCGAACACCAAUAGGUUAUCCCACCAGCCACCACCUCAGCUUCCACGCAAGUUUCCCUCAUAUUUGAAUAGUUGGCCCACUCCUCAAGUCUUUGUCGACAAAAAAAGAAAAAGAAAAAGUAAACUAUGAAACUCGGGUGGAUCACAACUUGUAUAAAGAUUCCUGACAGUUGCUAAUGCUGCCGACAUGAUCUUCCAACUUGGAACUUGUAAGAUCGGUCAAGCUUUCUAGUUUCUACAGUAGCGUUUAAUUAAUGAAUAAUGAUGAUCAGUUUUGAUUAUUUGACGACGUUAGUACAAUGAGAGUAUUUGAGGUAAUUGAUCAAACAAAAAGAUUGCCCAUUCAUGAUCUAAUUGCCUAAAUAAUAAAAAUGCUUAGCCUCAGCUGACUUGUUCCAAAUCACUAAACAUUUGAGCAGGUAUUUUCAUCUUUUCGUUAUCACAUUCCUCUAAUCAAUUAGCGUUAAUCAACAAAAAUGAUUAAUAACGUAAAUGGAGGAACUUGGGCUCAAAUCUCUAAAUUAAACUCGUGAUCAUUAAUAUAAGCAAACUACAACAAGACUAUCUUGAUCAACGUUUUCAACUCAACAAAUAUAGACUACUAGUGUUUAGUUGUUAAUAAAAUUAACCAAAAAAAAACACACAAAUGUUGACAGCACAAGAAUAAUAAUAAUGUUUAAUUAUUUAUUAAAUUUAAACUAUGUUCAAGAGAGGACCCAACUUUUAUAUAUUUUAUUUUAAUGGCUUAAAGAAAUUACAAAGUUGAUGCCACAAUUUAUAGUUUUUUUUUUUUUACCUUUAAAAAAUCUUUGGAUUAACCGACAAUCAUCAUCAAUCCUCACCUAGGGUCGGGGGAGGAUCAAGAUGGUGCCUACAGUGAGCAAACAUGAUGGCAGAUGGUGUCCAAUUGACCCCCUAAACUUUUCUUUUUUCAUUGAUACUGUCAUGAAGUUACAUAAUUUCUUACAUAAUUGUCUCCAAUAAAUACCAAUAGGUAUACGAACGCAAACAUGACUCUGUUCAGUCAAUUCUAAGCCUAUCUUCUCUGCGAUUUCUCCUUGUAUAUUUUUUGUUUGCGGUGUUUGGGAAACACGUGAAGAAAUGACCUUCUCAAAGAGAUUAUUUUCCUUGACCUGCCUGCCAACUUCUUUCACCAGCGUUGUCUUUCCAAUGCCACCCAUCCCGUACACCCCAAUCAUGUUGAAGUUACGGUUGCUGAGUGCGUCUAGUAUCUCCUUCAAGGUGGACUUUCUCGAUUCAAAGUGCAUGAAAUCCAGGGUAGACUUAAGCCAUGUCUCCUCUGGAAUCGUACGGAAGGAAACACUGUCGAAUCUCCCUUUUUCAUGGAGUCCAACUAUAGCAUUCGCUUCUCUUUCUGCUUUCUUGCUAAGCUGGUACCGAGUCUUCAAAUUAGGACACAACCCUUUCAGACACCGGUUGUUUGACUUCUCUUUGUCUUCAAUAAGUGUUUCGACUUCGUUGAUUGCCUCGUCCACAGUAAUCAGCCACUCCUCAACGUGCUGUUGAAUUCCGUCCCAUUUAAUUCUGGAAUCAUCAACCUUAUAUUGCACAUUGUCUCUAGCAUUCCUGAGCUUAUCGACUUCAUUAUUCAGCUUCUCGAAGUUGGUCUUAUAAGUGCAGCAGUAAGUAAAUGGAUGAAUUAUGGGAGCAACCAAGUACUCUGUAACUUUUGCAGCAACGGAAAUAACAAUAUCCAUUAUCCCUUUCUUUUUUAUUUUUUGCUCUUAGAAAACAGGGGAAAGCAAAACUAAUCAAACUGAGCAGAACUAAUCAAUCAGUUGUGAAGAGGGAAAUAAGAAGUUUGGAUAAAUUGUUAAAAUAAAAGGUUGAAUAGAUUUAAGGGAGGAGGAGGGGAAAGGAGUGAAAAACCUGGAGAUGAAACAAAGGGGGAUCCAUUUUCUGCUAAGACAAAUUGAAAAGCGAUUGCAAUGAAAGAUUUGCAAAGAAGGUGUAGGAUCGAGGACAAGAACGAUUCAGAAACGGGAGACAGAAAAUGAAGAAGAGAUUUCAGAGAACUCUGGAGAUAAGGGAAAUGCAGAGGCAGACAGUUGUCAUCUCAAGUUUCAAAGGGUAAUCUGAACUUUAGUUGUGAUACAAAUAAAAUGAAAAAAAAAAAAGGGUUGUGUGGUCGUGUGGGUUCCUCGAAAUCACUUCGGCAUUUAAUCGAACGGUUGGAUGUACUCAGCAUCUACACUUCCGCGAAGGUUCCUGGAAGUUGCAAGUGCUGAGGGCAUUUUCAAACUCGGAAGGUUUCAAUAAUUCUUUUUCUUUGAAAGAAAGGUUUCAAUAAUUAGCUUUGAUAAUUGUGUAAUAUACGAUAAUCUAGUGAUGAUGAUGACUUGUAUAUGUGAUUAAAAGCUAAGCUGGUGGAUUUGUAAGUAAGAACACACGGCAAAGUAUUUGUGCAAGCAUUUUUAUCUUCUUAUUGCCACAUUCUUCUAAUCAAUUUGCUUUCACCAACAAAAAUAAUCAAUAAUUUGUAAAUAUUAUGAUAAUGCAUACUUAAGCUCAAAUUUUGACAAUACCUGAAUGAUAAUGCAUACUUAUUUUUCAAGGGUAAACUCUAUUCAAGAGAGGAUCUCAAUUUUCUAUUAGUUUCUUCAAAUGGGCAUUUUAUCCAACAGUUGAUGUACUCGGAAACUUACACGAAGGUUCCAGGGAGUUGCAAGUGCCGCCGGCAUUUUUCAAAUAAUCAAGUGAUUAUUGAGUAAUAAUUAACUUUGAUUAUUGAGUAAUAAAUAUAUGAUAAUCAAGUGACUUUAAUAUGUAAACAGUAGGAUUUUGGGCUCAAAUCGUUAAAUUAAAUCGUGAUCAUUUUAUCAUUAAACUCGAACUCUAUCUUGAUUAAUGAACAAAUGUUAGAAAUUAGUUGUUAAUAAAAUAUAAAAGAACGUUAAAAAACAAAAAAAAAAUCAGGCUGGAUUUUUCAGGAAUAAAUCUUCAAGAAACUAAAUAUGCCGAAUUGAAGUUAUUAAAAUGAAAAGCUUAUGUAUUAUAUUCACUCCAUCAAGUAUGAAGCAUAUAAUCAAUUGAUCUACAAGCAAUAGACAUAAAAAAAAAUCAAAUGGUAGAAUAGAAUACAAGCAUCAGCAUUAGAUGACAGGAAAAGAGCUCAUUAACAAAUUAUAUGAGUGAUAAUACAACUGUUGAUGCUGAAAUCUGCUCGCCCUUUGCCUGACCAGACCUUUACACUAACGUUUAUGUAGUCAAUAGUGAGGAUGUCAAUUUCUUCUUGCUUCAACGAACGCUCUAGUCACUGAAGUUGGAAUUGUCCUUCCUUCUCCCACUGAGCAUGCGUUCACAAAAGUAGAUCAGAGACGCCGGUGGUUUUACCGGCGUAAACCCUCCGAUGCCUAAGUUAGCACAAGGUGUUUACGGGAAAACGGUGCAAUUUGGAUUCGAUAAGUUGCUUAUAAUUGGCUCACAAUUUGUAUUAAAAAUGGUCUGGUUUCAAUUUGGCAAAGUUUUCCCCUCUCUCAAUUUUUAUGUCCCCAUCUUCAUUGGUUUCUUCCUCUUUUAUAGCCGCUGUUCCACGUUUCCGUUCACCCUUCAUCUCGCUCUUUGGGGAAUGGGUAUCUGCUCGGUAUAUGUCUCUGGUCAGUGUAUUCCUCUGGCUGAUAUUCAUCUCUGGUCGGUGUAUUCCUCUGGCUGAUAUUCGUCUUUGGUCGGCCCAUGUUGGUAGAGGGCUCAUUAUCAGUGUUCUGCUCGUAUCAUUUGGCUGAGGUGAUCCAUGCCGGGGUGGGGAUGAUGGCCUGUCUGUGCUGAUGCUCUUAUUUACUCAACACCAGUCCCCCAGUUUCUGGUCUUGCGAGUGAAACGAGUUGAGAGUAGAAACUGAAGUCUGCUCGUAUCUUAUCGAUCCUGGGAACUACCCAUCUGGUUCUCGUGUUAUUGCGGUGGGUCUGAGGUUCCAUCUCUUGUCUAAGGAGAUAUCGGCCUGAGUAUGGGCCUUGACGAAUGUAUCUAGUAUCUAUUUGGGCUUACAUCUCGUCGAGCCUUUUAUAACGGUUAGUGACGUGGCGCUUUCCGACUCUUCGUAUUUGAAAUUCGAAACGACGGGCUAUCCAUCCUCGAUAUACGGUGAGUGAGCUGGCAUCCCUAUCACUCAAACGCUUUCAUUUCCCCCUUUUUGUUUCAAAUCCCUAAACUAAAGUCAUCCUCGUUUUGCUUAUUCGCUUCUCCGCCGUAAGACAACUCCUUCGAACUUUAUUCACACUUUUCGCGUCUGGGAUCUCCAUUUGCUGGGUCUUUUCUCCGUUACAGCAACGCUUAUCGGUGCCAGUCCAUUCCAGGUACAUCAUUUAACCUCUUCUUUGGUUAUUGUUGAUUGGGUUUUGUAUUGUGGGUUCUGUGUUUGUCCCUUUUUUGCAUCCAUACUUUUAGAUAUUUUGUGCUUUCCCUUCUUAAACUUCGGUAUGUCCAACCGAAAAGGAAAAAGAAUUGUAGUCAAGAGCGAUGAAGAGAUAGAGGAUUCAUAUCCUCAUUUGUUUGGACCCAGUGAUCUUCUUCACUCCUCUCGCAAUGUAGGUCCCUCAUAUCAUAGGAAUACCCCUGAAUACCCUCGUCCCAUGGCUAUUUCACCCUCCCUUGAAUUAGAGCUUGUAGGAAAUAGAGGUGGAUCCGCAUCGGGCUCUGGUGAGAAUCAUGGUUCUGGUAGGAUUGGGGUUCCUGAAGAAGUGGGUGACGGUGAGGGGAGUAGUUCCGAACCGAACAGACCUCCUUAUAAGAGAAACCUAGGGUGGAGGCAGAUUCUUACCCUAUUGAUUACAUAGCUUGUGCCACCACCCCAACUGACCUGUUCAAACUUAGGAAUCUAUACAACAUUCCCGAAGAGGUUCUCCUUGUAAUUCCUGGGAAAAACGACGUUCCUAGUCGGCCUCCGAGGGGGUAUGUGACGAUGCACCUGGAGAGUUUCAAACUAGGAGCUCGGCUGCCCCUUCAGCGCUACUUUGCCCAGAUACUGGGUGGUAUACACCUGGCCCCAGGUCAGUUACACCCAAAAGGGUGGAGGGUUCUCUCAGCUAUGUAUGUGCUAUGGGAGAGGUGCGGAUCAGAGGAACCUUCCCUUGUUGAAGUAAAGCAUCUGUACCAGCUGCGGAGUAGCCCAAAGGAAGGGGGCUGGUACUACUUUAUGUCCAGCUCUGUAAAGAGGAAGCCGAUCACCGGGUUUCCUUCUUCAUGUAAAAAUUGGAAGAACAAAUUCUUCUUUGCUGGAGGAAAUUAAUGUCCAGCAGCUCGGUCGCUUGGUGGUGAUAUUCACCUUCCAACGCACUUUGUCACCCUAAGUCGUUUAUUUAUUGCCUAUUUUCUUUCUCCAAUCGUCACUUAUUGGGCUCUUUAACCUUGUUUGCUAUUUCAGAGUCGUGGGGUUUGAUCGAGGGGCUUGAAGAGAGACAUUUGCUCCAGGUAGAGACUGCUUUGGUGAACACAUCUACCUGCCAAGAUCUUCUGUCAUUAACAAACCUGGUCGGGUCACGCUUAGUGGACGUAGCUGUCGGAAUGGACAACAAGAUCCUAAGUGCAAUGACUAGGAAGCGUGGUCGGGCUCUAAGCAGCUCCAGUAACCCCCUUCCCCCUUCGAAGAAAAUCAAUGUUAGUCCAUCCAAGGCUUCUGCUCCUGCUCUGCUCCUUCCUCCACUUCGGAAGAAUGGAGGAGAGAAGGUGACUGACAAGUGUCCUGAGGUCAGUAUUCAUUCAGGAGAUCGAUCCUCUCCUCUUCCACUUCGGGAUCAAGGUGACUAUUUGACCCUAUAUCAAAGGGACUAUGGGAAGUCCGUGGGGCCUAAAAUGAUUAAGGACAUCGAGAGCAUGAAUCUUGGUGAAUUGGCUGGUUCUGUCCAGCGGGUCUCCUUCAAGCUGGCUACUCUGGUGUCUUGUUAUAAGAACAGGGCCAUACGUCAUGAGAGGAGGCUUCAGGCUGAUAACCAGGAUCUGAAGAAGAAAGCUGAGUCUGCCGACUGCUCGAAGGAGAAGCUGCUUGAUCUGCACAAGCAAAUCAUGGACCUGGAGGAGAAAGUGGCCAUGGCUGAGUCCACCUCCAUCAAGCUUGAGAAUGAGUUGGGUGAUCUGAAGUCUGAUCACCAGGCCACUCAGAGUGAGCGGGAUACCUUGAAUACGGCUCUUGAGGGCGAAAUCAAAUCUCUGAGUGAGCAAUUGGCCGAGGUGAAAAGCAAAUCUGCUGAUGUGGAUGAUCGGCUAGAUGCAAAGUAUGACUCUGGGGUUGCUUUCUGCUAUAAGUGCAUCAUGUCUGUGCUUAAGGAAGAGUAUUCAGAGCUUAACAUGAACAAGUUUGAGGCUGGAGUGCAAAGGUAUAUGGCCGAGGUCGACCAGGGGGACAAGGAGCAGGGUGACCAAGACCGGGUGGAGGCUCCCUUAGGUGGGGUGCAGGAGGAGGAAGCAGGGGAUCGUGCUCCUGAAGUAGGUCAAUGGUCAGUGCUUCCUCCCCCCGAUGCUGCUAAUCCUCUUCUUUAUGAGAUUGCUGAUCCUUCAGUUGUUGAGGUUGCUGAACCUCCUAAUCUUUAGGCUUAUUUUUGUAUGAAUUUUCAUUUUGUUUGCAAACGCUCGGAUAUUUAUAAAUUUUUGGAUGCUUUCUAUCGGCCUUCCUAUCUGGUUUUUUGCUCAUGGAUUGUUUCUGCAAAUUAACUUGACAAUUUAUUUGAUUUUACCUGCUGGCUCUUUGGUGGACCGAGCAGGAAUAGACGCUUACUUGCCUUAGUAGAAUUUCAUAAAACCGCCUGCUGGUCCUUUCAGCGACCGAGCAGGAAUAAGCGCUUGCUUGCCUUAGUAGAACUUCGCAAAAUUGCCUGCUGGCCUUUUGUUGACCGAGCAGGAAUAGGCACUUGUUUGCCUUAGUAGAAUUUUAUAAAAUUACCUGCUGGUCUUUCGUUGACCUAGUAGGAAUAGGCACUUGUUUGCCUUAGUAGAAUUUUGUAAAAUUGCAUGCUGGUCUUUCGUUGACUGAGCAGGAAUAGGCACUUGUUUGCCUUAGUAGAAUUUUGUAAAAUUGCCUGCUGGUCUUUCUGACCGAGCAGGAAUAGGCACUUGUUUGCCUUAGUAGAAUUUUGUAAAAUUGCCUGCUGGUCUUUCGUUGACCGAGCAGGAAUAGACACUUGUUUGCCUUAGUAGAAUUUUAUAAAAUUGCCUGCUGGUCUUUCGUUGACCGAGCAGGAAAAGACACUUGCUUUCCUUAAGAGAAUUCAAUGGGCUUGCUAGUAGGGGGAUUUCAUGCUGAAUUCAUCUUUAUUGAAACUUAAAUGCAUUACAGAAUAUGCGAAAUAUAUGCAUGUGCAACAAGUCAUCAUGCAUUUAAUAGAAAUAAUUUAUCAAAAUGAAGACUUAGUAGAGCACUUUGCUUACUGGAAAUACUUCUUCAAGUGCUCGGCGUUCCACGACCUCUCGUCCAUCUAAGUACGCUAGCUUGUAAGCUCCUGGUCCAGUCGCUCGUAUCACCAUGUACCGGCCUUCCCAUUUCGGGCCAAGAGCGCCAUGGUUAGGAUCCCUAGUGUUUUGGUUCACCUUCCUAAGUACCCAAUCCCCUGCUCGGAACUGCCUCACGCGUACGUUCUUGUUGUAAUAACGCAUGACUCUUUGCUGACACUGGGCCACUUUCUGUGAGGCCCCUUCCCUUUUCUCCUCCAGCAGGUCCAGGCUCAAGCAGAUCUGCUCGUCGUUUUGCUCCUCGUUGAAGUAUUCUGUCCGAUGUGUCCCCACUCCAAUUUCUGCUGGGACUACCGCCUCAUGACCAAAAGCCAAAGCAAACGGAGUUUCCCCUGUGGCGGUUUUGUGAGUUGUCCGGUAAGCCCACAAUACCCUUGGUAGCUCGUCGACCCAAGCUCCCUUCUCCUCUCCCAGUCUGGUUUUCAGGAGUUUCUUUAUUACUUUGAUGGCUGCUUCCACCUGUUCGUUUGCCUGGGGGUGUGCGGGGGUACAGAACUUCAGGUCCACCCCAAAGUUUCGGCAAAAUUCUCUGAAGUUGUUAUUGUCAAAUUGCCUCCCAUUGUCUGUAAUGAUGGCAUAUGGGAUCCCAUAUCUGCAGAUGAUAUUCUUCCAAAUAAAAUCCGUUGUCUUUCUCUCCGUGAUUUAGCUGAGGACUCCCACUUCUACCCACUUGGUAAAGUAGUCUAUUGCCACAAUUGCAUGUGUCGCCGCUCCUCGGCCUUUAGGUAAUGGACCAAUCAGGUCAAUUCCCCAUUGGGCAAAAGGCCAUAGGGAUGUCAUGGUGGUCAGCUUUUCUGGGGUUGUGCAGGAACCUCUGAGAAGCUUUGGCAGAUUUUACAGUUCUUUGCCAUCCUUUUCGCAUCCUGGUGCAUGGUUGGCUAGAAGUAUCCUUACUGGAGUGCCUUGAAGGUUAAAGUUCUCACUCCCGAGUGAUUGCCACAUAUUCCUUCAUGAAUCUCCCUCAGUACAUAAUCUGCUUCCUCGUCAUCUAAACACCUCAAAAGGGGCAAGGUGAAUCCUCGGCAGUAGAGCACCCUAUCGAGUAGCAUAUACCUUGCUGCUCGGCAUUUUAAUUUCCUUGCUUGCCUCUUGUCCUCCGGUAAAAUGCCAUCACGGAUGUAUAAGAGAAUCGGGUCCAUCCAGGAUUCCUCGGUGCUUAUUCUCAUUACCUCAACUUCCUUCCUUAUACUUGGCGAGGUCCUCACCUAUAGUGGAACUGACUUAGAUAAUUUCGGAUCUACAAUUGCAGCCAUUCUCGCCAACAUAUCUGCUCGGUAAUUCUCAUUCCGGGAUAUCUGCUUUACCUCUACCUCUUGGAAAAGCCCAACCAUCUGCUUUGCCUUCUUCAAAUAAAGCCCCAUCUUCUCUUCCCUUGCUUGGAACUGAUUACUGAGCUGAUUACAGACUAAUUGGGAAUCUGCUCGGAUUUCUACCUUUUCUGCUCUUAGUGCGUGCGCAAGUCCGAGUCCAGUGAUAAAGGCUUCAUAUUCAGCUUGGUUGUUCGUGAGCGGAAACUCGAACUUCACUGCAUAAGUUACUUCGGUCCCUUUUGGGCUUCGUAUUACAAUUCCUGCUCCGGACCCUUGUUCACUACAUGACCCAUCAACCAUUACUAGCCAUACCCCAUCCAGUUUAUCCUACUCUAUUGGUUGCUCUUCCCGAAUUUCUUCCCCUGCUUCAGCACGGUCAACCAUAAAAUCGGACAGGGCUUGGGCUUUUAUUGCUCCUCGAGGCCUAUAGGAUAGGUCAAAUUCGCUCAGCUCCACGGACCAUUUUACUAAUCGACCUGAUGCAUCUGGUUUUUGGACCAUUUGCCGAAAAGGCUAGUCAUUCAUCACAACUAUUGGGUGGGCCUGAAAAUAUGGUCGGCGUUUGCGCGCUGCCGUUAUUAGAGCUAGUGCCCAUUUCUCCAUCGGCGGAUACCUGGUUUCUGCGUCUACUAGGGCCUUGCUUGUGUAGUAUACGGGGUGUUGCUUUCCUUCUUCUUCUCUGACUAGCACCGAGCUGGUUGCCCAUUUUGAGAUUGCUAAGUACAAAAACAGCUGGUCACCCUCUCUCGUAGUUGAUAGUAACGGGGCGCGGGCUAAGUAAUCCUUCAGCUGUCCAAACGCCUCAUCACAUUCCGAUGUCCACUCCAUCUUUCUCCCUUUCAUUAUGGUUUGGAAGAAAGGGUGGAAUUUAUCUAUGGCCCGCGAGAUAAAUUGGUUCAAUGCUGCCAAUUUCCCUGUAAGACUGUGCACCUCCUUAACUGUUCGUAGGGACCUCAUUUCUGUCACCGCCCGUAUUUUUUUCGGGUUGGCCUCGAUCCCUCAGUUGCUCACCAGGAAUCCCAAGAAUUUGCCCGAGCUGACCCCGAAUGCACAUUUGUCUGGGUUCAGCUUCAUUUCGUACUUCCUCAGCAACUCAAAGGUCUCUUCCAAGUGCUUCACAUGAUCCCUUGGUUCUUUGAACUUUGUGAUCAUAUCAUCCACAUACACCUCUAUAGUAUGGCCGAUCAAUGGUUUGAAGAUCUUGUUCACCAACCUUUGAUAGGUAGCUCUUGUAUUUUUUAGACCGAAAGGCAUUACCCUGUAACAAGACAAACCCAUAUUAGUUAUGAAGGUGGUGCUUUCCUCAUCCUACUCGUCCAUGGGUAUCUGGUUGUAUCUGAAAAAGGCAUCCAUGAAGCUGAGCAGACUGUGGCCCGCUGUUGAGUCCACCAAUUGAUCUAUUUUUGGUAGGGGAAAACUGUCCUUCGGGCACACCUUAUUGAGGUCCUUAAAAUCCACACACAUUCUCCAUUUCCCGUUGGCCUUCUUUACCAGUACUACAUUAGAAAUCCACUCCGGGUAUUUGGCCUCCCUUAUAAAUCCUGCUUUCAGCAGCUUUUCCACCUCGGCAUUUAUGGCCUCGUACCUUUCCUGGUUAAAACACCUCAUUUUCUGCCUUACCGGCCUUGCUCCUUUCUUGAUCGCCAAUUUGUGGUAUGCUGCCCUGCGAUCAAUUCCUGGCAUGUUCUCAUGAGACCAGGCAAAUAUGUCUGCAUGAGACUGUAGACACCUCACCAGCUCGCCCUUUAUUGUCUCACCCAAUCUCGACCCGAUCCUAACCACUCUGCUCGGGUUACUCCUACUCACAAAGACCUCCUCCAGAUUCUCAACAGGUUCCUGGCGACCCUUUCUAGAAUCCUCUCGGUUAUCUAGAGAGGUAACUUGUAGCGUCUCCUUGGCCGCUGUAGCAUAACAACUCCUUGCCAUUCUCUGGUCACCUUUUACUACGCCAACAACUCCAUUUACUCUAUACUUCAAUGCCAGAUAAUGCGUGGAUAUAACGCAUUGGCUUAUCCUCAUGAACGGUCUCCCCAGUAUCAUCUGGUAAGGGCUUCUUUCUUCUACCACGACAAAGUCCAGCAUCAUCGUUCUUUCAAAUGGCUUUGACCUCAUAGUAAUCGAGAGUUCGAUGAUCCCCAUGGGAGUUAACCGUCCCCCUCCAAAUCCCUUCAAGGAUGUAUUCGUCCGUUCCAGUUUCAAGUCUGAAAUUCCCAUAUCAUCUAAGGUCGAUUUAAACAGGAUGUCAACCGAGCUGCCCGUGUCUACCAGUAUUCGCCGCAACUCUAUACCAGCCACCCUUGCUUUAAUCACCAGUGCAUCCUCUCAUACAAUUCUUCCAUGGAGAUUUUUAAUGGGGUGUAUUGUCUAUGCGCCAAGCUCUGAUCAACCAGUUGGACUGCUCGGCUAUCAUGGAUAUCGCCCCGGGCUGAUAUCGUAGGCAACUGAUUUGGUCGUCCAGCCCUGGAGUUAGUUGUGUGUAGUGCUAUGGGAGCAUUGUGGUAAGGGUGGGCAACCAACUGCCUAAAUUCUCGUUGUCGUUCCGGGAACGGGGGGGGGGGGACGGUGGUUGAGCCCGGCUGUGUUGGAGCUGUUGUGGUCUCUGAGCUAUGGGAUAAGGGUGGGACCGAGUUGAUAUUCCGUCCAUUACUGAGGAUUCCCCAGCUCGCUUUUCCGAUCCGCUCCCGUUCGGGGCUCUCCGUUCCUUUCGUCUCAGCUCUUCUAGCUAUUCACUUUUUAUCCUCGCCGAUUUCUCCUCUUCGAUUUCUAUAUCUCUCCUUGCCUGAUCAUACCCCGCCGAAUAAUUCUGCACCAAGGGACUUCUCAAGUUAUACCACAGUCAGCUUAUUCUCACCCCCUCUUUUAAUCCCCUCAGUGCCUGCGGGUGAUUAAAAGCUUCCAGAUCUAGCACGGCUCGGUGAUAUCGUUUUAUAAAAUCCCGAAGGGAUUCAUGUUCCUCUUGUUUCAUCCCCAUCAGCUCCAUCAUGUCGUCCUCUGGGGCCACUGCUCCUCGAAACUGCUCGGCCAACUCUUGGCACAUUUGCUCGUACCUUUUUAUACUUCCUCGGGGCAACUUGUGGUAUCAUUCUCGGGCUCGUCCCUCUAGUGUCAACGGGAACACCCUACACCUCUGAGCUGGUGUCAGCCCCUGCACACCCGUCAUGUCGUUGAAACGUUCAAUAUGCACCAGCGGGUCACUUCGCCCGGAGUAUUUGAGGUCGGGGAAGCAAAAAUUUCUUGGGAUUACAGUACCCAUGAUUUCGGUUGAUAACGGAGACUCUUCAUCUAGCAUUAUCCCCCAGCUCAGGGGCUUUCUCUUGCCCUAAAUCUCCUCCAUCACCUGCGCCAAUCUGCGCACCUCUCCCUCCAAUUCUAUAGCACGGUCAGGAUCGCGCACAGCUAUCUGAUCUCGUUCCUGCUCGGCAUUCUGCAACCGCUGUCUGAGCUCUCCUUCAUUAACACUGGCCCCUCGGCCAUCAAUUUCCAGUACCUGUCCGGGGCGAGGUUGGUCCCUCCCUUUAUCCACGCACUCUCCAUGAACUCGACCAGUACUUCUACAGGGAUGCACCCCAUUAAGUUGGUCUGCCGGCAGAGGGAUUUCCUCUACUUUACGCCUCCGAAGGCUGGGUUCUGCUUCAACUUCAUCUCUCCCCAUGGGGGUUUCACAAUCCCUUCUCCGCUCAUCCCUCAGCUCAUAUAAUAUGGCCGUGAGAGUAUCCAUUUGUUUCUCUAUCCGCUCCAGUCGAUCUUGCAUUGUCCUCUCUCGAGCUUCAUUCACAAUUUUCCGGAAAGUGAUUGUUUCAACAGUUUCAUUGUCAUCCCUCAAAGCAUCCUUCCUUGACGCAUCCAUAUCCAACCGUUCGCUGCUUCUCCGGUAACUACUAAUUUGAUGGUAGCUUUUUAUUCAACUCCCCACAGACGGCGCCAAAAUGUUGAUGCUGAAAUCUGCUCGCUCUUUGCCCGACCAGACCUUUACACCAACGUUUAUGUAGUCAAUAGUGAGGAUGUCAAUUUCUUCUUGCUUCAACGAACGCUCUAGUCACUAAAGUUGGAAUUGUCCUUCCUUCUCCCACUGAGCCUGCGUUCACAAAAGUAGAUCAGAGAUGCCGGUGGUUUUACCGGAGUAAAAUCUUCGAUGCCUAUGUUAGCACAAAGUGUUUACGGGAAAAUGAUGCAAUUUGGAUUCGAUAAGUUGCUUAUAAUUGGCUCACAGUUUGUAUUAAAAAUGGUCUGAUUUCAAUUUGGCAGAGUUUUUCCCUCUCUCAAUUUUUCUGUCCCCUUCUUCAUUGGUUUCUUCCUCUUUUAUAGCCGCUGUCCCACGUUUCCGUUCACCCUUCAUCCCCCCCUUAUCUCGGGUAGUGGCAGCCCCUCAUGGGACUCCAACCGCUAUAUCGUGGGUAAACGUGGGACACUGUGUCUCCCUCGACGGUUCUGGGCAUAGCGCAACUGUCGUGCUUUCGUGAGAUCGUGUUCCCGCUCUUUGGGGAAUGAGUAUCUGCUCAGUAUAUGUCUCUACUCGGUGUAUUCCUCUGGCUGAUAUUCGUCUUUGGUCGGUGUAUUCCUCUGGCUGAUAUUCGUCUUUGGUCGGUGUAUUCCUCUGGCUGAUAUUCGUCUCUGGUCGACCCAUGUUGGUAGAAGGCUCAUUAUCAAUGUUCUGCUCAUAUUAUUUGGCUGAGGUGAUCCAUGCCGGGAUGGGGAUGAUGGCCUGUCUGUGCUGGUGCUCUUAUUUACUCAACACCAACUUGAAUCAAACUGACGUCCCCAGUUGAGAAGAGUUAAAUUAAAUAAUAUUUUGGUGAUUUCAUGUGCGUAAAAUUAUAAAUUUAUAACCAUCAAUAUAUCACCAGACUUUGUAAAGUUAAUGUGAAAAUGCAUCACAAUUGUACUUAUUAUCUUUUUUCUGUUUUUCUUUUCCAAAUAGUCUAAUACCAAUGGCGUGCCCUCGUGGGUCCUCAAAUUAUUCAAAUGGGCAUUUCAUCGAACAGUGGAUAUACUCGGCAUGUGCACUUAGAAGACGCGUUCAAAAGCUCUAAAUCAUGUUAAAGUCGACCAAAAAGACAAAACAUAGAAAGCGACAAUCCAACAACUAGGUAAAAAUAUUCGCUGUCACAAAUGGUUGGGAAAUUUACAGUAAUAACCAUUAAAAUUUUGAUUUUUUUCAUCUUAACCUCCCAAAAAUAUUUCUAUCAACAUUAGCCAUAAAACAACCUUUGAGACCAAAAUACCCCUCUCCCUCAUCUCUCCCCCAACAUUCCCUUUCACUCAUCUCUCCCAAACCGAUCCAACUCCCAUCAUCGGCGGCAACAUCAACCCUCGUCGGCGGCGGCUCCAUCUCUCACCGACAUCCGAUCUACGAUCUACAACCUUCAAGGUUAGUCAUUUUUCUUAUUUUCAUUAAUUUAAAAUGAAAUUUUAGAAUAAUAAUAGUUAUAGCUUGAGAAUAAUGGUGGUGGUGGUGGUGUUUGUGGUGGUUGGUGGUGUUUGGGAGCAUUGUUUUUUGAUUUUGGAGUGUUGUGGCUUAAUUUUAGAGUGGCCUUUUUUUUAAAGAGUCAAUUUUUUUUAUGUAAAUAUAAUGUAAUAAUUUUAUAAAUAUUAUAGAUACAUGGCGAAAUCAGAAUCACCAGAUAUCGAAGUAGGCAAUAUGUAUUUUUGUUAUGCCGAUCACUUUCCUGGUCGAAUUUUGAGCAUGUGUAAGUUAUCUUCGGUCGUAAAAGCCAUCGAGGAAAAAUUAACAAAGCGGCAGUUGAGUAUGUUAAAAAAUGAUAUAUUUGGGCAUUUCUUGGAGUGUCAAAGUUUUUCAUUUAGUAGGGUAAUUUUGCACAAUCUUUUACUGAGGCAAGUGGCCCAUGAAGAAGAUAGCCGUGAGGAUCAGUUAUGGUUUCAAAUUGGUGAGCAUUUGAUUCGCUUGUCAAUUGUCGAAUGGUGCUUGGUUACUGGACUUUCAUUUGGUGUUGAUACCAAACGAAAAAUUGAUGAAAUGGAGGAGAGGCUACGAAAUACGUAUUUUGGUGGUGUGCAUCGUAAGAUUAAUGUGAACGAAUUCGAUGCAGUAUUUAAGGAGUUGAAAUUCGAGGAAAUGGACGAUAUGGACGCAUUAAAGAUUGCGUUGUUUUAUUUUGCGGACAUAGUACUAAAUGCAAGAAACAAUCACUGUCAAAUCAAUUUCGAUUGGCUUGACGAAGUUGAUGAUAUAGAGUACUUCCGAAAGUGUCCAUGGGGUCUAUUGUCGUGGAAAAUGAUUUACGAGAGUCUUGACAAUGCACUGUUCGAGAAAGACGAGAAAUUUAAGAGGACUCGGUUGAAAAAUCCAGAUCAUAACAUUGAAAAAUACAAUCUUUACGGCUUUACGUCCGGGGUUCAGGUGCGUUUUUUUUGUUUAUUAAUAAGUUUUAUAAUAUUAAAUAUUUGAUAGUUGUUUUAUUACAUUUUUCACUUUGGUUGUUGUAGGCUUGGAUUUACGAAGCAAUCGGAGGGUUGCCAUCAACAUGGGUCGUCAAAACGAAGAAGAAGAUUCCCCGCAUUCUGCAAUGGAAGCCCAUAGCGUCUUCGAGAAUCAACUUUGCGGAGGUUUAUUCGUUCUUCAACGACGAAUCUCGUCUUGUAAGUAAUAUGUAUUACUUAUUUUUUUAACUUUACUAAAUUUAAGUUAUGUAUACUUACUUAAAAUUUUCAAUUGAAUUUAUGGCAGGGGGACGUUUUACAAACUCUUGAGCCAAAUUCAAAGAAGAGUAGCAGAAAAUAUUGGCUCUCUGUGAAGGAUUACUUGCCAAGCAUUCCAGACUGGGUUCAUAAGGUCGGUAUACUCUAAGUACUAAAAAUUUUUUAAUCGAAAUUUUUGACUUUUCAUUUACUAAUUUUAAAUGAUACUUUAUACAUCACCAACCCUCAAUCAACGCGAUGCCGUCGGUUACAAGGCAAUCAAACGAGCAAUCCGAUCAUGACGACAUACCAAACCCAAUAUCAGAGCAGCGUCAUGACACUUUUGAGGAUGAGGUGGCUAUUGAUGACCACCAGGAGCAAACAGACAACUCUGAUGAUGCACGUGAUUCUGAGGUUAUAAAUAAUAUACGAUAUUUUUCCUUUAUAAAUCAUUAUUUUUUUACUGUUAGUCUAAAGUUUUAUUUUUUUGUUUUGUAAUAGUCGAGGACAAAGCUGUUUAAUGAUUACAUACGACGACGGCUGGAUAAGAUUGAUCGUAACGUGUAUGAAAUGAAGUCAGAAUUAAAAGAUUUUAAAGAAACCGUUGUUGGCUUCAUCGACACAUUUUCUAAACGUUCAAAUAAGGAUUCUCCCAGUGCACACUCGUAUGCGGUGAGCAAAUUUAAAUUUAAUAAUUAUGUUCGUUUAACUUUUGAUUUGAUAGUUUUUUAAUAUGUUCUUCUUGGCGACUGGACAGGCCCCGGAUGACUAUGGAGUGUAUACUGACGUGGGCAAUCAAAAUUUGUCUACGCCCACGUCAUUGUAUAGUUUCUAAGGCGAUGUUAGUGGGGAGUGUUAGCCUAAAGGGCUAUACAUAAUAUAAUUUUGAUGAUAACAAACAUAUGUAUUGAGUGAUUUAAUAAAUAUUGUAUUUCACAUUUUCACUAGUUUUUGAAGGAUAAUAUUUAUGCAAGUGAAUCAAGUGAAAUCAAGACUCAAGACACUCAACGGACAACGGCGAAAUCAAGAAUAAAGUUUAGAGCUCAACGGACAAUUUAUUGCGACAAAUUCUUGUAAAGCCGGUAUGAUUUAAUUGAUGCAUGAUUUAGCAUUUGAGAAGCUCAAUAGAUUAAUUUAAUACUUUUCAUAAACUAAAAUUUUUUAUUUUUAUAAAGUAAAGUAUUUUGUGGAUUUAAGUAAUUUGGACUUAAAUGCUAAGAUUUGUAAUCUUUGAGUUUAUUAAAUAUUUUUUUGAAAUUCAAAUUUGGACUUAUUUGCAAAGGUUUGAAACAUUUUGGGUCAUACCAUAAUUUAUGAAACUUUGAGGACCCCAAUGUAAUUUAGACACUUGAAAUCAACAGUUGGACAGUGAGGAAGCGGCUAACCGCCUGAGGGCUAGCGGCUAGCCGCCUGAGGAAAUUCUCAUAUUUUCAAUUUUUGGAUUAAAGUGAAAGAUUUUGAGAACUUUAAAAAAUAUGAGUAUUAUGUUAUAUUUGUAAAGGACCUCUUUGAAAAAUAAUAAAAUCUUUGGGGCCAUAUCAUGAUUUUAGAAAGUUUAGAAAAGACAACUAUUUUUACGAAGUUCUGAAAUUGGACUUAUUUGUAAAGUUUUCUAAUGUUUUGGGUCAUAGUAUAAUUAUAUAAAGUUUUGGGUCAAAGUGUAAUUUCAGUGAACAAUAUUACUGUAGCAAAAUUCAAAAAUAACGGUAAUAUCACUGUUUCUGAGCGGCUAGCCGCUUGGGCGCUGGAAUUUGCCUAUAACGACUAGUUUUCGGGCUUUCACUAUAAAAACUCAACUCCAACUUCAUUUUAAAGAUAAACACAAGCAACUAUAAGAUCAUAUAACAUAUAUUGAGCUUCCAUUUCGUAAAUCAUCAUUUGUUGAAUCAUCAUUGAGAUAUAAUUUGUUAUUCACUCUUAAAGAGAGUUUUAUUGUUGUGAAUUUCAUUUCUCAUAAAUUUGUGAGUGUAUAAGUGUGGGAAACACUUGGGGUGAAGAGAUUGAGGAUAUAAUCUCUUGUUGUAAAGGUUCAUUGACACCUUGGAAGUCAAUUGUAAACAUUUGAAGCCUUGGGAGGCUUGGAUAGUGAAAUCCUCAAGCCGGGUGUUCUUGGAGGUGUGGACGUAGGCGGGGAUAGCCGAACCACGUAAAAAUCCUUGUGUUCGUUUUCUCUUCCCUUACUCUUUUAAAUUGUGCUUGAUUGAAUUUAUUGUUUUGAUUUGAUGAAGGCAAUAGAUUAAAUUGUUGUGCGAAUUGUAUUGAAUAGAUUUUAAAAUCCCAAUUCACCCCCCCUCUUGGGUUGCAUAACUUGCAUUUCAGGGAGAGCGUGCAGGUGUUCACUGAGGUGCCUCCAAGCGUUAGUAAGUUCGGCCGCGCGUACAUACCGUCGUAUGUUUAUAACAGUCCUUACAUGAUUCCUCCAGUCAGGCGAGGACAGAACGUCCGGCCUUUACCUCGACCCCAAAUCAUGGAGCAUGCGAUUGACAUGAGUACGAGUGUGGAUGUAAAUCCACUGAGAGGAUUAGAGGACUCUAGUCUGUUUGCUGAGUUUGAUCGAUGGUUCACUGGUGAUAUCAGAGUCCGCCGGAGAGUCCAGCACCCGCGGUCAUUCUUUCAAAUAAUUUUGGGUACAGCUUCGAUGGGAUGGCUAGGCGAUGAGGUAUUUAUAUUUUUGAAGUUUUUUGAGUGUUGUGGAUUUGUGUAUAAAAUUUUUCUUUUAAAUCGUAAUAUAUCUGUUUCUCUACAGCAUAUUCACGAGUAUCUCCGCUUGAUUAGCGAGAAACAACGGCAGUAUCCGAAUGCCUUACUCCAACGUGUCACACAUACUGACACAUUUGUUUGGGUAACGUGCCGACAAAACUUAUAAAUACUAUUUAUUUAUUUUUUAAUUAUUGCCUUAAAGUUUUGUUAAUUUAUGCAUUUCUUGGUUAUCUAUGUACUAGGUGUUCUUGAAUCAGUUAUGGAAUAACGGGGAUUGUGCGGUCGAUUCAUUGGUAUUCGACGACCGCUUGAAUAGUUAUCUUUGUGGGCGACAACACACAAUGUCCAAAUCAAUGACGGAUGUCGAUAUGGUAUGUAUUUUAUUGCAUUUCACAUACUCCAUAUUGAAAAUAUUCGAGUUGUCGCUUUUUCUUUGUUGUAUUUCAAUUUCAUAUAUAACGAACAUGUUUUUCAAUUUUUAUAUACAGUUACUCAUCCCUGUUAAGUUGGACGGCGCGCAUUAGGUACUAGCACGAGUUGACUUUCGGAAAAUAAAGUCUGGAUUUAUGACUCAUUACUCACAUUUCGCGACGACAAAAGGUACAAGUUGAAAUUCAAGCCACUUGAAGUUAUAUUCCCUCGAUGGUUGGAAUAUGUUGGCUUCUACAACAUCCGACCUGAGUUGAGGAGUGCAGACCCCUGGAAAGUUAUCGCAGUUAAGAGCGCGCCACAACAAGAGCCUGGAACUGGCGAUUGCGGUGUUUUUGUAUUGAUGGUUACGAUGUAUUUAAUGUUCGGGCUUAGAUUGGAGUUUAACGCUAGUCAUGUCGAGUACUUUAGAAAGAAGAUUGCGGUUGACAUAUUUAAUGACGAUAUUGUAUUGUAAACCUAUGUAGUAAUUUCAAUGUUGAAAUUUGAAUUUUUAUUUUAAUUUGCGCACUUAAGUUUAUAUAAUGCUCAAAUUUUAAUAUUUAAAAUAAAAUAAAGUUUUAUAACAUAUAAGUGUACAAUACACAAAAAACAAUAACAAUUUUAACCAACGAAAUACAAAAAAUAAUAACAGUUUUAACCAACAAAACACAAAAAACAAUAACAGUUUUAACUAACGAAUAACACACAAAAUACAAUUAACUUCGAGUCGACGCAAUGGGAUUCUUACAUCGCUUACGAUUAUGGCCCAGUUCAUGACACCGCCCGUAUCUUACAGUCUGCCGGUUAACGUCCUCACCAGCCGAGGGUAUUCUGAACUCUUUACGACGGCCAGGUGGUAGUGUCUCAACUGGUGGGUAUACUUGCAUCUCCUGAAUUUCAUCUAGAAUUUCCCAAUCAGCCACAUCACCAACUGGUUCCACUGGUUGUACAUAAGCCAUCGCCACAAAUUCUGUAGUGUAAAAGUCCGAGCAAAGGUUAAUAAAAUCCACCCGGUGUGUUAGACAUGUCGCAAUUGCAUGAGCACACACAAGCUGAUCAAGCUGAAACACUCUGCAAGAGCAAGUUCUCUUUUGCAAGUCAACCAAACCUUCCUUAAGCCCACCGCCUAUAACUUGAAAUCGAUGCGGAGACACCGGCCGAACUAUCAUUCUUUCAGCUAUAGUUCUCAUCUCAGUGACAAUUUCAUCCGCCCAUGUUGUUAGCUGAGUAGUCAUUGAUUCAACCACAAUUUUUCUAUCAUAAAACCAUUACUAUAAUGUUUUCCUAAAGUGAUCAACAAGAUGAGUAACAGGAAAUUUUCGAGGUUCCCUCAUGAAAGCAUUAACACUCUCCGCGAUGUUGGUGGUAAGUAUGCUGUACCUCCUACCUUCAAACUGAGACCUUGCCCAAUUACACGUACCGACAUUAUUUUUUACGUAAUCAGCCGCACCCGAGUGGAUCAUCCACAACCCUUCAAGUUGUCUCUUAAAUUCCUCGUGGCCAUAUGCUUUUGCUGCAUUAAUAAAGGCAGGCUCAAAUUCAUCCCAAAGAGCUUUGGACAUUCUAAAUUGUGACUUAAUGUUACCUUUGACAUGGUAAAAACAAACGCCAUGAGUUGCAUUGUGAAAUACUUUAAGAACGGCUCUCCUUAUGGCAGUGCAUCGAUCAGAGAUAAUUACCAACUCAGGUCUAUCGCCAAUCACUCCGUGUAACUUCAUCAUAAACCAUUCACAAGCAUCAUUAUUUUCUGAAUCCAUGAUCCCAAUAGCUAACGGAUACAAUUGAUUGUUACCAUCAAGACAUGUUGCCACGAACAUGCUUCCACGAUAUAGUCCCUUCAGAUGAGUACCAUCUACAGCAAUGACAGGCUGAAUGUACUGCAUAAACCCAUUGAUGGAAGAUCAGAGUGCAACAAAAUAGUACAAGAAAUUACCAUCUCCAUUCUGCUCGAGGUGAGUGACUAUACCCUCAUUCGCUGUAGUUAGUACGUGAGAGUAUUUAGGGAGUGUCGAGUGUUAGAAAAUGCAUAUUUAUAAAGGAGAAAACCGUCAUUUGACAUUUCAAGUCUUACUAACAACCCUUACUUUUAUGUAUUUAACCUUCUUGUGAUUUAAUUACAUGUGUUUUAUUUUAAUUAAGUAUUUUAUGUAUUUUAGGUGCAUUAUAGUCAUUUCACAAUAAAGGAGAGAUCAGACGGCAAAACGGACAUCACUUUUGAACUCAGGACGGUCGAAAACCUUAGGAGGAGCAUAAAAGGAAAAAUCACACUAUUCACAUGUACGGUACUAUUCACGUGUACGGUACUGUCUACGUACUGUUCACGACACUGUUCACAUAGACGGAUCGAUGAUGUGGCAUUGACCGAUGAUGUGGCAUUGACUGAUGAGGUGUCACGAUCCUGUUGGGCUAAAAUUCUUAUGUACUGUUGAUGAUGACGUGGCAGCAUAUCAGUGGACGAAAAAUCUCUCGUACGGUACAUGCAUCACACAGGAUUAUUUUCAACCAAACCGUGUUACUGUUCAUCCGGGUCAAACCGUGUUACUGUUCAUCCCCGUGGUCAAACCACAUACUGUUGACUGAUGACGUGGCGCAAUCCUGAGCGUCCAAACUGUUUUUAAUCCGAUUGCCAUGAUUUACUCCAUGUAUCUAUAAAAAGGGGGCCUCUCCCCCCUAAUUGGAUAGCUCUAAAUCCAUUUUUGGGAUCCAUUUUCUGUAAUUCCUUCUCCAUCUUGUAUUUUCUUCAUAUUUUAAUAAAUUCCCAUUUUGCCCCUAGUUCAAUUAUGAGUGGCUAAUUUCCUUUCAAGCUUGGGUUGAAGGUGAAGUCUCAACAUGUAUCAUGGGCUUAAUUUGGUAAAUUUAUUUUCUCUUCCCCUCUAGAUUUUGUGUAUGUUUUGACUUCUCGUCGACAAAUAAUACUAAUCUUGUCUAGUACCGCCUUGGUUUCACCGGCCCUCUAGUACAAGGUUAUUAUUAUUUGGCACGAUAAGCCCUUAGCACCAUAUUGAUUAGAGCGUGGUUCAUGAGGUGUGGAUUCCCCCCUCAUGAUUUAAUUAGCAUUAAUAAGGAUUAUUUAGCCCAUGAUGCAUGUUGAUACGGAUCCAGAUACCCAAGUACGUCAUUUCAAUAUAAUUCUCUUCAAUUUAUUCUCGUCAUUUCAAUACCAAUUUUAGAAUUUAUUCUCGCCAUUUUAAUUUAAGUUUUAGCAUAUUCCAAAUUAUUUCCACAACAAAUCCAAUCACCCAUUUACAAAAUUAAUUCUACACAAUUAAAAUCCACCUCCUCGUGGGAUCGACACUCGUCACCAUUGAUCUAUACUACAAUAGAUUCGUGCGCUUGCGAGUACAUUAAAAUUUGCACAACAAGUUUUUGGCGCCGUUGCCGGGGAGGUAAGUUAUUUUAAUUUGUAGAAUUAAUUUUUGUCAAUAAUUUCUUUUAUUUGUUUUCUUGUAUUUUUUUUCUUAUUAAAAGAAAAAAAAAGGUGAAUCUACAUUUAAAGGUUAGUAUUUCUUUUCUUUUUCUCUUCUUUAAAAUUUUGUAAUUUAAUUUUCAAUUUAUUUUUUUUUCUUUGUAAUUUUUGUUUAUUUUAUUAAUUUAAUUUUUAGUUAAUUUAUUUCACGUAUUUGUUUUUGUGUAUUUUUAUAGAAAGGUUGUAAUAGCGCAAUAAGGUUAGUAUCAUAAUUUCUCCCUCUUCUUUAUUUUUAUUUGAUUUGUUCCCAUUUAUUUUUGUGUUUCUUGCAUGCAUGGUCGUAGGUCAUUAUUUCCUAAUCUUGAACCUAUAGACCUUGAAUUAGAAAAAACACUUCGCACACACAAACACGUUAAAAAUAAAAUGGAUUUACAAGCACCACAGGAGAGGCCAUUUAAGGAUUAUUUCAGUCCUUUAGCAAAUUUGAGCACAUCAUGCAUAAGAUACCCAAAUGUAGCUGCUAGGAGUUUUGAACUAAAACCUAGUGUGCUAAAUUGUCUCCCCACAUUUUAUGGCCUAGAAAAUGAGGACCCAUAUAAUCAUUUGAAUGAUUUUCAUGCUAUUUGUCAAACAUUUAAAUAUGAGAAUUUUUCAGAUGAUGAUGUUAAACUUAGAUUAUUCCCAUUUUCUUUAAAGGAUAGAGCUCGUUCAUGGCUUAAUACAUUGCCUGCCAAUAGCAUUGCAUCAUGGGAACAAAUGGUAACGAAAUUUUUGAAUAAAUAUUUCUCAGUGCAUAAAACCAAUGCUAUUCGCAGGGAAAUCUCAGAGUUUACCCAGAGAGAUGAUGAGCAGUUUUUCGAAACAUGGGAGCGAUUCAAUGGGCUACUCUUGAAGUGUCCACAUCAUGGGUACGAGAAAUGGCACUAAUGCCAAUAUUUUUUGGAGGGAUUAUUACCGAAUGUGCAAGAAUGGCUAAUGGCAACAAGUGGAGGAGAGCUAAUGUCAAAAAGUGCAUCAGAGAUUUGGGAAUUCUUCCAGAGACAAGCGGAUAAUUCCCAACAACGGAGUCGAUCACUCAGGAAUACUAGAAGGAUUAAAGGAGUGAAUGAGGUCCACAUUGGCGAGUCAAGUUCAGAAAUUAAAGAAGUCAAAGCGAUAAUUGAAGGUCUCUCUCGACAAAUAGCAUCGUUAUCGACUGCUAAAUCAACAGAGCCACAUGACCAUGACUCAUACUCAGAUCAAGCCAAUGCCAUUGGUAUAAUGAGAAAACCAUCGAAUUACAACCCAUACUCCAACACAUAUAACCCUGGAUGGAGAGACCACCCCAAUUUUUCAUGGUCUCAAGGAUUCCAACAGAAUGGACCAGCGGCUCCAGCUCUACCAAUUCCUCAAAAUCCUCAAGCCUCUCAGCCCCCAUUUAGACCAUACAAUCAGAACCAGAACUACACUCAGCCCAGACCAUGGGAGGAUUCAUUCCAGAAUCUUAAGAAUCUUAAGAAUCUUACUCACUCCACGAUUGAGCAACAUAACCGCACCAUUGAUGGACUACGAAAUGAGUUGAGAGCAGGCUUCAACUCACAAGCUCAAUCAGUUUCAAGCCUCAAGAAGAUGGUGGGACAACUUGCUUCUUUAGUUCAGACCUUGGCAAUGACCGUUGAGAAAGGUAAAUUUCCAAGUCAACCAGUGCCUAACCCUAAAGGAGUACAUGAAGCAAGUACCAGUUCACCACAACAGCAUGGAGAGGUCAAAGCAGUCAUGACCUUGCGAAAAGGAAAAGAAGUCGACAACAAAGUGGAGAUGCCGGUGACAAAAGAAAAUCAAAUUGUACCUUUGAAUGUUGAGGACUCACCACCGGAGGAAAAAAAAGAAACCAACCCACGAGAAUAUGUUCCUAAAGCUCCAUUUCCUCAGAGGUUAGCGAAAGGAAAGAAGGGAAAAUCCACAGGUGAGAUUCUUGAAAUCUUCAAACAGGUAAGUGUUAACAUCCCUUUACUUGAUGCGAUUAAACAAGUUCCAUCUUAUGCCAAGUUUCUUAAAGACCUCUGUACUAAAAAGAGAAAUAUGCAUGUUCAAAAGAAGGCAUUUUUAACAGAAAACGUUAGUUCUAUACUCCAACAUAAAAUUCCUCUAAAAUGCAAAAACCCAGGAUCCCCCACUAUCUCAUGUAGCAUAGGGAACCACACAAUUGAGAAUGCUUUGUUGGAUUUAGGAGCUAGUGUAAAUUUGUUGCCUUACUCUGUUUUCGUGAAACUUGGACUUGGAGAAUUACACCCAACUCCAGUGGUGUUACAACUCGCAGAUCGGUCCACGAAAAUACCUCGUGGUAUUGUGGAGGACGUGCUUAUCCAGGUAGACAAGUUUUAUUUUCCUGUUGAUUUCAUUGUAAUUGACAUUCAACCUAUACAGGAUUCAAGGAAGCACAUCCCUAUUAUCCUAGGCCGACAUUUCUUGGCAACUACGGAUGCUCACAUUCAAUGCAGGACUGGAAAUAUGCAGUUGUCCUUCGGCAAUAUGACUAUGGAGCUGAACAUCUUCAACAUUGCCAAACAACCUCAUAAUGCAGAUGAUGGAAUUGUUGAUGUGGAUUUAAUAGAAGCAUUAGUUGAUGACUCUUUUAUUUCACACCUUAGUGAUGAUCCUUUACAAACAUGUUUAACUCACUUUGGUUUGGAUUUUGAUAUUGACAGAUCAGUUGAUGAGGUCAACGCCCUGCUUGACUCAGCACCAUCCAUGGACACUAAUAAAUGGAAGUCACGAGUUGAACAACUAGCACCAUCAGAGAAGAAACUCAUCCCAUCAUCAGAAUCACCACCGAAACUCGAGCUCAAACCAUUGCCCAACACAUUGGAAUAUGCAUUUUUAGGGGAAGAAAGUUCUCUGCCGGUAAUCAUCUCAUCAUCCCUCAAUGACAAACAAAAAGGUAAGUUGUUGGAUGUUUUAAAAGAGCACAAAGGAGCAUUAGGAUGGACCAUAGUGGACAUAAGAGGUAUAAACCCAGUAGACUGCAUGCAUUACAUUCACCUCGAUGAAAAUGCUAAAUCUACUAGGGAAAUGCAACGUCGGUUAAAUCCUAAUAUGAAAGAAGUUGUUAGAACUGAAGUCCUUAAGCUAUUAGACACAGGUAUCAUUUACCCAAUUUAUGAUAGUUCAUGGGUCAGUCCUGUACAAGUUGUCCCCAAAAAGUCAGGAGUCACAGUAGUUACCAAUGCUGAUAAUGAAUUGAUACCAACUAGAGUAACUACAAGAUGGCGUGUAUGCAUUGAUUAUAGAAAGUUGAAUUCUGUCACACAUAAAUACCAUUUUCCUUUACCAUUUAUCGAUCAAAUGCUUGAUAGAUUAGCAGGUCAUGAAUUUUAUUACUUUUUAGAUGGCUACUCAGGAUAUAAUCAGAUUCUCAUAGCACCAAAAGAUCAGGAGAAAACUACUUUCACUUGCCCUUUUGGCCCAUUUGCAUAUACGAGGAUGCCAUUUGGAUUAUGUAAUGCACCUGCUACAUUUCAACGAUGCAUGUUAAGCAUUUUUUCUGAUAUGGUUGAACGAUUCCUUGAAGUCUUUAUGGAUGACUUUUCUAUCUUUGGUGAUUCGUUUGAUCAAUGUUUACAUCAUCUAACACUAGUUCUGCAGAGAUGUAUUGAGAAGAACUUGAUCUUAAAUUGGGAGAAGUGCCAUUUUAUGGUAAAACAAGGUAUUGUUCUCGGUCACAUCAUUUCGAGCAAAGGUAUUGAGGUUGACAAAGCCAAGGUGGAUCUCAUUUCUAAUCUUCCUCCACCUAAAACAGUCAUAGAAGUAAGAUCUUUCCUUGGGCAUGCUGGUUUUUAUAGACGUUUCAUUAAAGAUUUUAGCAAAGUUUCUCGACCCUUAUGCAAUCUACUUGCUAAGGAUGUACCUUUUGUCUUUGAUGAUUCAUGUCUUGUGGCAUUUGGAAAAUUAAAGCAGUUGUUGACAUCAUCACCCAUCAUUCAGCCCCCAAACUGGAGCUUACCAUUUGAGCUCAUGUGUGAUGCAUCUGAUUAUGCAGCAGGAGCAGUGUUAGGACAAAGAGUUGAUCGAAUUCCCCAUGUUAUUUACUAUGCUAGUAUGACAUUGAAUGAUGCACAGUUGAACUAUUCAACUACUGAAAAAGAAAUGCUAGCAGUAGUGUUUGCAUUAGAGAAAUUUCGAUCUUAUCUCAUUGGUUGUAAAAUAAUUAUAUUCACAGAUCAUGCUGCUCUUAAAUAUCUUCUCACAAAGAAAUAUGCAAAAGCUAGACUAAUUCGUUGGGUGUUACUUUUACAGGAGUUUGACUUGGAAUUCAAAGAUAAGAAAGGCACAGAGAAUGUUGUGGCGGACCACCUCUCUCGUCUCCAUUUUGACACAAUUACAGAAUCAUUACCAUUGAAUGAGUCAUUUCCAGAUGAACAAUUAAUGAAUGUGGAAGUAUUACCUUGGUAUGCUGAUAUAGUUAAUUAUCUUGUUACAGGUCAACUUCCAGAGCAUUGGACCAAGCAAGAUAAGGCUAAAUUCUUUGCAGAAAUAAAGAAUUUCUUUUGGGAUGACCCGUAUUUGUUCAAGUGUUGUGCAGACCAAAUUGUUAGACGAUGUGUCCCAGAAAGUGAAAUUCAGAAUAUCCUUUCAUUUUGCCAUGAACAAGCUUGUGGAGGCCAUUUUAGUGCUAAGAAAACAGCAACUAAAGUUUUACAAUGUGGUUUUUAUUGGCCAACUAUAUUUCGAGACGCUUACACUUUCUGUUCUUCAUGUGAUAGGUGUCAACGAAUGGGGAGCAUUACGCGAAGGAACAUGAUGCCACUAAAUCCAAUUCUAGUGGUUGAGAUUUUUGACGUAUGGGGUAUCGACUUCAUGGGACCCUUUCCCCCUUCUUUUGGCCACCAAUACAUAUUGGUUGCUGUUGACUACGUAUUGAAAUGGGUAUAAGCAAUUUCAUGCAGAACCAAUGAUCACAAAGUGGUGAUAGGAUUUUUGAAAAGCAACAUUGUUUCACGCUUUGGAUUCCCUCGAGCAAUAAUCAGUGAUGGUGGUGCCCACUUUUGUAACAAAGCAUUCAAAGCUUUUUUGACUCAAUCACUCACAAAGUGGCGACUCCGUAUCAUCCGCAAACCAGUGGCCAAGUUGAGAUCUCCAAUCGAGAAAUAAAGCACAUAUUAGAAAAAACAGUGAGGCCAGACAGAAAAGAUUGGUCAUUAAGACUUGAUGAUGCAUUAUGGGCAUAUAGAACGGCUUUCAAGACCCCGAUUGGGAUGUCACCCUACAGGCUAGCGUAUGGAAAAGCUUGCCACCUACCUGUGGAACUCGAGCAUCGUGCGUAUUGGGCCAUCAAGAAAUUCAACUUUGACAUGCAGCAAGCCAGCUCAGAAAGAAGAUUACAACUGACAGAACUUGAAGAAAUUCGCAAUGACGCAUACGAAAAUGCCAAGAUUUACAAGCAACGGAUGAAAGUCUUUCAUGACAAGCAAAUUAUGAGAAAAUCGUUCACUCCAGGUCAGAAAGUGCUUUUAUUCAAUUCUCGUUUGCACCUAUUCCCAGGUAAGUUACGCUCUCGAUGGUCUGGUCCCUUUAUUGUUCAUACUGUUUUUCCACAUGAGGCAAUUGAAAUUAAGGACCCAAAGAACGGUGUCACGUUUAAAGUUAAUGGUCAAAGAUUAAAGCCAUAUCUAGAGUACCAACCACAUGGAGAAGACACCGAAAUAAAUUUGAGUGACCCACCAGAUUUGAAUUGAUUUUUUUUUUUUCGUUGAUUUGAUUUUUUUUUCUUUAUAUUAUUCUUCUGCUAAUUGAAAUUAUUUUUGCAUAAGUGUGUUUGUUUAACUAUUAAGUUUUCUUUUAUCGUUUUUAAUCAUGAGUACCUUACUUAGACCGUUCCUCCUGAACAUUCUUAAACCACUUCAACGUGUCAAAACUCAUCUCAAAAGGCAGAUUCAAUUUUGUAAAACACAUCGCAUUUGGGCUCUACAACCACCAGAGUUAGUAGCCUAUGUUGAGGGUUUAGAACGCCAACUCAGAGACAUUGAAAGAAGUGUUUACGACACCCAGUUGGAGCUUGAGGUAAAUUCAAUAAGAGGACGAUUUUAAUUUUCUUUGUGUGUUUUAAUUUGUUUUUCUGUUUGUGUGCUUUAGUUUGUUACCCCGGUGAAGUGGCGGAUAACGGUACUCCAUGACAAUCAAGUCGGUUACUUCAGUUUCCCAUAAUAACUGAUAUUUUGAGGCGAAAGUAUGGACAAAAACGACAUUCUAGCGAAGCUUCACAAGCGAUUCCCUUCACUUCCUCAGAAUGCCCUCCUUACGAUCUAUAAAGCUCGGUCCGAACGCAUGCGAUUACUUAUGAGGAAUAAUAUACCUGCUGACAUCCGUUGGUUAAUCGAGGCUAAAGUACGAUCGGCAGGUGAGUUACCUCCAAAAUUUAUUGCAUACAUGCUUGGUUGUGGUAAAGGAAAUUAUGCAAGAAAACGACGAGCUCAAAGAAUUUCUGUUGCUUGUCAUAAGUGCGCCAGAAUGAGUUGCAAUAAAAACCCAUGUUCUUUAGGAAUGGUGUCUGAUAACAGGGAAGAUAAAAUUCAAUUCAUUAGGGAUGGCUUGAAUAAGGAGUCAUUGGAUGAUAUCAUUUUGUCUCUUGAAACGCAUCCCAGUGGAUAUGUGCAAGGAGCGAUUCUCCAGUUAUGGCCAUUAUUCCAGAAAGAGCAUGCACGAUAUAGUCUUGGGAAUCUGACUAUAAACGACCCUGUUUGCCAGUUUAUAAGAAAACUGGAUAGGAAGCCUAUCCUCGACCCAUAGAGGGCGUUCAAGCCGUUUCUGGAUGUAAAACCAGAGGAAGAUGUGAGCCACAGUCGCAACUACCUGUAAAUAUCCUUUCACUUUACUGUUAUUUUAUUUCACUAUUGUUUUAUUGUGUGCAUUAUUGUCUUUAAUAAUUUUAUUAUUGUUUGCUUUUUCCUUAUUACUGUUUGCUUUUUCCUUUUUACUGUUUCCUUUUUGACUCGCGAGCCACGUGCUUUACGCGUUAUUUGACACUGACAUGUUACCUCAUACACAACUGUGACCUACUGUCACCAAGACUCUUAAAUGUGAUUUUUUUUUACAAGCACUCACAAAUUAUUUUUUGAGAAGUAUCACAAUGGCAGCUACUCCAAAUAGACAAUUCAAGAACAUUUGUGUGCUUUCUGGAUUUACCUAUGGCAAACAUAAAGAGUUCGUUGAGGCAGCCAUCGAUCUUGGUCGAAGCAUGGCAGCGAGAAAAUUACACUUGGUGUAUGGAGGAGGUAACCGAGGAUUAUCAAAAAUGGUCUCAGAAGCAGCUUUUAUCAGAGGACGUCAAGUGUUAGGCAUCAUCCCAAGAGUCCUAAAACCAUUGGGUAGUUCGUCUGACUCAUCAACUGGAGAAGAGUUAGUCGUCUCAGGUAUACAAGAAAGAAUAACUGAAAUGCUUAAUCAUGCUGAUGCUUUUAUUUUCCUUCCAGGAGAUCUUGCAACACUAGAGGCACUUAUCACACUAGCAUCUUGGGCCCAUCUGCACAUUCACCAGAAACCCAUCGGUUUGUUAAAUGUCAAUAAGUUUUAUGAUGGCUUUAUCGCAUUUCUUAACCAUGCAAUAAAAAACUAUUUCAUUCCCUCUAAUGCGAAAAAACUCUUUAUUUGUGCUCACACUGCUAAUGAGCUACUUGAUCAGUUACAAGCUUAUAGACCGGAGCCAGACCCCUGGACCUUUGUGUUAGAGCAUCCAAAUAAUGAUGGUAACAGUAGCCGCAGUAAGAAGUACAAAUUAGAUUUAACUCUCCGCCUGUAAAUAUUUUCUUCUGUGUUGCACCACCCAGGUGAUGUCUUCUAAACUCUACUUCGUUCCUUUCAAACAUUGAGGACAAUGUUUCGUUCUGGUUGGGGGGAGGGAAUAGUCGACAAUUGUGGAAUUUUGGUUAAGUUUUUACUAAUUUUUUGUUGUAGAAACUAACUGUUGCUAACUUUUUGUGUUGAAGAUGGCUGAAUAUGGAAUGUAGUGACUCUAGAAACGCAUCUUCAUCGUUAAAAAAAAAAUUUUAAAAAAAAAAUUUAAAAAAAAAAAUUCAGACAUUUUCUUUUUCUUUAUUAUGUUUUUAUGUUUAUUUUUCUUCUUUUUAAUUUCUCCUCUAUAAAUAUACAUUUUCCAACUUGUGAGUCGAAGAUGGCUGAAUAUGGAGUGUAGUGCCUCUAGAAACGCAUCUUCUUAAAAAAAAAAAAUCAUUUUCGUUUUCUAUCAUUUUACGUGUAACUUUUCUAAUUAGUUUUUAUGCAUCAUCUUCACAUUUCUGCAUGCAUAUUUUCCUUUCAUGUUUAGAAUAGGUUGGCGGGUAGAUUGGUAUUUAAAAAAAAAUUGUGUGAUUUGUUUUAACAUUGGAUGACAUGAUUAAUUUCAAAUUUUAGUAUUUGUAUUAUCUUUGGUCUUAAGUGAUGUUACGCUAUGUUUGCUACUUUACAUGUUGAUGUCGGAGACAAAUAUGAGUUGCUUGAAGGAAUGACCAUGUCAUAAAUAAGUGCCAAGUGAGUUGUUGAGCCUAUCAUUUUCUUGGAGAGUAACCUUUUUUGCCCAUUCUCUAUACAGCUUAGCAGUUUAUUAUUUUAUACACGAUCUCUAGAUUUCUUUUGAGUUAACCCUUAAAAAAAAUGGUAAAAUAAAAAAAAAAAGUGUGUUGCUACAUUGGGAGGCCUGUCUAACUAGUAGAUAUGGAUGAUUAUUUAGAGCCCUAAAAGACGAUGGAAAGGCCAUCUUUGAUCCGUUUGAGCCUUUCUAGCCAUCCCUUUUAUUAAAUAUCCAUAGUUAACCCUUUUGAGCCUUUAAAAAAAAAAAAACAUUUUCUUUGUCAACUUAUCAUCUUGACCCACUCCAAUUUGAAGUAUUACCCGAUGUCUUAUAAGUUCCAUCACCUAUUUAUGUUUGAGAAAAUGUAAAUAAUUAUGUUGUUCAGUGAAGUUAUGCCAAAUAAAAGCAAAAAAAAAAAAAAAUUGUUGUUUCAAAAGAAUAAAAAUAACAACAAUAGGUGAAAUCCACCCUUGCAACUUCCAAAAAAAAAAUUAAAAAAAAAAAAAUUCUCUGCAUUUUUCUCAAGCAUACACUUUGUUUUCCUUAUUUCCUUUCUUUGUUAGCCAUAUCCCUAGCCUACGUUACGUCCUAAUAAAAGUCCUUGAUUUUAGGGAACUCCUGUUUGAAGUAGAAGCUAGUUAUAUGGGCUAAAAAGAUGUAGUGGUGCAUAAUAAUAAUGAAAAAAAAAAGAGAUAAAUAAAUUGGGUUGACUAGCAUUUUUGUUUGAUUUGAGAUCGUAUUAUUUCUAAGCUGAGGGCAUAUUUAUUUCAUCUUGGUGAGAGCAUGUGAUAUCACUUCUUUAUUAUUUUCUCUCUCAAGUACCAUUCAUUGGAGUGACUAUUUUUAUUAGGUUCAAUUUCUUUGUGAGAGUGUCACUACUUCUAGUGAGAUUUUGGGGUUUGACAUGUCAUUCUUGAAAGUAGCUAUAACAAAGUCUACUGGGCUGAUUCAUGUGGAUGGUUGAUGUGGGUGUGAUGUUGCUUUAGACUGGAGAUAAUGCUUAUACUUUUAUUUGAUUGCUAUCAUUAAUCUGAUUGAAUAAACACGAGUGUUUCUAAAAAAGAAAAAAAAUCAUUUUGAAUUUGAAUUUUGUUUUCGCCUUAUUUGCUAGGGACUAGCAAUAAGCUGGUUGGGGGGUGUGUUGAGUGUUAGAAAAUGCAUAUUUAUAAAGGAGAAAAUCGUCAUUUGACAUUUCAAGUCUUACUAACAACCCUUACUUUUAUGUAUUUAACCUUCUUGUGAUUUAAUUACAUGUGUUUUAUUUUAAUUAAGUAUUUUAUGUAUUUUAGGGGCAUUAUAGUCAUUUCACAAUAAAGGAGAGAUCAGACGGCAAAACGGACAUCACUUUUGAACUCAGGACGGUCGAAAACCUUAGGAGGAGCAUAAAAGGAAAAAUCGCACUAUUCACAUGUACGGUACUAUUCACGUGUACGGUACUGUCUACGUACUGUUCACGACACUGUUCACAUAGACGGAUCGAUGACGUGGCAUUGACCGAUGAUGUGGCAUUGACUGAUGAGGUGUCACGAUCCUGUUGGGCUAAAAUUCUUAUGUACUGUUGAUGAUGACGUGGCAGCAUAUCAAUGGACGAAAAAUCUCGCGUACGGUACAUGCAUCACACAUGAUUAUUUUCAACCAAACCGCGUUACUGUUCAUCCAGGUCAAACUGUGUUACUGUUCAUCCACGUGGUCAAACCGCGUACUGUUGACUGAUGACGUGGCGCAAUCCUGAGCGUCCAAACUGUUUUUAAUCCGAUGGCCAUGAUUUACUCCAUGUAUCUAUAAAAAGGGGGCCUCUCCCCCCUAAUUGGAUAGCUCUGAAUCAAUUUUUGGGAUCCAUUUUCUGUAAUUCCUUCUCCAUCUUGUAUUUUCUUCAUAUUUUAAUAAAUUCUCAUUUUGCCCCUAGUUCAAUUACGAGUGGCUAAUUUUCUUUCAAGCUUGGGUUGAAGGUGAAGUCUCAACAUGUGUCAUGGGCUUAAUUUGGUAAAUUUAUUUUCUCUUCCCCUCUAGUUUUUGUGGAUGUUUUGACUUCUCGUCGACAAAUAAUACUAAUCUUGUCUAGUACCGCCUUGGUUUCACCGGCCCUCUAGUACAAGGUUAUUAUUAUUUGGCACGAUAAGCCCUUAGCACCAUAUUGAUUAGAGCGUGGUUCAUGAGGUGUGGAUUCCCCCCUCAUGAUUUAAUUGGCAUUAAUAAGGAUUAUUUAGCCCAUGAUGCAUGUUGAUACGGAUCCAGAUACCCAAGUACAUCAUUUCAAUAUAAUUCUCUUCAAUUUAUUCUCGUCAUUUCAAUACCAAUUUUAGAAUUUAUUCUCGCCAUUUUAAUUUAAGUUUUAGCAUAUUCCAAAUCAUUUCCACCACAAAUCCAAUCACCCAUUUACAAAAUUAAUUCUACACAAUUAAAAUCCACCUCCUCGUGGGAUCGACACUCGUCACCAUUGAUCUAUACUACAAUAGAUUCGUGCGCUUGCGAGUACAUUAAAAUUUGCACAACAGGGAGCAAGUUGUAUGACUCUACAGGGUUACCUCGAACUAUUUCAAGACCAACUUCUCUCGCUCGAUAUGCCUGCUGGUAUGUUAACUGAACACCGUAUUCCUGUUGCAUAUUUGGCACGAUAAGCCCUUAGCACCAUAUUGAUUAGAGCGUGGUUCAUGAGGUGUGGAUUCCCCCCUCAUGAUUUAAUUGGCAUUAAUAAGGAUUAUUUAGCCCAUGAUGCAUGUUGAUACGGAUCCAGAUACCCAAGUACGUCAUUUCAAUAUAAUUCUCUUCAAUUUAUUCUCGUCAUUUCAAUACCAAUUUUAGAAUUUAUUCUCGCCAUUUUAAUUUAAGUUUUAGCAUAUUCCAAAUCAUUUCCACCACAAAUCCAAUCACCCAUUUACAAAAUUAAUUCUACACAAUUAAAAUCCACCUCCUCGUGGGAUCGACACUCGUCACCAUUGAUCUAUACUACAAUAGAUUCGUGCGCUUGCGAGUACAUUAAAAUUUGCACAACAGGGAGCAAGUUGUAUGACUCUACAGGGUUACCUCGAACUAUUUCAAGACCAACUUCUCUCGCUCGAUAUGCCUGCUGGUAUGUUAACUGAACACCGUAUUCCUGUUGCAUAUCUGCUCUUAUGUCAUUGGGAGUAUAAAUCCUCUUAUCUUGAAUAUAUUUUUCUACGAUAAUAUGACCGACAACCCGGCUCCUUACUUGAUGACGUCCAUCAACCAAUACCUCAUUAUGACAAGUGUGUACAUUGUCAAUUCUCUUCACCACCCAAGGAACAUUUUGCUCGUUCGAACAUCUAGUUGCUCGAAUACGCAAUUUACAUGAUUCUGAACAACAGUGAGCCUCGAAACGUGUCGUAGUAGACCGUGCAAUUUUGAAAUCAAACUUAUCUCUAAAGGCCACCUUGCGUAGUUGUAAUAUAAACUCAUUAUUCUCAGCAAAUAGCUUACCCAUACUGAUAUCAUCUGAGUCACAACUGCUAACAAAGCUUGGAGCAACCAUGUUCGAAGGCAAAGUUGGAGCAAGACUUGUAAGGGGGUCAAUUCUCCUUCUCGAUCGAACCAUAGAAGGAAUAAGUCUAUUGCCUCUGUUAUUCACAGGAGUAUUGUCUUCACACUCAUCCUCAUACUAAAACGACGGAACAUUCGAAUGAUCGGCUUCUCCAUAAUCACCAUCAUUAUUGAAAUGAGUGCCCCCCCUCGUAUUAUUAGAAGGUUCUGCACAAACAUUAUCCCCCUCUGUCUCAUUAUGAAAAUCAUCAUUGUCCAGAAAAUCAUUGUUGUGAUACGGAGAAUACCGUUGCUCCAACGACGUCGUUAUUGGAAAUACCGUUGCUCCAACAUCCUGUAACGUAACGCCAUUAUCAUCAAUAUUGUCAUAAUUGUCAUGGAUUGGAGAGUAAUAUUGCUGCAGCGAUAUUGUCCUUGGCAACAUCUCUUCAUCAUUAUCAGGGCCAGACAUAUUUGCUCUAAACGACAUUUCUGUAUCGACAUGUGACUCAAUACCUUCGCUCGGAACUCGAGGUGAUGUGGUCAUGAAUAUAGGAAUGCAUCCAAAAUUGGCUACGUCGGAUGCCAUAUGCAACACAACCCUCACCAUUUUAUCAUCACAUAUAUCCAUGGGCAUUGCACAUAUACGAUAUAAUGUGUUACUAGACCUCAAAGUUGUCUUCAUUGUGAUACUAUAUUCAUUAAAGUUUAUUUGUAACACCUCGUAUACUCUUGCCAAUAACUGAUCAAACAGACAAUUUUUCCUAACCAAAAAAGCUCGAUUUUUACCAUUCACAUACUCCAUACGACCAUCCUCUAAUGUCUCCCACCAACCAUCGUAACACAAUUCAAGUACAACUGAAUCCAUUAAGCCUAAAAUUAUUAAAAAAAAAAUUAUUUGAGCCCUAUCAAAAUAAUACAGUUUUAAUGAAUUUCCAAGGGUGGGUGCGGCAGGCAACCUGUCGCCCGAAGCUUGGUGCGACAGGCACCCCUGUCGCACCAAGCAAGGUGCGACAGGUGCUUGUCGCACCAAACCUUGGUGCGACAGGUGCCUGUCGCACCAACCCAACCUGUCGCACCAAGUUUUGCUGCGACAGGCAGCCUGUCGCCAGAUUCACCCCCCGACUCAGUUCUGCAAGUUCUGAAAAUAACUCGUACCACUAAGUGAUGCCGAUUAGUGUUGGAUCCGGAUAGAUUAUGAUCGGAUUUCACUUUUACCGUUGUGUUUUGCCGUCGCCGUUGGCUGAUGAUUCAAGAGUGGAAAGCUGCGUUUGGUUUGACGAUAUGGGAGAAACAAUGUUGGUUUUGUUCUGUAAAGAAUGGUAAUUUAGGAAGAAAAGCUUGUGUUUGGCUAAUGUUGAUAGAAAAAAGUUGAGAGGGUUAAUUAUGAAAAUAACAAAAUAUUUAUGGUUAUUUUAAUAAAUUUUCCCAAAUGGUUGCGUUAACGUGUAUAUUUGGGAACAUCAAAUACAAACAAAGACCAUGUGAAAAAGAAAUAUUCGCUGUUUAGUUCUCAAAUAUUCGCUGUCACAAAUGGUUGCGUUAACAUGUCCAACAACGAUUAUUAUGAAAAUUUCGGAGAAUUUGCGAGAAGUGGGAUGAUUAAGAAAAUGCAGGAGCAGGACAUUUAUGACCUCUAUUAGUAAUUUGAUUUCGUGAAGCAUUUUCAAAAGGAAAAUAAUGCACACAAUUGGAGACUAGGUGAUGACAAUGAAAGAUCACAUAACCGACUUAAUAAUUUAUAUGCAUUAAUGUGGAAUCGACAAUUCUAAACCAUGUUAAAGUCAACCAAAAAGACAAAUCAUGGAAAGCGGCAAUUGCUAAAUUACGUUGCGUGUAUUUUGGGAUCAUCAAAUACAAACAACGACCACGUUAAAAGAAAAGCAACAGCUGACGAGAUUGGUAAAGAUAUAUCAAAAGAAAGAGUAACAGAACAGAGCACGUUACAAGAGCUGAUUGCUUUCUUAAUUUUUGGUCAAUAUUUAACACAAAAUAAAAGUCAAUGAAAAAACGUGGAAUUUAUGUCAAUUAACUUAUUUAAUAAUUUUGACCGAAGCAUAACAAAACGCUCGCUCACGGUCGCAGUCACUUUGAAGAUCAUUCAUGUAAAAGCUUUGUAAUUUAAUAAAUGGCGUGGAAAAUGGUAACGAGAGCUCACGGGCAACCCCAAAACAACAAGUGAAAGAGUGCCUCGUGAUAUGAUUCACGGCCCUCAAGAAACACGCCUUCUGCCCCUCGUGAUUUAAUCAAAAUUUGGACUCACGCUACAGUGAAAUGCAAUUAACAAUUUUUUAUCAAUAAAAUCGCCAGAAAAUUCUCAAUUAUUUUAUUUUUAGUUAUUAGGUGUCGGGUUGACAUCAGGCCCAAUGGAAGCCUUUGACCUGAAGGGCUUUCUAUAAUGUAAACUGGUGGCAUGAGGCCCAUUCCAGAAUAGGCCCUUGAGCCGAGCCCAAAUGGCAUGACCUUGAAUCUCUUCAGUCAGAAUGACAAAUGGAUGCGGUGCGUACUGUGCUCGUGUCCAUUUGUUCAUUGCUCGCCGACGCUAACUGCCUAACUAGGCCAACUUUAUUCAGACUGCAAUAGAAUGGACCAACAAACAUGCCAUAAAUCCUUGUGCUAAUUAAUUAUUAUUAGUUAUAUUUAUAAAUAAGCAAAACGAGAGAUGCAGGGAGUGAGAGUAAUACCAUAUAUGUAUUGAAAAUUGCAUAAAAUUUGAUAUAAAAAAAUACAAAAGACAAAAAAAAAAAAAAGUAAGUUUGUAUUUAUUUAACUCCAAUAAUCAUAAUAAACUAUUGAAUUAUAGACCAGAAGUUCUAUCUACAUAAUUAGAAGGCACAAACACUAUUUCUGCUAAUUGAAGAAAAUCAAGAAAUGCUGAUUCCGUCAUGCUUAGUUUCAUGUUAGUUAAAGUUUAAAGCGAUCAGAUUCAUAAUCAUUAAUAUGCUUUUAUACGAAUCCUUGGUUUUGAAUAUAAUAAUGGUUUCAGAAAUGCAUACCUGUUAGUUCUCCAUUUCUUGACUCCGAGGAAAAUUUGACUUGUCAGAUGAAGCAAUGUUAUAAGAGGUUUCAUACACAGCUUAUACGCGAUCACUACCAUGCUUACAUGUAAAACGUUGCUGCAAUCAUACUGGACAGACCUUCAGAGGUUACUCUUCGAAGCGUUUCAUGAUGCCACGUGUACUUGAUUAUUUGACUAAUCACGGUUCACAAGUUGAGUGAGCUACUCACCACACCACCUUCCUGCUGCAAAGAAUUUUAACUGAACUUUGACUUGGUCAGAAACUCAGAAUAACUGAGGACCCAAAUGACGAAUUCUAAAAGCUGAAUGAUGUAUGUGUAAAUUAAAUAUAACUAUUAAUCAUAUGGUAAUUUUUUAAAAGAAGUACAUAUAUGUCAUAUGUAUACUAAGUGGGUGUAGUGCAACGAAGGUGCUCUAAUAUUUUUUCAGUGAACACAAUAUAAUCAUCAAAGUGAAAGAAAAACUUUUGAGGUUUUGGUGUAUUCAUUAGUGAAAUUUGAGCCGAAAAGAAAAAUUCAUAUUUGUAAACAUCAAAACCAAAAUCAUUUGGAAUUACUUGCUGAAAUUGAUUAGGUCAUUUUUAACCUCAAAUUUAAGAUCAUUAAUCAUUGCAUGAAUGUUUUGAUUUUAAUAUCAGUGGCAAUCACGGACACGUCUAAUGAUUUGAUUAAAUUUGUGUUUAGUUCUAUAAAUUAUUUCAAUCAUUGUUAUGAUUUUUUUGGGUUGACUCGACGGAGCAACUAAUAAUUACCCAGUUCUGCUGCUGAAUUUAUUUCCCAAGAUUUGAUUAAACAGAACUCCCCUAAAACUUCAGUUCAUUUCACUAUUGUAAUAGAGGUUUCAUUCACGUUGAAUGUCUAGUAUAAUUACUGAUAGUUAUAUGUUGAAUGCUACCUCAAUGUAGCUUACUGCCGCAAUAAUACCUGAUGAUUUUUUAUGACAAAAAAUUGUAUGAUUAAAAUGAUUAUAAGAUCAUCUAAAGCCGAGUUUCACCAUUAACUACCAAAAUACUCCAGAAAUCCAAUACAUUUAACUAAACACAAAUUUAAUCAAAUCGUUAGACACUCAACCUGAAAGUGGAUUCGAAGUAAUAUUAAUGAAAACAAAGAAACAGGGGGACCCUCGUGAUCGCCAACGCCAUCUUACCCUUGAUAAAGAGAAAGAAGUCAAGCUCCAUAUAAUAUAAUACCUCACAAAUUAUACAGAAAAAAAUGGCCUCAUUUCAGAUGCUACAUAGAUGGUUUUCAUGAAUCCUCGUUUUGUGUGAUGAAUUUUUUUUUUUUGACAUUUAAUAGAGUAUACAAAAUAAAAAUAAAAAUUUAAAAUUUACUAGAUGAGCCAAUAAAGUAUAGUAGUGUUCAGAAAUUUUUUUUUUUUUUUUUCUAGAAUGUGAAUAACCCAUCCAAAGUAAUGUUACCUUAUUAGACUGAGGUUCUCCCCCCUCCCCCACAAAAAAAAAAAAGUUGCUUCUUGGUUUUUAAUGCAAACACGAUUACACGAAGAGCUUUCGUUAAUAGUGCUUUUAGAUUGGAUUUCUAUGUUAAAAUAUAAAUCAGUUUUAGAACACUAAAUUGAGGGAGAAUAUUCGAUUUGAUCUUAUUGUAGGCUACUUCAAGAGUGUAAGAAACUGCUCCUGGAGCAUGCUAUUACAUGUUUUGUUUGUGGAAAAUGAUAUUUGUGCUGUCAAUUUUAUGCUGCAAUGGCACUAUAGUAUAAGCAAUACCCAUAUUUCUGCAUGACUUCCGAAUAUCUUGCAGCUGUUCAAAUAACAAUGCUCUUUGUUUGCCUACAAACCUCUAUUUUCUGUCAACAUAAUCGAGGUAGCAACCCGCUAAUAAUUUUGUAAAUUGAGCCUGGAUGAAAAAUUGAUGAAUGUGUGGGUGAGAAUAAUCAUUACUCAAAUCUUUCACUGAUGUCCUAAAUGAUUUCUCCUUCUAUAGAUUACAGUGGUUGGUUAUAAUCACAAAUUGAGGAUCUUGCUGGAAGCUGUUGUUCAAAAAAUUGCAGAAUUCAAAGUGAAACCAAACAGAGCACUUAUUUCGGUCUAAGUAGCCACAGUAAAGAUUGAAUUGUGCAAUUGUUUGUGUGGAAUCAAGUUAGUUAUAUUCGGUUAUAACAGCUGAGCUGGAAAGCUGAGUCAGCAAGGGUGGGUCCCCAGGUGGUUUUAGUUAGUCGUUAUAACCAGCUGUAAACUGCUAGCUUUAUAAGCUUCAGUGAGAGAGAGAGCUGAUCAGUUAGUUAAGCGAGAUAGUUUGUGAGCUGAGAAAGAUUCUCUGUGUGAGUUUAGUUUCUUGCUCUGAGUGGAUUCCAUUGUAAUCUUGAUAUCUCCUAAUAAAGCUUUAGCUCUACUGUUCCUGAUCGUGGAUGUAGGUACCUUGGUACCGAACCACGUUAUCUUUGUCUUGAGUCUUUAAAGUUCUUUAUCUUGCUCUGUUGUUUCUGGUGUUGGUAUCAGUUGUUCCUGGGUUCUUGCUUUGGUUGUGUUUAGUUAUUGCAUCAGUAGAAUUGCAAGGUUGAUCAGAAUAUUCCAACAAACUGGUAUCAGAGCUUGGUCAUCUAUCAAGCUCCUUGAAAUCCUCCAAUGGCAUCUACAAGAUUCGAUCUGGAGAAGUUUAAUGGGGACAAUGACUUCUAUUUGUGGAGUCUCAAAAUGAGGGCAAUCUUGAUUCAGCAAGGAUUAGAUGCUGCUCUUGAAGAUGAUGAAGAUUCAAAGGCCAAGAAAGGGAAGGAAGAAGAAUCAUCCAGCUCUGGCAGAGACAUGAAGACUAUCAACAACAAAGCUCAUAGCACUAUCAUCCUACAUCUCUCGAAUGAAGUGCUAAGAGAGGUGUCUAAAGAAAAGACUGCUUCUGGUCUAUGGGAGAAACUAGAAGAAUUAUUUUUAAAGAAAUCUCUAGCCAAGAGACUGUACAUGAAGAGAAAGCUAUACACAUUUUCAAUGAAGGAUGGAACAGCUUUGAAAGAUCAUGUGGAUGAAUUUAAUAAGCUGAUCCUAGACCUUGAAAAUGUGAAUAUAGUUCUUGAGGAUGAAGAUAGAGCCCUGAUCCUAUUAAGCUCACUCCCAGACUCUUACGAGCAUUUUGUUGACACAUUGCUUUAUGGAAGACAAACACUUACAUUAAAGGAUGUAAAGAAUGCCCUGGAAUCAAAGGACUUGAAGAGGAAAAUAGAUGGGAAGGAUCAAAACCCUGCAGAAAGCUUAGUUGCAAAAGCAAAACCAGAUAAGAAAUUCUACAAGGACAAGAAGAAUAGCAACCAGAAAGAUAAACCAGACAAGAAGAAAAAGAAGAGAAAAUGUUACUUUUGCCAAAAAGAAGGUCAUUACAUCAAGGAUUGUUUUGAAAAGAAGAAGCUUGAGAAAUUACAGAAGGAAUCUGAUGGAAAGGCUGCUGUAGCCUCUGAAGAUGAAGGGAUGUCAGAUGAUGCAGAUGUCCUCAUUGCUGCAGAAAAGCAAUCUUCAGGUGAGUGGAUUCUUGACUCAGGUUGCUCCUUCCAUAUGUGUCCAAAUAUAGAUUUCUUUAAGACCUUUGAACAAGUUGAUAGUGGAAAGGUCUUGCUUGGUAACAAUCUUGCCUGUAAAGUAGCUGGAAUUGGAACCAUUAAUAUUAGGAUGUUUGAUGGGAUUGAAAGAGAUCUAAAACAGGUCAGAUAUGUUCCAGAAUUAAAAAGAAAUCUAAUAUCUUUAGGAGUAAUGGAUCAGUUGGGCUGUAGUAUAAAAGCAGAGAAUGGAAAUCUUCAAAUUGAAGAUAAAGGCCAGGUUAUAAUGAAAGGCAUAAGGAGGAAUGGUUUAUAUGUACUUGCUGGCUCAACAACUAUGCCAGCAAUCACAGCUAGUGUAAGCAGUGAUAAAACCAAACUUUGGCACAUGAGGCUAGCACACAUGAGUGAAAAGAGGUUGAGAGAAUUAAGUAAGCAAGGGCUGCUAGGAAAUGAUCAAAUCACUUCACUACAAUUUUGUGAAAAAUGUGUGUUUGGUAAAGCCACAAGGCAAAAGUUCAACUUUGGUAGACAAGAAACAAAACAGACCUUAGACUAUGUUCACUCAGACCUUUGGGGUCCAUCCCAAGUUCCCUCUCAUGGUGGAGCUAGGUACUUCAUCUCAUUCAUAGAUGAUUACUCUAGAAGAGUGUGGGUCUAUGUGCUGAAGCAUAAGAGUGAAGCAUGUGAAAGGUUUAAAGAGUGGACUGCACUUAUGGAAACCCAAACAGAAAAGAAGCUUAAAAGGCUGAGGACUGAUAAUGGCCUGGAAUUCUGUAGCAGUGACUUUGAAAAUUUUUGUAAAUCAAAAGGCAUUGCAAGACAUAGGACAGUGAGGCACACUCCCCAGCAAAAUGGCUUGGCUGAAAGGAUGAAUAGGACCUUAAUUGAAAAGGUCAGAUGCAUGCUGUUUAAUGCAAAUAUGUCAAAGCAUUCUUGGGCUGAGACAGUUAAUACAGCUACAUAUCUAAUAAAUAGGAGCCCCUCAUCAGCUUUAGAUUUUAAAACACCUCAAGAAGUAUGGUCAGGGAAGCCACCAAACCUUAGUAACCUCAGGGUGUUUGGCUGUCCAGCUUAUGCCCAUAUAAGUCAGGGCAAGCUAGAACCAAGGGCUGUGAAAGGAUACUUUAUAGGGUAUCCAGAAGGCAUAAAAGGGUACAAAAUCUGGUGCACUGAUGGCAAGCCAUCUAGAACCUUGAUCAGUAGGGAUGUUGUGUUUAAUGAGGAAGCUAUGUUGCAGCAGAAGGUUGGAACAGAAGUUGAAAUCUCUGAACCCCUAAAUAGAUCUAAGUUGAAGGUGGAGUCCAGAGAUAGUUUGAAAGAAAGUAAAGAGACAAUUGAUCACCAUCAAGAAAGUGCCACAACAUCAGAACUUGACAACUAUCAGCUUGCGAGAGAUAGAGAAAGAAGGGUAGUUAAACUGCCCAAAAGAUAUGGAAUUGCUGACUUAAUAUCUUAUGCACUGAUGGUUGCUGAUGAGGUGACUGGAGAUGAACCUGAAAGCUACAAGCAGGCUAUGAAUAGCAGAGAUAAGUUGAAAUGGCUGAAUGCUAUGGAAGAAGAAAUGGCAUCACUCAAGAAGAAUAACACUUGGGUUCUAGUUCAGAGGCCUACUGAAAGAAGAUUGGUGGGCUGCAAAUGGAUUUUUAAACUCAAGGAGGGAGUUGCUGGAAGUGGAUCAGUGAGGCAUAAAGCCAGGCUUGUGGCAAAGGGGUUCACACAAAAGGAAGGAAUAGACUUCAAUGAAGUCUUCUCACCUGUUGUUAAACACUCCUCUAUAAGGGUUAUAUUAGCCAUCACAGCUUAUUUUGAUUUAGAAUUGGACUAGAUGGAUGUGAAGACUGCCUUCUUACAUGGAAACUUAGAAGAAGAAAUUCUGAUGACUCAGCCAGAGGGUUUUGUUGAGGAAGGAACUGAGGACAUGGUUUGCUUGCUCAAGAAAAGCUUGUAUGGGUUGAAGCAGUCUCCUCGGCAAUGGUACUUAAAGUUUGAUGAGUUUAUGCUGAAUCACAACUUCAGCAGAAGUGAAUAUGACAAUUGUGUUUACUUCAGGAAGCUAAACUCAGGUGAUCAAAUCAGUCUACUUCUUUAUGUUGAUGACAUGCUUAUAGCAUGUAAACAUAGAGCAGAAGUGGAGAAGCUCAAGACUGAGCUAAUGGCAGUGUUUGAAAUGAAGGAUUUGGGUCCUGCUGCUAAGAUACUGGGAAUGCAAAUUAAAAGGGACAGACAAGCUAAGACUCUAUUUCUCACACAAUCUGGAUAUUUGAAAAGGGUUGUCAGUCGAUUUGGGAUGGUGAACUCAAAGCUUGUCACUACCCCAGUAGCAGCACACUUCAAGCUUUCAAAACAGCAGGAACCAGAAGAAGAAGCAGACAUUGAUCACAUGAGGAGAAUCCCCUACUCCAGUGCAGUUGGCAGCAUUAUGUAUGGUAUGGUCUGCACCAGACCAGAUGUUGCCUAUGGGAUUGGUCUUGUCAGCAGGUUCAUGGGAAAUCCAGGCAAGGAACAUUGGGAAGCUGUUAAAUGGCUGCUGAGGUAUCUUAAAGGCACUGAAGAGUAUGGAGUAAGGUUUGGACAAGUCCGAAGUGCAUCUAGCCAAGUUGUGGGAUAUGUUGAUUCUGACUUUGCAGGAGAUUUAGACAGGAGAAGGUCAGUCACUGGUCUUGUGUUUACUCUCUGUGGUGGAGCUGUGAGCUGGAAGUCAACAUUACAAUCAGUAGUUGCUCUCUCAACAACAGAGGCAGAGUAUAUUACUUUAACAGAGGCUGUGAAAGAAGCAUUGUGGUUGAAGGGGUUAGUUACAGAACUGGGUUUGAAACAAGAAUCAGUCACUGUCAAUUGUGAUAGCUCAAGUGCUAUACAGUUGAGCAAAAACCCCAAGUAUCAUGAAAGAACAAAACAUGUGGAUGUGAGGAUGCACUUUAUCAGGGAAGAAAUUCGAAAUGGUGUGAUUAAUGUCAUUAAAAUUCCUACUGAAGUAAAUCCAGCAGACAUGCUAACAAAACCUUUGCCAAUAGUUAAGUUCAGGAAAUCCUUGGACUUGAUUGGAGUUAUUAACUUGUGAGACAAGUUAACUGAUGAUGGAGCAGUGAUAAGUAAAGCUAUAACCGAGUAAACUAAGGUGGAGAUUUGUGGAAUCAAGUUAGUUAUAUUCGGUUAUAACAGCUGAGCUGGAAAGCUGAGUCAGCAAGGGUGGGUCCCCAGGUGGUUUUAGUUAGUCGUUAUAACCAGCUGUAAACUGCUAGCUUUAUAAGCUUCAGUGAGAGAGAGAACUGAUCAGUUAGUUAAGCGAGAUAGUUUGUGAGCUGAGAAAGAUUCUCUGUGUGAGUUUAGUUUCUUGCUCUGAGUGGAUUCCAUUGUAAUCUUGAUAUCUCCUAAUAAAGCUUUAGCUCUACUGUUCCUGAUCGUGGAUGUAGGUACCUUGGUACCGAACCACGUUAUCUUUGUCUUGAGUCUUUAAAGUUCUUUAUCUUGCUCUGUUGUUUCUGGUGUUGGUAUCAGUUGUUCCUGGGUUCUUGCUUUGGUUGUGUUUAGUUAUUGCAUCAAUGUUGGGUCGAACGACCGUGGCAAUGGGUGUAGAUGGUGGCAGCUAGGUUUUUGUAAUUUUUUUUUGUUUUUCUAAUUCUUACCAGUGUAGCCUAUGGAAGCAAAAACAACCAUUUAGGAGAUUAGUCAGAGACUUAAGUAGUGAUCUAGUUGAACAGCCGCAGUAAAGUUUGAAUUGGGCAAUUUUUUGGACAAUAUGUUUCCAGCAAGAUCCUCAAAUUUGUGAUUAGAACCAACCAGUGUAGCCUAUGGAAGCAAAAACAACCAUUUAGGAGAUUAGUGAGAGACUUGAGUAGUGAUCUAGUUCCGCACUGGUCUCAACCUUCUCUUCAAUCUCUUGCCCUUUUGCUUUCGUCUCAGAGACUCCGCGCUGAAUGCCCGUACUUUCACUCUUCCGCUUCUCUGUUUCUGCCUUGAUAUCAUCAAAGAUGGCAUUAAUCGUAGAAUAAGCAGAUAACAAUCUAAAGUGAAGGAGGCCAUAGGAAAGUGAGAUUAAAAAACAAACAGAAGCCAAGGUUUUUUUUCAGAUGAAAACGGAAACAAGAAAAGGACCAAUGCGAAGAGCUGACAGAACGGAUGACUGAAUAAGAAGUGAGUUGAUUAUUUUAUACAGCCAAUUCAUGUAAUGACAGAUCUGGUUUCGAUCUUUGUAAUUUAAAUGUAUUAUCAGUACGAGGUGAAGGACUUUUUUGUCGACUCAGUCCAACACAAAUUCAAAUUACUAAAGCAACGUGAUACUGGUUUUGAUCUUUGUAAAUUAAGCACAUCAAUACGAGGUGACUCUCACAAGACUUUUGAUGUGCUAUUGCCAGUCAAAUAUGAGACGAAAUGUGAAUAGACUCAGUUAGUUGUGUUGUUAUUUAGGAGGUCGAGUCCAGAUAACAUCCAGCUCACUUGCCUUCUCAAUGACCAACAUUUUGUGAGCCAAGCGUUCGACUUCAAACCACUUAAUCUGAUGAGAUGAAUUUUCAAGCCGAAAAACAUGCUUCAAUUAAAAACAGAGACAGCAGGUGCCCUGUACUCAGGAUCCGAUCAUACAUAUACAAAGAAUAUCUGCUAUUAAGAAUUUCACAUCUCAAGUAGUUGAAAUUUAGUUUCGAAAGAAAAGAAUGGAAUAAUUGAUAAUAACAAUAAAUUACUAUAUCGCAUGCAUGUUCAGGUGACUUAAUUUGCAUUUACGCUUGCAAUGCCUGACGUGCGCACGUGAUCGCAAAAAUAAACUUGAAUAGAAUCUCUCACAUUCACCAGAAAAUUGUUGCACAUAAUAAUAAUACAAGGGAUGCACAGAAAUGGUAAGUUCACACAUCUUUAGUUUAGAUGAUCAAAUGAAGGAAUUGCACACAGAUUUUUACGCUUCCAAAGCUGUAGCGGCAGCGUGUAAGUUACAAUACAAUUGAAACUAGUUUAGUCGAAGCUCUCAGCAUGUGAUGUUUCGCAGAAGGAAUACCAGUUUCAGAGAAAUAUUAUCUAAUUUUGCACACCUUUCACGGAAUACCAAAAAAUAAAUGAUCAAAUAAAAGAUUACUACAAAAAUACAUUCCUAUCAAUCAUCAUAUAAUUUCAAACUAUAUGUGUUUUUUUUUUUGGGUUAAUCGAAGGUUCCUGGAAGUUGCAAGUCCCUGCCGGUGUCAAAGGGAAGGUACCAAUCUCGUGUUCGUCCUUCCAAUGUCAAAGGGAAUACUCUGCACCUCUGCGCUAGUGUUAGCCCCUGCACUCCAGUCAUGUCGUUGAAGCGCUCGACGUGCACCAGCGGGCCACUUUUUCCUGAGUAUUUGAGGUCGAGAAAAUGAAAAUCUCUUGGUAUCAUAGUGCCCAUGAUUUCAGCUGAAAGCCGAGAUUAAUCAUCCAGCAUUAUUCUCUAACUGAGGGGCUUUCUCCUACCCUGCAUUUGUCAUGAUUUGGUAUAAUCGUUUUGUUUUGUUUAUUUCCUCUUAUUUGGUCCAACUUCAUCUUGCCUCUCGUUAAAUGCAAAAUCAUCCAGCUUCAAAUGGAAAUCCUCGAAAUCCAAAUUCUUUGCACUAUAUUGAUCCUUCAGGCAGAUUGAAUUCUUACCAGCAGGUAAGGUUUUGUUAUGACUCACAUUUUGACAAGUGAUCUCUGAACUCUGAAGGUCAUAAAAUGGUCAUUUUGUCCAGUGUUUUCGACUUAGAAAAUGCAUGUGACUUUCAAGUCUUUCUAUGGCCGUCAUAGGGAAAUAGAUAUUUCAAUAGUUCGUAGAAGUUGAGAGAGAAUAUCACUGAUUAGUUAUUGGCCUCUUAAACCAUUUACAGGCAAUAACGGAAAUUGGGGAGGUCAUACAAUUUUAUGAUUCUGAUAGACGCUUUCCUGCAUGGGGAUUUGGAGGGAAGACAUUUGAUGGCACUGUAUCACAUUGUUUUAACUUGAAUGGAAGAGCAGGUGGCUUUGAGGUAGGGGUAGCUGGAGUUCGCAACUUUGCUAUAAUCCUUAUUUGGUUGGCUUGUCUCCCAUAACUUUUCAUUUUUAAUAACAAACAAUAUAAUAUGUUUCUACAUUUUUAAAAAAAUUUCCUUGGAAUUUUAUCCUAAAAGAUGUGUAUUUUAUCCUCUUCCAUUUUUUCAUUAACUGCUGGUUUCUUUAUUUAAUAGGCAGAUGGAGUUGAAGACAUUAUGGCUGCCUAUGCAAGCGCUCUAAACAAUGUUUCUUUGGCAGGACCGACUCUGUUUGGUCAAGUGAUCAACACAGCUGCACGAAUUGCUGGACAGUCCCUCUCAUACGACAGAAGCAAGUAUUUCAUCUUACUCAUGAUAACGGUGAUUACAAUGAUUCUAUAUAUUCACAGUUUUCUCUUUCUAUCAUUCUUUUUGGGUGAUUUGUAAAUUUGCAUGGUCUAUCUAGGAUGGAGUUCUGACAGAUCUCCAAGAAACGAAAGAUGCUUUGGUAAGGGCUUCUGAUCUUCCCCUGUCAAUUCUAAUUGUGGGUGUGGGAGGUGCAGAUUUUACACAAAUGGAGGUACACAAUGUUUUCUAACUGGAAUAUCUUCUUACUAGCAUCGAACUUCUUUUUUCUAUAGUUUGAUAGAUUCAAUUUAGAGUAUAUAUGCAGUGUGGUAUUAUCCCACUUUUGUUGCAGAUUCCUGAUGCUGAUAACUUUGUUGGCAGAUUCUUGAUGCUGAUAAUGGCCGUAGAUUAGAGAGCUCUACCGAUCGGGUAGCUACCAGAGAUAUAGUACAAUUUGUUCCAAUGCGAGAAGUUCAUAGUGAGUGCAUAAGAUUCUUUGAAAAAAUUAGUUCAAACUAUUGAAUUUGGGAGUUAAUUCACAGAAGUUUCUAAAUUUUUUCAUGCCUGAACAAAGGAACCCAUUGUUUUCUGAACAGGUGGGCAAAUUUCUGUUGUACAAGCACUUUUGGAGGAGCUGCCUGGUCAGUUUUUGACCUACAUGCGCUGCAGAGAUAUCAAACCACUCAAUGUUCAGAUGGCCCAAACAUGCGCUUGAGUAAAUAUUCAUAUAUUUGGAAAGGAUACAAAACCAAGCCAAAUAUAUUAGACAAGACCAAGCCAAACAUAUUAGGCUAUACAAACAUAACAUAGCAGAAAUUGAUAAUGGUACAUUACAUAUGUUAGGAUAUAGCGGUUUUAGAUGAUGGUAAAUUACAUAUGUUAAGAUAGAGUGGUUUGUAACUAACUUUUGAUGGCUUAAUGAAUUGAUUGAAUUUGUAUUUAGAUUCUAUCAAUGAUCUCCUAUCCAUGUCUUUCGAUUUUUAUUAUUCCCUCUACCCACUUGUUUCACAAUUGUUUGUGUCUGAUGGCCUAAAACUCCAGUUUCUGUUGCUGUAUUAUCAUCUUUGUUGAAUAUCUACUACAAUGAACAUGUGCUGAAUGUCAACUUUUACUACUACACCAGCAAUCUAACACAUGGCUCACGUGCACACAAGACAAGUCUGAUUCACACAUCUUUAAUUUAGAUUCUUAUAUAGUCUUUCAAGAUGUCUGAAACAGCAUAGAUGAAGGACCCUUCCACCAUUCAACCUGGAAUGAUGUGAGUGAAAGAAAUUUCCAAUAGGUGCACGAACACAAAUAUGAUGCACACAUCUCUUUAAUUAAUUUAGGGCUUAAAGAGAUUUUCAGAUGCCUACAAAUUGAAUAUGGCAGAUCUUGGACACCAUCCAUAAGAAAUAAAACUAGCCUCAAAUUGGAUUUAUGAGUACUCAAACAAAGCUAAAAGCAUAAUAAUGAAUGAAAACUGAAACAAAAAAUCCUCUCACCAACACCAUAUGACUCUUAAUAUAUAGAAAGAACUCAAGCUCGAGCCUUAUCCAAAAUGCUGCACAAGUAGCAUGAAUCGUCUUCAUAAGUUUGGAGACUCUGUAGACAAAGAGUAAAAAGACAUUGAAGGUGUAGUUUUUACAUAAUUAAAUUGCACAAAUUAGCCUCUAUUAAGGACACAUAAAUCCUUCAAUUCUCUCUCUAAGCAAUUAAUUUCAUUUUUUAUUCUUUUAUUUUUCGCUAUGUCUGUCUAACAACUAAUCCUCAACAUAACAACAGAGCAGAGUAGUUAUAUUUUAAAAAGAUGUACCAAUAUGAUUUAACAAAAAUUCAACAUAAAUAAAACAUUUUUAGUUAGCAAAAUAGAAUAAAAUCAAAACCUCUCAAAUUAUAUAGAUUUUAUCUUACCACUGUUUUUCGCAUCUUUCUCCUUUUCAUUCGCCUUGGCGGACUUCUCUUUCUCUUUUUCCUCCUCUUCCUAAUCAGAUUUAAAAUGAAUUCAUAAAAAAAUUAAUAUGUACUUUUUUCUUUUUACUUUUAUAUAUAUAUCUGUUAUUAAAUCAGUAAUUUUUAGAAAAAAAAAUAAAUCAACAUCUCAUAGUGAAUGAAUACUUACCUUUUUUCUUUUAAGAUAUACAUAUUGAAUGGUUGUAUUAAGGUCCCGAUCCCAAGCCCAAAGUUUUUCAUCGACUAGGCUCAGCUGCACUUUCUGUAACUUGGGUGUGCUUAAUUCCCCUUUUGAGAAAAUCUUCAUAUUGGGGCAAUUAUGCACCAUUAAUCUUUCCAGAGAUGGGAAUUUGAAGUCGCAAUUAUUCCCAGAGCAGCUGAAACUAGUCAGACUUUUUAAGUCCCAAAGCUGCAAUUCCUUUAAUUCGCUGAAAACAAUUUCAUCUUUUGCUGCAUAAUUAUCUCCCUCAUCAUCCUCAUCUGCCACUAUUUCUGUUAUCAUCUCGCAGAAACUUAUCUGCAUUUGUCUCAGUCGCACCAGACUCCUUGCUGUUGAGGAUGUUAGUACGUGUAUCAUUCCAUGGCAACUACUUACCUUCAAAGUUGUUAGGUUCUGAAACGAUGUCGAGGAUGGCACUAGAUUAGUCAAAUUGCGACAAUGAAAUAUCUCUAGCUGUUCCAAAUUGUUGGUAUUGGUUGACUCUUGUUUGAAAAUCUGCUUUAGUUCACGACGAUGGUUUAUCCCUCUCAUCCUUGCAUUCAUCCCAUUUUCAAGGUUUUCAAAUGAUCUGUACAAAACCUGAUUGUUUCCUCCUACAUAGAGAAUUUUGAUGGUGUGAAAUCUAUGGAGGAAAUCGUCAAGUGAUAAAAUAGUACUUGACUCAUCAAGCCUGACAUCAAGACAUUUAAGUUUGCAAAGCCAGUCUUCUGGAAAUAGGCCUAUGUGCUUUUCAUCAACACUCAAUUCUUCCAAAUUGGGGAACACCUGGGUGAUC